rnacentral:lncRNA from 1 species
UAUGAGCUCGGUCAAGAAUUCUUCUGCAACCUCUUCUAGUGUUACACCUCUCUUGGCUUUUACAAAACCCUCAGCAAUCCAUAGGCGAGUAAGUGGUCUACACUUAAUUGUGCAGUCUUCCGGGAAAAUGGCAAAGUACAAGAAACAGGACUUGAGUUGGUAAGGCAGAUCAUGAUAACUGAGGGAGAGAAUGGUAUUGAUACUUUCAAGAUGCGAAUUACUUUGUAACUCAGAGCCUAGGGUAUCACUAAAUUUUUUCCAUUCGGAGACAAGCUUCUCUUUUCUUGACAAAAGACCACCGAUUGCUACAAUUGCUAGUGGCAAUCCACCACAUCUUCUGACAAUAUCAUGAGACAAUUUCUCUAAUUCCGGGGGACAUCCACCCUGAAACGCUUUCUUGCAAAAGAGUUUCCAGGAGCUCUUUGGAGGCAGAGGUUGCAGCUUGUGGAUGUAAUCAAAUGAAGAUUCUUUACAACAAGAAGCUACCUCAUCAUUACGUGUUGUGAUUAUUAUCCUGCUCCCUUUUUUAUUUUCUGGUAAAACAUAUUUAAUGAAUCCCCAGAAAUCUAGUUUCCAUACAUCAUCAAAAACAACCACAUACCUUUUAUCUUGUAAAUAUUGCCUGGUUAAGGUCAUUAGUGAGGACUCGUCCAUGGUAUUGAUACCCUCAGGAACUGGCUCCUUCCUUGCUUGAUAGAAUUUCAUUGACAUGUUCCGCAGUAGCUCUUCCAUCUUGAAUGACUGAGACACAGUGAUCCAAGCAGAGCAAUCAAAGUGUCCCACCAAUUCCUUGUUGUCAUAUACUUUGUUGGCAAGAGUGGUCUUGCCAAGUCCGCCCAUGCCAACCACUGAAAUUACAGUUCGUUCUGGAGUUCCCUCCACCAGCCGGCUUGUGAGUUCAAUUUUUUGAGAUUCAAUACCAACAAUUUCAGCUUCAUCUAUGAAAAGGGAAGUCACCCGAGGGUCAUGCCAUGGAGCACUUAUACUACUGCCUCCAGAUCCCGGCUGAACUGAACUAAUGAAGCCGUAAGUUGAACUUGUUUCUUUGAGUUUAACAACUUUUUUCUGGAUAUCACGGAUCUUGGAGGCUAUCUCAUGGCGUCGUUUCAAUUUUUUUAUCAAGCGACCAACUUUGCAGCGGAAACCAAUGAAUCUAUGCCGUCGACUUGGAUUUCCCAAGUGAAGCAAGUAUUCAUCAAUCAGAUCUUCUAUGGAAUAAGCAGUCUCCCUUAAGUCUUGAAUCCAAGUUUUAAGGCCUUGGCUGACAUCAGCUUUCUCCCCCUUUGCAUCUGCAUCCAUUAGGAAAGCUUGAAUAUAUAGUAGCUCUGUUUUAAUGUCUUCAACUUGUGUUUGGACGCCUCCCAAUAGUCUGGCUUCUUGAUUUAGUAAUGGGAGCAACUUGUCGAUGGCGAUGUUGACUGCAAUCUCCGCCAUUUCUCCUUCUUUUCCCCCUCGAGAAGGCCAGUGAGAAACUAUUGCGUUAGCUCAUUUCAGAUCUAAUCUUCCAUCUAGUUUCCUGAAAUCACCCAAUGAACCCAACACCACUACUGCCAAAAAUUACACAGAUUUUUUUAAGGGAGAAUCGGGCUUUAGACCCAUUUGGUUUUGAGAAUUAAUAAAGAGUCCAUCAAACACCCAUAAUUGAUUACAAGGAUAUGAGAUGAGAAUAGACAAAAAUACCCCUUUAACUCAUUUUUGUCUUUAUUCUACCACCCUUCACAUGUCACUAUUCUUUCUUAUUUAACCAUUUUUAGUUUUUUUAUUAUUUUUUUAAACUCUUUUAUAAAUAAUUGAAAAAUCAACAUUAUUUUUUUAUUUUUAAAUUAUAAAUAAAUAAAAAUUAUAUUAAUGAUUCAAAGACUAUUUUGGAAAAUGCUUUCUAAAAAAAUAUUAAUUUAAAUAAAUAAAAAUUACAUUUUACAUUUAUUUUUAUCUUUUAUAUUUUAGAAGUAAAUAAUUUAAUGAUUAAAAUACUAUUUAAAAUAAAUAUAUUCACUGUUUUAUUUUUUUUAUAUUAAAAAGUAUUUUAAAGUUUUUUUUACUAUUAUAAAAUAAAAAGUUUAAUUUUUUUUAAUCUUCUUUCUUCCUUAUUUUAAUAACUUUAUUAACAUGACUUUUAGUAAUAAGUUAUAUGAAAUGUUACAAAUUUGUUUAUUAAGGAUUUAUUUUAAUGAUUUGAAUUAAUUGAAAAUUUAUUAAAAUAAGAAAAAGAAAAAGAAAGAAAGAGGAUGGAUGGAAAGUUUUUAUUUUAAGUACUCAAUUAAAAUGUUUUUACCUAAUUUUAGAAGUGGAUUAUAUCAAUACAUAAUAGAGAUUGAAUUUUUCUUAUAUAAAAUGGUUGAAAGGUAUAUUUACUUAUUUUAGAUGAAAACAAGUAGUUAAAAAUUAUAUAAAUUAUAUUUGAGUUUGGUUUUAAAAUAUUUUUCUAAUUUUUAUUUUUUAUCUUUAAAAAUAAAUUUUAUUUUCUAUAUUGUCUUUUUUUUAAAAAUAUUUUUAAUUAAAAAAUGAAAAGUAUUUUUUUAAAUGAAAAUUGAAAACCUUGUUUAGUACUUUUUUUUAUAUGAAAAUAAAAAAUAAUAAAUUUUAUUUAUUCAUUUAUUGCACCACUGUACAAUUGUAUUACACUAACUGUACAAGGGAAAUGUACUAAGUGUAUAAAGGUGUACAAGGCUACCAUUUGUGAAAUAUUAUAAUCGAUUAUGAGUCAUUCCUUUAUUUUUUUUAUCACUCACGAAUUAUACACAUAUGUCAUGCACUUUAUUUAAUUCCUGCAUAAAAAUUCCAAUAUUUUUCCUAAUAAUAAUAUUUGGAGAAAAAAAUUUUUGACCUUAAAUCAUCUACCAUUUUUCAACUAAAUCAUUGGAAAUAUGGUUAAACACUCCUACGUGGAUACAUAACUUAGGAGGGAUAUAAAAUUUGUGUCAUUGUACAAGGGUAUUACACUAACGGAAAAUGUACUAAUUGUACAAAGGUGUACAAGAUUACCGUUUGUGAAUUAUUUUAAUCAAUUCUAAAUCACUUUUUUAUUUUCCUUGUCACCCAAGGAUUGUACGCCUAUGUCAUGCAUUUUAUUUAACUCUCACAUGAAAAUUCUAAUAUUUUCCCUAAUAAUGAUAUUUGGGGAAAAAAAAGUUGAUCCUAAGUUAUCCAUCAUUUUUUUAACCAAACCAUUGAAAAUAUUAUUAAUACACCUACAUGAACAUAUAACUUAUGAGAAAUAUAAAAUUUGUGUCAUUAUACAAGGGUAUUACACUAACUGUACAAGGGAAAUGUGUUAAGUGUACAAGGGUGUACAAGGCUCUUAAUAGGUUUUGUACAAUUUUUAAAUAACUUGAAUUUGACAUUAAGACAAUUAUUGAUAGUUUUUUUUUUUACCAAACUAUGUCAUUAAGACAUUCCCUACAAAAAUUAACACAUAGGAAAUAAAAUUAAAAUCAAUCAUGUUAGAAUUGUUCAUUAUAAGUAAACUAAAUGAAAUAUAUAUUUUUACUAUUUUGCAUUUAUAAACAUAAUUUCAUUGUUAUCAAUAGAGAUUAAAAAAAUCAUAUUUAAAUGGAAUUAUAAAUAAAUAAAAAUUAUUUUUAUAACAUUUUUAUUUUUUUAAGUCAUUAAUUUAAAUUAUGAAAUUAGUUUUAAAAUUAAAAAUAUUUGUUGUAAUUAUAGUUUUGAAGAUUUCAUGAUUUUUAUCAUAUUACUUUGAAAAAAUUGCUUUAAUAAGAAAGUAUUUAUUUAAUGGUUUUAAAUAUUUAAAUCUUUAUUAAAAAAUAUUUAGGAUUAGUGUGGAGAGCAAUUAGGUUAUUUUGGAAUGGAGAAAUUUUGAAUAUUUUUGAAAACUUUAAUUCGGCCAAUUACCCUAUUUACACUUUCAAAAUUAUUGGAAGGUUGGUAAAUUAGUCUUAAAAAUAUUGUCUUCUUGAUUAAUAUUAUAUAUAUGCAUGUGAGUGUUUACAUAAUUUUUGAAAAAAUAAUAAACACCAUGUGUCUAAUUUGCAAGUUAGAAAAAAAAAUUAAUAAUAUUUUAUGAGGUAUUUAAAAAGUAUUUAUUAUAUGUUCUAUAAAUUUAAAAAAAAUAUAAUAUUUGAUGAUAUUUAAUUUACAAGUUGGAGUAAACAAAUAAUACAAAUAUUUUAUGAGGUGUUUAAAAAUUAUUUAAUAUAUAUGAGAAAUAAUAUAAGUUUAAAAUAAAGAAUGAUAUUUACUAUAUAUUAUGUAAGUUUUCAAUAUAUUUAAAAAAUAUUUAUUAUAUAUUAUGUAAGUUUGAAAAAAAUAAUAAUAUUUGAUGAGGUAUUUAAAAGUUAUUCACUUCAAAAAUAUAUUUGAUAAUAAUAAUUUUUUACCAUCUUUCAUAUUUGAGGAAGAAAAAUAAUUCAAGUUGGUUCCACUAUUAAAGGUAAGAGAAGGGCAAAAGAGUCAAAUAGAGAAUGAGAAAUGUGAGGUGAGUGGUUACUUUUUUCAUUUAAUAGUUAAGGGCGUUUUAGGGAUUUUUUAAAGACAAUAUCCUUAUUCUCAAUUUCCACUCUUUCAUUGGGUGUUGGGCUUAAAUAUGAAACUUAUAUGGACCAUACAUUAAUUUUUGGGCCCAGCUGGGCCCAAAACAUAAUUUUCCCUUUUUUUAAUACCAGAAAUUUGGGUACACGUCAUCUUACACUCACAAAAUUUAGUCAAAAAGGCCGGCGUUGAAAGCUAAAUGUACAUUAGAAAAGUUGAAAUUAGGCUGAAGUGUAACAUUUGAAUUUUUACAUGUCAGCUUUUGACAGAAUUGAAAUAAAAUUUUUAUAAAUUAAUAUAAUGACAUUAAUUUAUGGUUUUUUUAUAUAAAUACAUUUUUUUAAAAAGCUUUUAGAGUGGACUAAAUAUUUGGAAACAGUUUUGCUUGCAAAUAUUGCCAAUUAAUGUUUAAUACUGAAGCAGAUGAAGGGUAUAAUUAAAUAGUUGAGAUCUCUUCCGUUACAACUCAAGUGUGAUAACUUUUUCAGCAGAAUAUCAUUUCAAAUAAAUUCUCUACUAACCUUUGUAAUUGAAAUGUUUGUUAGUUACACUAAUAACAAUGUCUAGAUCUCCUUUAAUAGAUAAUUUUAUUUUAUAAUAAUAAUUAUAAAAAUCUUAUCAAUAAAUUUUAGUUACACAUGUAAUUUAUAGUAUAUUUUGUGGUUAAAAAUAAAUGCUCUCGGGCUUAUAGCUAAAAAUAAAUCUUUUACCACAAAAUGUUUUUUUUAAUCACAAAUUAACCUAUGGCAAAACCCUAUCUUUUUUAUUGUGUUUUAAAUCACUUUUUUUUUUAUUCAAAAUAAAAGUGAUAUUUGAUGAAAUUUUAAACUGAUAAUAACUAAAUAUAUGUAGCCAUAAGGUGAGCGAAAUUUAACUUGAAAAGGUAAAAUAGCUACAUAAUAUUCAAGAUAAUUGAUCAAGUGAAUAAAUCAUAAAAUAUAUAUACAACUAUUGAUUUAGACAUAUCUAAGGUUAUAGCUUGGCAAAUAAUCAUAGUUUGUAAGAAAUUGGAAUCCUAAUAUCGAAAGCAUCACGUCAAGACACCUAGACGCUACCUUGAUAUCAAGUCCAUCCCAGACUCAGAAUCAGAAAACAUCAUUCAAAAAAGAAUAAUCAUGUCACAAUGCAUUUAUGUAUGUGUAGUAAAAUUUCCAAAUAAUGCUCUCAUUUCAAAACAAUGUGUCUUACAUGUAGUGGGUUCCAUUGCUUUUAGCUGCUAUAUUUAUAUUUCGAUGUCAUAGGGAAUAGUAUUAAUUGCACAGCAAAUUAAUGUUACAUUGCUUGAAACAUUGAAAUGUUGAUAUUAUAGUCAAUAUCAAACUCUUAUCAUAUCUCAAUUAAACUACGGGAUCCAAAUUUUGACAUUGCAAUGCCAAUAGCAAUUGCAAUAUUGAAAUUCCUGAUAUUGUAAAGGCCUAUAUUGGUUUUAUAUAUCAAAAUUAGUUUUCAUGAUUUUGUUGAAACUUCAUUUUUGAACUAAAGUUUCAAUUGUCAACUGACGCUUGAGUUAAUUUUUUUUUUUUACUUUAAAAUUUAAUUAAAAACUAUUAAAUUACAAUUUAUUAUUGAAAUUAAAAAAUAUAAAUAAGAUAUAAAAUUAUAAUUUAUUAAUUUAAGAUAUUUAAUUUGUUGUUUUUUAAGAUAUUAAUCUACUUAAAUUAUAUCAAAUUUAUCUUUAUUAAAAUAAUAGUAUACUCUUAAGUCAUAGUUGUCAACUGAGGUUUCAGUUAAUAUUUUUUUUUUUUUUACUUUCAAAUUUAAUUUAAAACUAUUAAAUCACAACUUAUUAUUGAAAUUAAAAAUAUAUACUUUAAUAAUAAAUUAUUUAUAUUUAAACUUAAAAAUCUAGUAUUACUUCAAUAAAGAUAAAUUGAUAAAUAUAAUACAAUAAAUUAAUAAUCUUAAAAUAAUAAAAUUAUAUGACAUACAAAUAAGCUAUAAAAUUUUAUAAUUUAUUAAUUUGUUGUUUUUUAAUAUAUUAAUUUAUUUGUAUUAUGAUGAAUUUAUGACACAAUACAAAUAAAUUAAUAUUUUAAAAAAACAACAAAUUAAAUAUUUUAAAUUAAUAAAUUAUAAAAUUUUAUACCUUAUUUAUGUGUUAUAUAAAUGUAUUAUUUUUAGACUGUUAAUUUAUUAAUAAAUAAAAUACUAAUUUAUAAUAUCUUUUAUCUAUCAAUUUACGUUUGUUGAAGUAAUACUAUAUUCUUAAGCUUAAAUAUAAAUAAUUUAUUAUUAAAGUAUACAUUUUUUAUUUUAAUAAUAAAUUAUAAUUUAAUAGUUUUUAAUUAAAUUUUAAAGUGAAAAAUAAAAUUAACUGAAGUCUCAAUUGAUAAUUGAGAAUUUAGUUAAAAAAUGAAACUUCAGUUGACAACUUCAACUUCAGUUAAAAAAUAAAGCCUCAAUUACCAAUUGAGACUUUAAUUAAAAUUUUGAAAAAAUAAAAUAUUUCUAUGACAUGGCUUCUAAGUGACACCAGACUAAUUUGAACAUAAGUUUUAUAAAAUGGUUAGAUAUAUAUAUAUAUAUAAAUGAGCUAUUUUGACCCAAAACUCCCGUUGUGUUCACUAAAUGUCCGAAUGACAACAAUAUUGUCCAUGAAAAUAAAGGAUGGGCCAUGGAGGCUUUGGAUCAAAGCUGAAAUGUUUCAACUUGAACCCAAUAAUUCAACUACCAUUUAAUAUCUAAAACUUGAUCUGUCGGUCUUCAGAACUUCGGACCUCAAAAGCAAGUACCAUUCAAUUUAAACCCAAUAAUUCAACCACCUUUUAAUAUCGGACAUAUCCUCUGUCCAUUUUCUAAAUUUGGACACAAAAAGCAGGUAGAGAAUUGCUACCUGCUUUUUGUAAUCUUUCACCAAAUAGAAAAUUGCAAUUUCUAUCACAAUUAAAAAUUAUAUAUAUUAUUAGAUGAUGAUUCUUAUGUCAAAUUAGUGGUCAAAUCAUAGUUGAGUUAUUACAUUAAUACAAUAAAAUAAAUAUAAUUUAUAUAUUAUUAAAAUUUAAAAUAUAAAUAGUUAAAAACUUAAAAUAUAUAUUUUAUCUUUUUAUCUUAAAUAUUAACUUAUUAAUUCAAGAUAAGAAUAAAAUAUAAAUAUUGUAAUAUUUAUAAUUUUAUUAAAUAGAAAAAUUAUAAUAUUUAAUUGUUAAAAGACAAAUCAUAUAUCAAAGAGAGAAAUAAAAUUUUAUUAUCUAGCUUCAUAUUUUAUUAUUAUGUUAUCUUAAUAUGAUUUUGUUACAAUUGAAUGUGAAUAAAUAGUUAGUUACCUUUAUUCUAAACGGUCCAUAUAUGUAUGCUAUCAUUAUAAAAGAAAAGUCUACUUACUGAUAUGCUUACCAUCAUUUUUAGAGCAGGCCUUUGAGCUCACUGUCCCUACCUCUCAAAUCUUUAUUUAAAAAGUAGUUCAAGGAAAGCAUAGUUUAGUUGAUGUUGGUUUGUUUGUUUGUUUUAUUUUAUUUAAUUUUAAAUAUAAUUUAAUUUAAUUCAAGAUUAAAUAAUAUUUAAUAAUAUUAAGUAUUAAGUUGUUUUUUAACUCACUGUCUCAUACUAAUUUUAUACACUUUUCUGUCAGUCUCUAACUCUUACAACCUGAGCUCAUGUCCUAUUUAUUUAGUAAAAUAUUAAAUAGAUUUUACAAAAAAAUUAUGAAAGAGUUAAAGGAUUUUGUCCAAGUAAUUAAAAAAUGAAAACUGUGAAACCAAGGUUUGGUUAAUCUUGAUUUUGAUAAUAACAAAAUAAGGUUUAAAACUAAUGAUUAUAUUUCAAGUGUGAUUAGGUAAGACGAUUUCCAAAGUGGCAAUCACAAAGACAAAUCAAGUCAAUGAGAAAUCAUGAAGAAGAUGACCACCUCAAAGAGAAGUGUUUUUCAAGACCCAAACUUCAUAAGAUCUCUUUGUAAGGUUGUUGGUGCACUAGGAUUUUUAUGCAUUACAUUCUUUAUUUAUGCACCAAAAUCAUCCAAUAGUUAUUUUGUUUUAAAUAUUUUAAGAAUUUGAUGAUUUCAUGUUUUCAACUAAAACCUUGUGUUAAAUGUUUUUCAAACUUGUUUUAAAAGGUUUUAAGUUGAAAAAGUUGGGUGUUGAGUCAAAAAUGGCUCAAUCGGCUCAACAGGUUGAGAAACCGGUUGACCGAUUGUGCUUGUCCGGUCGAGGACUGGUUGAGGGAGGCUAAAAAGUUUCUCUCUCUCCUAGUGGCCUUCUCUUCCCGGUCGAGGUCAGGUUAAGGUCCGGUUGAGGCCCAAUGGUUAUCUGCCAAGUAUUAAAUGUUAACGGCUAGUCAACCGAUCGACCCCUAACUCAACCGGUCGAACCCCCAAACGACUAGUUUGGUUUUUCUCUUCUAUAAAAAGGCUCCAAUCUUCAUUGUUUAAAGAGCUUAACCUUCCCAAACCAUUCUUGAAUAUAUUUGAGUCUUGGAAGAGUGUUUUUGAGUACACCAUUAUUCUAAAACUUUCAUAUCUUUAGUGCACUAUUCAAUCCUAGUUUUCUUAUAUUAUUUGAGCUUAAUGUUUUUAUACUAGGAUUUUGAGAGAUCAUUUAUUUGUAAGCCUUUGAGAGGAAAUUUCUCAAAAGUGUGGUAUCUCUUGAGAAGUGUAAAGGGUGCUUGGAGCCAAAAGUCCAAGAGGGUGAAUUGGAACCAUAAUCCAAUUGUAUUGCUUGAAGGCUUGGUUUGGAAGCCUUGAAUUAGUGAAACCUCAAGCUCGGGAUUGAAGCUAGAGGAGAGUGGAUGUAGGUUGGGUUGCGCCGAACCACUAUAAACUCUUGUGUUUGCAUUCUUUCUUCUCUACUUUUUUAAUUUAUAUGCAAUUGUUUUUAUAUUACUUAUCAUAUACUUACAUAUAAAUUGUUUCUUACUUUCACAUAGUUUAAAUUUACAAAAAGAGACCAUUAUCUUAUUCACCCCCCUUCUAGGGUGAUUACCAUAGGUUGGAUUAUCCUAAUAUUCCUAACAAAAACAAAUCUCACCAAAAACUUUUAUAGAAUUUUAAUAAUAUUUUUACAACAAAAAGUCUUAAAUAUUAAUAAUUUCCAUAGUGUGAAUUAUUAGACAAGAUUAAAUUUGUAAAACAUUAAAUAACAUGAAAUAUAAUAUAAUUAUAUAGUGCUUGUACAUUAGCCAUUGUAUGGCUAAAUGUAAAUACGUUUUAAAAAUCUCAAAAUUAAAUAAAAAAAUAAAAAUUUAAACAAAAAACCCAUCCAUUAAUAAAACACCAACUAUAUAGUAAAAAAUAAAUAAAUAAAUAAAUAAUCAAUUUUCUAGAAAUUUUCUACGAAACUUAUUUAAGAUUUUAAAAAAAUAAUCUUAAAAAAUCUGAAAUAUAUUAAAAACAAAUAUAUAUAUAUAUAUUUGUAAAAUAUAUUUAAUAUCACAGGGGCAUAAAUUGGUCUUUUUUUACAGUGAGUAUUUGUCCUCUGUUCCUAUAUUAGUAUUUUGAAGUAAAGAUCAAUCUUAUUGCAACGUGCCUAAAUCUUAAUUUUAUGCUUCGAUCCUUUCCACUGUCCACAUAACCUUUGCUAGAAAGGUCUAGGACAUCCCCAAAAUUUCUUGUUGGGUCCCAUGAGCAAGUCCUCCAAAAUAGCACAAGUUCAAAAGUCUUUUUAGUUCGGGCCCAAUAAUUUGGUGGAGCUAUCAUUGCAAGUUAGGUGUGACUCAGCUGUAAUUGAAUAAAUUUAUAUUUAUAUUAUAUUAAAAUAAAUGAAUCAAUAUAUGCCAUGGUGACAAAGAAAAAGUCAUAAACUUUUGAAUAAAAUCAAUAGUAUAAAAACUCUUAUUAAACUUAAAUAAGCUAUGUAUGCAAACUUAUCAAAUGUUAAUUGAUAUAUAAAUGAACUUAUUUAAAAUUUUAUAGCUAUCAUUAGGUUUUGGUGGCACUAGACACAAGGACUAUGCUUCCAUACUACCUUCACUCGUUCCAAAAUCAACCUUGUGAGACUACUAAUAUGUAAGUUUUUCCCUCAUUACUAAAGCAUGAGGCUUAGUUGGUAACAAAUAUUAUUUUCUUCAUGUAGGGCCCUCAAAAUUCAUCCACCGGAAAAACAUAAAUCAUCAAAAAGGGAGACUACUCAGGUUGUAGUAGGGGUGUUUAACUCAUAUAAAUUAAGUAAUGCAUUUUUAGUACCAUUUCUUAAUUUUUAAUGAAGUACAAAAUGCCCUACAACUCAUAUUCACUUACAAAAAGAGACCCAAACAUACAUAACUUCCACCUUUCAACAUGUCUUUGUAUGUUAUAUAAUUAGUAAUGAAAUCUCACUACUUGUAGUACUAAUUUACCAUUUUUUAUAUUAAGUGUUCUAUGUUUAUUGAAUAAUAUAUUUUAUGCCAAAUAUUUAACUUGUUUUGUGAAAGUCUUUCUUUAUCUUUACCAACUAUGUGAUAAAAAGAAAUGAAGUCAUUCAAUAUUUAAUAUGUAAUAAAUGUAGUGAAGCAUAUAGAAUGAAACCAUGUAUUAUAUUGAUUUGUAUCCACCAAAUGAGAACAAAAAUGUGAAUGCAAAAGGCGAAUCUAAGUCUAGAAUGUGCAGCAUGGUUUUAGUCUUGCAAUUUGUGAUAUACAAUAAAUAAUGUGAGACACAUAGAAAGAAAUAAUUAAUAUCUUUGACUUAUUGGUAUCUACUAAAUGAUAAUGAGAAUGCAAAUCUUAGUCAAUAACGCAAAUUAUGGCUUUACAUUAAAUUUAAUUUUUGGUUAAUUUAAUUUGGGACGAAGUUGAAUCAUGUAUUUAUCUUUAAUUUUAUCAUAAAAACUAAAUAAUCGAUAUUACAAUGUUAUGACAAUUAUGCUUCAGAGUAAAAUAAAAUAAAUUGAAAAAAAAAAAAGAGUCGAUGUAUGAUUUAUAGAUCAUUGGAAAUUGAUGAGUGUUUAAUGACAUGUAAUUGUGUCAUAGUGGAUUAAAACACCAAUUUAAAAAUAGUUUUAAGGGUUUUGAGGAAAUCAAUACUAUUUAGUAUGAUGCAAUCCCAUUCAUGUUCUCAACCCUUUAAAAUGUAGGAUCAGAGACUCUUUUCAUUGGAAUUAACCUCAUUUACAAAAUACAAUUAGUUUUCCAAAUAAGAUUCUACAUUUAUUGUGUUUUUUAAUUUUUAAUUUUUGUGCAUUUAUUGUUGUCAAGUAAAAUAAUAAUUAUUUUUAGACGAAGACUUGAUAAACCUAACUUCUACCAUCAAUAUGUCUUUAUAUAAACAAAAUCCAACCACUUGAAUUUGACUCUACCAUGUUCUCCGCUAAAUGCUUUACCAUUCAUGCAUUAACAUUAUUUUUAUUUUUAUUUCAAAUACAUACUUAUUAUGUGAAAGACUUUUCUAAUCUUAUUCAAUUAAGCAUGUGAUACAGAAAGAAAAGACCUUUUGCAAUUGAAUAAAUGUUGUGAUAAAUAUAUAGAGGAAGAAAUACUAUCUUAUAUUAUUGGCAUCCACAAAAUUAGAAUAAAAAUGUCAAUCUAAGUCUACAAUGCGAAAGAUGGUUUUUCAUUUAAAUUUAGUUUCUAGUCCGUUCAAAAUCUUGAAUAAACAAGAACAUGCGCUUUCUCUUCAUAUUUGUCAAAAAAAUCUAGAUAAUCAAUAUUAUCAUAUUAUGAAUAUUAUGCUGAACAGAGAAAUUAAAAACAAUGGAGAGCAAAAAGAUAUAGGAGUCCAUGUAUGAAUUAUAGAUUAUCGACAAAGUUUAAUGAUGGGUGAUUGUGUCGUAGUUGAUUGACAAACAAAUUUAAAAAUGUUUUAUGACUAGUCAAAUUUGUUUUCAACAAUUUAAAAUGACGGUAAUUGACAAAUUAGAUUGGAAUAUUUAUUUUUCUUAAAUGGAUCCAAUAAAAUUUAAAAUUUUGAAAAAUCAAUUUGAUUUGACAUUGUCUAAAUCAAUUUAUUUUUCCUGACCCCACUAAAAAUUGUAAGAAAGACCCUUCCUAUGUAAUAUAACCUUAUUUAUGACCCUAGAUUAUUAUUUUAUUUGAGGUUUUAUGUCUACUUAUUUUUUUAUUGAGUAUUAGUAAAUGUCAUAUAACAUAAUAAUUAUUCAUAGAAGGUGGCCUAACAAACCCAACUUUUACAAUCAACAUAUCUUUCUAGAUUAUAUAAUUAUUAAUGAAAUCUUAUAGUGGUAGUGGAUUGAAACACCAAUUAAAUAAUUAUAUAUAUAUAUAUAUGUAGCCGAUUUUGAUCAAUUUUAAAAUGUUGAGAUGUCAUCAUAUAUUAGACUAAAAUAUUUAAUGAUCUAAUAAAAUUUAAAAAUUUUUAAAAAUCAAUUUCAUUUUGUUUUAUCCACUCCCUUUCAUGUUUCCAAUCCUUUGAAACUUAAGAUUAGAGGCUCAUCUCAUAGAAAUUAAUCUCAUUUAUUACAUAGAAUUAGUUUUCCACAUGAGAUUUCACAUCUUUUUUUUUAUUUUUUUAUUUUUAUUGAUGUUAAGUAACAUAAUAAUUAUUUAUAAAGGGAGACCUAACAAACCUAACUUUUACCAUUAACAUGUCUUUACAUGUAAUUUAAUAAUGAAUGAAAUGUGAUCACUUAAAGUUCACUCUACCAUUUUCUUUGCUAAAUGCUUUACCUUAAUGCAUUCAAGUUACUUGUAUUUUUAUUUUAAAUAUAUGACCAAUUAUGUGAAAGUCUUUCCUAACCUUAUUCAAUUAAGCAUGUGAUAUAGAAAGAAAUGAGGUCUUCUAAUUUAAUAAAUGAUGUUAUAGAUAUUGUUAGGACAUUGAGUCUUGUUUGUUUGAUGACAAUUUUUUUCCAUUUAAUGUUUGACCAUAAAAGUCUUCUUAGAUAAUAACUUGCUCUCCAUUGAAGAUCAAAGGUUGUUGUUUGUCCAACCAUGAAGUCAUAGGUACAUCUAAACAAGUUUGGCUUAUGUCAUGUUAGGCUCCUAUGAGGUAUAAAGAGAAUUGAUUUUGUUUUUGAACUUAAAAUGAUUUAAAAUUAAUGUUUUCUAGAAGACAAGACCACUUAAGCGACCUGAAGUGCUUAAGCACUAAGGACCGCUCAAGUGCUCCCUAUCACUCAAGUGCUCGAGGCACUCAAGCGGUGGGUUAGUUGGCUCGAGUGGUCAUCCUAUUUCUAUUGAGAAUUUUUCAUGCAAAUUCAAUUGAGAAAUCUUCCAAAACCAAAACUCUUCGAUUUAGUUGCCUAGAUAUACCUCAUUAUAACCCUUUAAGGGUAAGAGAUUAGACCUUUUUAGAGAGUUUCUUUGAGGGAAAAACCUAAUGAGCCACACCAUUCCCGAUCUCUCAUUUGAAGGAUUCAAGUGUUGAAUCUAAGGUUGAAGACCUGCAUCCUUUAGCAAGGCUAAGGUGUAUUCACUAGAGCAAUCAAAGGUUAUUAUGUUGUGGACGUGGAUCAAGUUGUAGGUACUGGAGAGAAAGUCUUUAGGGUAAAAUGACUAAGUAAAUCUAUGUAACUCGAUCUUAUAUAGUGGAUUUAGAUUAAUAGUUUUAAACCUCAUGGUUUUUUUUUCUUCAAAGUUAGUGUGAGGGUUUUCCAUGUAGAAAUCUCUUGUGUCUUAUUGCUUAUUAUUUGAUAUCUUGUUUGAAUUUAUUACAAUAAGAAUAAUUGUUAUACCUUGAUAACUCGCGGGAUAAAAAUUGGGUAUAACAUAUAAAUCUUUAUUUAAAUUUUUUAAUUCACCUAUUCACCCCCCCUCCCUCCCCCUUCUCUAGGUGUUACCCCACUGGACUUAGAGGUUUUUUCAAUUAGUAUCAUAGCAGAAUAAAAAUUAAUUUUUUUUCUUAUCCUAUUGAUUAAAAAUCAAUUUUUUAUUGAUCCUAUUAUAUAAAAAUCAUUUUUUUUAUAUUAUUCAUAUAGGAUAAAAAUAGAAUUUUUAUUGAUCAUAUAAGUCCGACAUGGAACAUUAAAAAAUAAGAGCACCUUUGAAUAGUUCACCUUACAUCGAUGGGAGUAAUUAUCCCCAUUGGAAAGCUUGGAUGCAAUUCUUUCUUAAAAUGUAAGGUGAACGGGUAUGAAAUUCAGUGGAAUAUGGAUGAGGACCCCCAUUGAUUCUUGAUGUCCAUGGGAGAUCAACUAGAGAACUUAAACCUAAACAAGAUUGGGACAAAGCUAAUAAUGAAGUGAAUGAAGCCAAUACUAGGGCUUUAUUUAAUAUCUUUAAUGGUGCUUGUCCAGAUGAGUUUCAUAGGAUUGCAAAUUGUAUGCAUGCUAAGGAAGCAUGAUAUAUUCCUCAAGUCACUCAUGAAGGUAUGUCUACAAUUAAAAUUUCUAAAUUGCAAAUGCUUACUACUAAGUUUGAGAAUAUUAGGAUGCAUGAAAAUCAAAACUUUCCUUUCUUUUAUUUUGAACUAAGUGACAUAGUUAACUCUUCUGUUAACUUAGAACCUAUUCUAGAUUCAAAGAUAGUAAGAAAAAUAUUGAGAUCUCUACCAAAGAGACUUAGACCUAAGGUCACUACCAUAGAGGAUAGCAAUGAUAUUGAUUCCAUGAGAGUUGAUGAACUUGUUAGCUCUAUAUAGACAUUUGAGAUGACCCUACCUAGUUCUCAAAUGCCUAAAGAUUAUGCUUUUAAGGCUUAUGAGAAUGAGAAAAAAUAUAUUGAAAUGCCAUAUAAUAUAACUAGGGAUGAAUUGGGUCAUAUGGCUAAAAGAAUUAAAAAGGUAGUGAAAUUUAAUAAAAGGUUUUACAAAAAUCAAGAGUCUAGAAUAGGAAAAAGACCUAAUGAACAAUCAUCCAAAGAAAAUGAUAAAGGUUCUUCCAAUGCUAAGAAAGUUGAAUGCUUUAAUUGUGGAGGUCGAGGACACUUCACUAUUGAAUACCCUAACCCUAAAGAUAUCAAAAAGUCUAUGCAAGCUACAUGGAGUGACAUAGAAUCUAAAGAAAGUAAUUCCACAACUUUUGAAAAUGCAAGGUACAAUCCCAAUGACUUUUUAGAUUUUAUUGCAUCUAUGAAAACUGUGCAUGAUAGUGAUUGUGAUGAUGAUAGUGAUGAUGAAUUCAUUGAUGAACAAAAAGCUGCUUUCUUGAAUAAUCUUUUUGUUGAGCAUGAAAAACUAAUUAAAAAUUAUUUGAAUCUUAUAAAAUCAAGAUAGACAUGGUUAAUUUAGAGAGGACUAAUCUACUUGAAAAGAUUAGAUUUUUUGAGUUUGAACAUCAUUCUCUUCUUGAGAAAAAUAAUGUUUUAACUCAAAAUAUAAAAAAACUAAUAAGCCUUCUUCAUCUAUGAAUGAGAUCUUUCACCUUGGAACUAAAGUGCUUAAUAAAAAAAAUACUUGAUAAAUGCAAAACCCAUGGUGAAAAAAAAGAGGCUUGGGGUACAUUAAUAAAGAUGAAGUUCCCUCUAGUGGAGAAACUGUGUUUGUCAAAGGUAAAGAUGAAACCCCUAACAAAGUAGAUUCUCAUAAAAAUCCAUCACUAUGCAUUCAUUGCAAGAAAACAAAACACGAUUAGUUUAAAUGCUACACCAAGUUCCUAGAGAGGUUUGAAUCUCAAAUGAGUAGGCUAAUGAAUGAAUUUAAUUCCCUUAAAAAUAACAUCUUGAAUAAUGGGAAAAGAAAUAAAACUAAUUAAAAGCCUAGAAGUCAACAAAGCUCCUCUAAGUCACCACCUAGGAUUGAACAAGUUUAGAUGAGAAAAGACAGGGCUAAAUGUCAAGUAGUCUCCACAACACUUCAAACUAGAUCUUCCAAUUAGUACUUUGAUAGUGGUUGCUCUAAACACAUGAUAGGAGACAAGCCCUUUUUCAUUUCUCUUAAGGAUUAUAAUGGUUGGAUAGUUAGUUUUGGAGAUAGGAUCUUAGGUCAUGUAAAAAGAAAGAAGUAUAUCUAUCACUGGUUGUCCUAAAUUAGAUGGAGUUUUUUAUGUAGAUGGACUCAAGGCAAAUCUAUGACAAAGAUCGUAAGGUGAAUUUUUUCCAAGACUUAUAUGAGAUAGUUAACAAAGAAGGAAAAGUCAUUAUCAUAGGACAUAAGAUAGUUGAUAAUUGUUGUGCAAUAAAUCCUAUAUUUAAAACACCUUUUGUGUGUAGUAGGGAAAAGCUAGAUCUUACCCAACUCUGGCAUAGAAGGCUAGGUCACAUAAAUAUAGAGACCUUGUGCACUUAGUGAAUAGUGAAAGAGUUUGAGGUAUCCCUAAACUAAUUGGUGAACCUAAACCCAUUUGUGGUGAGUCCCUGAAAGGUAAACAAACUAAAAAUUCACAUAAAAAGGUUAAGGAAAUUAGGAUCACUAGACCUUUAGACUUUCUACAUAUGGACCUUAUGGGUCUCAUGUGAAUUGAAAGUAGAGGUGGCAAGAGAUAUUUGUUAUGAAUGAUUUUUUGAGAUACUCCUUUGUGAGUUUUGUUAGAGAGAAGUUUGAAACCAUAGAACACUUGAAGUCACUAUUCAACAUAAUACAAGUGGAAAUAAGUCAUUUGAUUGUAAGGAUUAUGACUGACAGAGGGAAAGAGUUUGACAAUGUUGAUGUGGACCUUUUUUUCAAGUCAAAAGGUAUUAAACAUGAAUUUUUAUCCCUUAGAACUCCUUAAUAGAAUGUAGUAGCUGAAAAAAAAAAAAAAAAAUAGAUGUUACAAGAAAUGGCUAAGGUGAUGAUUCAUAUGCAUAAUAUCCCUAUGUAAUUUUGGGCAAAAGCUAUUCAUAUAACAUGCUUCAUUGCCAAUAGGAUUUUUCUUAGACCCAAAACAAAAGACAUUUUAUGAAUUAUGGACUAAGAGAAAACCUAACCUUAAGUAUUUUAGGACUUUCGGUAACGAAUUCUAUAUACUCAGGAAUGGGGAGAACCUAAGGAAGUUUGAUGCAAAAUCUAAUCAAGGUAUUUUUCUAGGCUAUUAUACUUCUAGUAAAGCCUAUAUGAUGUAUAAUCAAAAUUCAUAGAUUAUUCAAGAAUCCUCUAAUGUGGUUAUAUAUGACAAUGAGUAUGAUCAGGAUAUAAUUGAGAGUCAAAUUUUAACUUAGAAAUCAAUUGGCGAUAAUCCUAAAUAUGUGGAGAUCACAAAAGAUAACCUUGAAGAUAUCCUUGAAAGAAACAUUAAUCCUAAUAAGGAUGAAUCUAUUCUUCAAGAAGACACAUCUGAAGAAAUGAGAAAUAUGUUGGGAACCCUAGAUUACUUCGUUUCUAUGGCCUAGAUCUUGUAGGGUGCAUGCAUCUAUCCUUAGGGAUUUUUAGAUCUAGCAUAGUGGAAAAUAAUGCCUUCAAAACUAAUUUAGAAUAAAGAUAUAGAGAUUUGUAAUUCAUAUUUGUGAUCUAGAUGUUCCCAAAUCAAAAUCCAUCCAAUGAAGAACAUGCUUGGAAAAUCUAGAGGUCUCAUACAUCUAAGAUUUUUUGUCUGAAAUUAAUAGUGAGUAUGAUUUCUAUGAAUUUGAAUUUAAAUAUUUCAUUAUUUAUGAUUGAGAUAAUUAAAAUUUAUGCUCAACUUUAAUUUCAAUUAUUUCUUGGAUAAUGUGAGGUUUUAUCUAUUUAAAAACCAAAAUAACAUGAAAGAUAUAUUUGGAACAUUCUUUUUCUCUUUUCCUUUUUGCAUUCUUUUUAGAAACUAAAAAGAAGUAUAUUUUUAUAGUUAUUUAGGUCCAUAAUAUAAAAAGCACAAUAAUUAAACUUAGAAUUCAUUCUUAAAAAUAUUUAAUUGUAGUUAGAUAUCUAAUUUCUCAAUUUGAGUUUUCUUUUUGUUAACAUGGUUUGUUUUUUCUAUCAUAGGUUUGAGAUAGAGGUAUUGGCAAAUUUGGGGUCUUUUUAGAGGGCAGUGCUUGAAGAUUAAUGUUAGAGAUAUGAUAUCCACAAAUUGCAUAUAUGUUUGAUGUAUUAUUGUAAUUGAAAGUACCUUAUAAUUUGAAAAUGGCUAUUUUGAUACUUGUUACUUACUUUUCUAUUAAUGUUGUGUCUAUCCUAUUAGGUAUCCAAGAAAUAUAGCAAAAAAAAGAAGAAGAUGAUGUAGAAUUAGAGACCCUCUUACGAAGAUAGUAUUGUACUUUUUAAUUUAAGUUUGUAAAUUAUCUUAAUUGAAUGUUUGUAAUUAAUUUUUUUUUUUUGUAUAUAGAAACUAGAGAGUAGCUAGAAAACUAUUUAUUCCAUUGUGUUUUUAAUAUUCAAAUGUAUAUAUAAUAAUUUUUUCCCUUGAGUAAUAGUUUAUUUGUAUGUUUUAGGACUUACUUAUUAUUAUAAUAAUUAAAUAGUACUAAAUAUGGUAAUAGGUUCAUUUUCCAUUAAAAACUAAAAAUUAUAAUAAAAUAAUAUUAAAUUUUUCAUAGGCAACCUUGAAAAAUGGCUAAUGCCCAACAUUGACAUCUGCAAUAGCUACAAACCUUGACAUAUUAUACUUAUCCUUAACAUUUGUUGCAACAAACUUGAUAGAAAAGCAAGUUAACAUUAACAUAAGAUAAAAGAUAAAAGAAUCUUGACAUAUGUUGAAUCCAACCGUGGCAAAAGUGAAAGAAACAUUGACAUAUGUCAUACUAACAAAGAUUCCAUCAUUAGUAGAAAUAGAAACAAUCUUAAUAUAUGUAAAUGUCAAGGUAGAUUUAAACUUUUCUUGACAGCAUAGAUGACAUAUAUGAAUAGUAACAUACCUUGAUAGAUAUACCCUAUCUUGAUGGUGAAAAACUGUCAAUGAAAGCCUUUUUUCUUGUAGUGUUACCAAGCUGCUUCAUUGUGUUGUCUCUCAACCUUAAGACAAUAUCGAGUUUAUGCUAAAUUUAUCAAUGACUUUGAGUUACGGGUGAGACUAUAAGCUGAUCAUAUAUUCCCUAUGGAUUAGGUCAUUGUUGAUGGAAGCGAUAGCAAUAGGUAUUCUCAAUAGAUGUACCAUGAUAUCUCUUGGGAUUGAGACAACGUGUUCCCUUGGGUGAUCCUAAAGAGGUGUGUUCAUGGAAACCAUGGCCACAGUAGUUCAUUAAGUGGAACUUGACACAAGCUCUUUGAGAGCUAAGAUAUGUCAAUUGACUUCACAAUAGGAGGAUAGGAUGGUAGAGGUAGUCUUGAAAGGCUAAUAGUUUUCACCUUGUUAGACUACGGACACCAAUUCAUGGAGAGACUGAACACAAUGGAUAGCAGGUCGCAGACCCGAGCAUUUUGGUGUCUUAUUGUUAUUUAUAUAGGAUAUUGGAGUUCAGUUGAUUCUCAGUAGUGGGAUGUUGAAUCAACUUUAAAAAUGGAUUUUGAGAGAGCCAAUAUUCCUAUGGGUCCCAAUGGUCCCUGCGCUAAGCUUAUAUACCUUGUUGGCAUGAAUUAUGAGGGUCAGAUUAGCUCUAGGUUCACUUUUGUGCAUAAGGGUGUUUUGGUAAUUAUGUAAGGUUGCACAAGGGUAAAUGAACAAGGUCUCUGAAUAGGGCUAAUUGAUUAAUUAGUAGCCCUAUUGGGUUAAUUAAUCAAUUAAGACCAAUUUUGGGCUAGAUUAAGUGACCCAAGUCCAUGUGGGCUCAAGUCACUUAAGCCCACUUAGGAACCCUAUAAAUACCCCCUAGGGGUUAAGGUUUUCACAGCUUUUGUCUUCCAUAAUCCAAAGAGAUGAGAUUCAUGGCCUUCACCCUAUUUUCCUCCUUACCGAAAGUGUGCCAAGAUCAAGGUUCAAGUUAUUAGGUAAAAAAUAGUGGGUUUACGAAACUUCUACCAUUUUGUUCUUCAUCUUCACCAUAUGGAUUUGAUUUGGGAGCAACAGAAUCUACGGUAUUGUUUUCAUUAGCACUUUAUGAAUCCUUUUAAAAUAUAAAAAUUGUAUUUUUCCAUUGUGCAUAAGAUUUAGAAAAAUCCUAGGAUAGUUAUGCACAUUCCUAACUUGAUCCAAACUUGGGAAACAAAAAGAUCCUGGUUUUUCCCUUCAACUGGUAUCAGAGCCAUAGGUUAGUAAUUGUGUUAGAACCAUUCUAGGGUGUGCUAACUUGUUUUUACAGGUUUUUAAUUUAUCUCAUGGCCCUAGGGAUAAUUAAUGUGUGUUCUUUAUUAUGAUCUUGUUAUAGUAUAAUGGUUAUAAUUGUGAUUGCUUUUAAUUGGGGAUGUAAUAAUUACUUGGAUUGGUUUUUACCUUUCCUAAAUGGGUUGUAAGCCUCAUAAGAGUCAUAGAAUUUUUUUUUUUUUUGUAAAAAUCCCUAUUUUAUCUUAAAAUGGUAUGUAAACUCUAAAUAUUUGGAGUAUAGUUUUUAUUUGUAAAAAUCCAUAUAUAUAUAUAUCAUUCUUUGUAACCUAUGGAGAGUAUGGAAUCAAUCUGAAGCAUCACAAAGUAUUUGCGCAUAUUUCCUUGUCGGAAAAGAGAAAAGAAGGCUUCUUAAAGUUUCUUUCAUGAGUUCUUAUGGUGAUUUAAGGGAAAAGAAAGAAUUUUGGAAGUUCUUGAUUUGAGAUCCUUGGCAGCACAAUUUCAUCAUUUUUAACUUAAAACUAAGAUGAAUUCCUAUGAGUUUCUUAGAGCAAGUCACCUAUGAUUUUGAAGGUUAAGAAAUCCAAGGCUUCAAACAGAUCACAAUUCAGAGUUGAAACUAGAGAGUUAUAUCUGAUUGAAUCAAGGCUGCGCAAAGAGCAUGGUAGCACAGUGACGCUAAUUUCAACUCAAAAUUGGGGCUACCUCCUAUGAGCUUUUUGGAGAAAACCACAUAUGGUUUUGAAGCUUAGGAAGUUAGGAAUCCAGUGCUUUAAAUGAAUUUCAAUUUGGAGUUGAAACAAGGGAUAUAUGGUUGAUUGAAGCAAGACUUUGCAAAGGGUAUGCAAUUAUGGGAUUGAGUUCAGGCCAAAUUGUGUUUGGUUGUUUGGGCUUAAUUUUUGGGCCUCUUAUCUUUUUGUGGCAUUUUGGGCCCGUUGGGUUUUUCUUUUUUUUUUUUCACCAACCCCAUUUUUUAUUGCAGGGCUUUUUUGGUAAUUUGGAUUUUAUCUAAGUUUUAGUUAUCAAAUUUGCAAUAGAAUCCCUAAGGCCAUGAGAAUUAUUUAUUUAAUUUUCUUUUAUGUCUUUUAUGUUUUUUUAUUUUUGGCAUAGAAUAUAUUUUGGUAUUCUUAAGUUAAUAAAUUUUCAUAUUUUUUUUCCUUAUUUAAGAUAAUUUAUUAAAUUGGAAUGUGCUAGGAAUAAGGAAAUUUUUUAUUUUAGGUAAAGAUAAUCUGGAAAGAAAUAAGGAACUUACUUCCUUUCCAAAAUUAAACUUUUAGAGAUUUGUUUUUAAAUAAAUCUUUUUAGAUUUUAGAUCUCUAAGAAUCUUUUUAUUUUAAGGAAGAAGUUUUAUGUUUCCAAGUCUUUAUGAAAUAAAUUUUUUCCUAUUUAGAACAAGAUUCUAAUUUAAAGAAAUAAAUUAUUUUUGGAAAAAUAUAUGAUAGAUAAUUAAUCAUUAAGAUAGUUUACCAGUAUAUUGUUUCAAAUAAAUUAAAUUAAAAUGGUAAUUUUGAAUUUUCUUAAAAGAAUAAAUUUUCAUGAGUUUUAUUUCCAUUAUUAUUUAUUUAAGGAAUUGGUUGUUGUCAUUUGGAAUUUCAAAUUCCUUUUGGGACUUUCCUUUAUUUGAGUUAAGUGGUUCUCCAUGCUCUCUCCCCUCUCAAAGAGAAGGAGAAUGACACCUAAAUUGGUCCUCCAGGCUCUUCCCCCUUAAGAGAAUGAGGAAAUCGUUUAGUUUGAAAAGAAAAAUUCAAGGACAAGGAAUAUGAAAGAUAUCCCUAUUUGGCACAAGGGUCCCAAUUCAAGUAAUAAAUAAAAGUUUUGGAAAUUCUUAUGAUAGAUAAUUUAUAUUAAGAUAGUUAUCAAAAUUAUCUUAAAGUCUCACUUCCAAAAUAUUAAGUGGGAGUGGGCCAUAGGCAAGCCCAUAGCCUCCAAUAUCGAGUCCAACUUGAUUUUGGGUCCAUCACCAUCUUAAAGAUGGGGUGGGCCAAGGAAUCAAGGGAUAUGAACUAUCCUUUAUGGAUAAGACUAUAUAUGUUUGUAGUGGGAGUGACCAAUCCUAAAGAUGGAACUCUUCACUUGGUAACAUUGAUGUCAAGGAUCUUAGUUACACACUUAACUUAGACAUGAAGUGGUAGAAUCACCUAAAGUGGUCCCAGUUGCAUGGGCUAAAGAAUAAGCAUAAAGGUAUGUUGAUCAAUGCCUUAGGAUAACCUUAGGAGGUUUAAGGCAAGUUAAUUAAUUAGAGGGGGUCUCUACCUAGUAAUCAGAGUCAUGGCUUGCCUGAAGUAGCCUUGUUUCUUAUGAUACUGGGACACCUUGCAUGGAUAUAUGUAGUUUGAGAGCACUAUAUUUUUACUAAAUUAAUUACCAACUUGCCUUGAAUUCUUAAUUUUUUUUUAUUAACGCUUGGAAUUAUUAUAUUUGUUACAGAUAUCAUGUCUUUAACCUGUCACUUAUUAUCUUUUGUUUAAAUUGGACUUAAUUAUGUAUUGAAAAUUAUCUGGAUAUAGUAUUAAUUGCAUAGAAGCUGAUUUUGGUAAAGUUUGUUAUUUCCUUCGAACAAUCCUAUCAUAAAGUAAGAUAAGCAUAUCAAAGGUAGCAUAAUAUGGAUCAAAAUACUAAGUCUCUCAAACUUAGAUCUUUAGAUAAUGUGUUGCAAAAGUAACACAUGUCUAUUGUCAUAGUCUGUGAUAUUCUCUUUAAAGUUGCAAGGGUUAUUUGGUGAUAAAGGCAAGUUAACUAGACAAGUUGCACUUAAGAUUAUUAUGAACACUAGGAUUCAAGUUAUCUUAAGAAGAUUCUCAAAGAGUAAAAGUGUGUACAUAUGGAAGUCAAGGUUCUUCAGGUUUUUCUAACAAAAAAAAGAACAACACCACCAAAUAAGGGAAGUUUAAGAAAAUGAAUGAAAGAACAAACUCAUGGACAAUGAUUCCUUUGUGACCUUUUAGGACACAAGAAAAGGAAUGCUCAAGAGUUUCAAAUGAUAGGCAAGUACACAUCAUAUUCUCAUUGUUAAAUAAAUAGUGGUGGAUUUCACCAAUUGUGGUGGAUAGAUUCUAGGCCCACUAUCUAUAGUUCUUUACAGGGUUUUCAACAAGUGAGAAGGUCAUAUGAUGGGAUAGUACUUACCUUAGCUUCAAUUGCAAAAUUAGUUAUGCAAGUUAGAGGGAGGUAUUACCUUUUUUUUUGUGAGACUCCAUCAACACUUUGCCAAGUAAUGAGAAUAGUCAAAUCUCACUAAGAGAAAGAAUCUAGCACUAAUCAAACAUUUGGCUUCUAGUGUCUAAGUUAUAUUAAUCUAAAUAGGAUUCAAAGACAAAUUAAGUUUGGAAUUUCUUAAUCCAUAAGAUCUUUCAGUCUAUGAAUCUUAUAUAAAUGGUAAAAUGACCAAGAGACCCCUUUAUUUUUAAAGGGCAUUGAACCAAGGAAUGUUUGGAGUUAGUGCAUACUCACAUGUAUGAACCUUUUCGUGUUUAUAUAUGGAAAGUAUGGGUAUUUGAUCAUUUUAAUGAUACAUACUCUAGGUUUGGAUAUGUAAAUAGGAAAUUCUGAUGCCUUUGAUAAAUUCAUGGAAUUUAAGGUGGAAUCAAAUAACCUAUUGGGUAAACAUAUCAAGACACUUCGAUUAGAUCAAGGUAAUGUGUCUAGUAGGUUCGAUCCUUUCUAUAUGGAGUAUGAGAUGAUAUUAUAGUUGUGUGCACUAAAGACUCCAUUGCAAAAUAGAGUAAUGGAAAGAAGAUAUUGAACUUUGAAAGACAUUGUGAGAUCGAUGAUUGGUUUCUCAUUAUUUCCCAUAUUCUUUGGGAAUAUAUCUUAAAGGAUGUAUAAUACCCCUUUUUCUAAAGAGGUGUAUCACUUUAUAAGACAUCCAAGAGGAUUUAGGGAUUAGUACUUUAUAGUUAGGAUUAUCAGAAGGUGUUUAUUGUUACAAAUACUAGAUUUCUGAUGAAGACUAUAUGAUAUGUAAUAAGGCAAAUAAUGAUAUAGAUUGAAGAAUACUAAAAGAUAGUCCCACUAUACACAAGAUACUAUGGAUCUAGUACCAAGCAUUCCAAUUUCUAAUACACUGAUGUCUUAUCGUAGUAGGAGUGUUGUUAAACAACCAAACCAAUUCAUGUAUUUGUUAAAGUCUUUCAAGGCCAUUCUAAAGGAACAUGAGAUGAAUCACAUAGAUUACAAUAAAGAAAUGAGAAAUGUGGAUGCACAUCUUUAGCAAAAAUCUAUGGAGGCAGAGUUAGAAUCCUUGUGAUUAUAAUGUAGUCUAGGUUCCCAUAGAAGCACCUAAAGGAAUAAAACCCAUAGGUGUGAGUUGGUUUACAAGAGGAACAAAGGAGCAGAUGGAAAAAGUUGAGAUUUAUGUGGCUAAGUUGUAGCUAAAGGUUAUAGUUUGAAACAUUAUUUCAAACAUAGGAAAUCUUUUCACUAGUAGCCAUAUUCAGAUCCAUUAGACUACUAAUACCUAUUGCGGUGUAUCUUAUUUAUGAGAUAUUACAAUAGGAUGUCAAGAUAGUGUUCUUAAAUGAUUAUCUUGAUAUUAAUAGCAUAUGAUGUAACUAGAUAUUUUCAUAGCAAAGGGCUACAAGAAGGUGUAGGAAAGCAUGGUGGUCUUUAUGAUCUUGUAUGUUGAUGACAUUCUACUCAUUGGUAAUGAUGUAGGGCUAUUGUCAUUAAUUAAAAUCGGGUUGUCUACUCAGUUCCAAUUGUAGGAUCUGGGGUAAGCGUAGUAUAUUCUUGGGAUUAAGGUCUUUAGGGACCACAAAAAUAAGAAACUAGUGAUAUCUCAAGCUACCUACAUAGAUAAGCUUUUGGUUAAGUAUGUGAUGCAGGAUUCCAAGAAAGGUUUAUUACCUUUUAGGCAUGGAAUCCCACUUUCAUAGGAUCAGUGUCCUAAAACACUUGAAGAGAAAGAGCACAUGCAAUCAAUACCAUAUGCCUCUACAGUGGGUAGUCUUAUGUAUGCGAUAUUAUGUACUAAGCCAUAUAUUUUCUUUGAAGUGGGUAUGGUGAGUAGAUAUCAGUCUAAUCUAGGUCUAAAACAUUGGACAACUAUCAAGCAUAUACUAAAGUAUCUUAGGAGAAUGAGGGAUUAUGUGCUUGUGCUCCAAAGUGUUGAGAUAGUUUAGAGGGUGACAGAUGGUUGACAAGAUACCUUCUAUGGAGAACCUAGUGGAUCUCUUCACCAAGACAUUGACAGAGAGAGUAUUUUUUUGUCAUAGGGAUAACAUAGGUUUCAAAUGAGUAUCUGGCAUGCUUUAUAGGAAUGAUGCUUUAGUGGGAGAUUGUUAGGAUAGAGCCCUUAAAAGAAUGACAUGAUGUAAUAAAUUUGCAAUUCAUUAUUUAUUUAAUGAUGUUCCAAUUUCACUUUUAUCUAUCCUUAUUCCAUGUAUUAUACUUUAUAAGCAUUCUUGCCUGCAUUUUUUGCAUUGUAUGUGACUUAGGUGCAUUAGGAGCUGCACAAAAGAUCUAAGUCAUGAGUUCCUUGAAAAUAGAUGACUUGUUCACAACCGGUUCAUGGGUCUAGGCAACACAUUAGAGGUUGUAGUGCAUCAUCUCCUAAUUGGAAGGAUGACUAGUAUUAGCUAUCGGGAUGGGUUUCCCAUGGUGAGUGCACUAGUGUGUGUAUGGUUUCACAUUGGGCAGGACCUACAGUGAGUCAUGACUUAAGGCUAUCAAGUAGUCAUGACCUCACCAAGCUACUUCAUUGUGUUGUGUCUCAACAUUGAGAUAAUAUUAAGUUUGUGCUAAAAUUAGCAAUGACUUUGAUCUAUGGGUGAGAUUAUAAGAUGAUCGUAUAUUCCCUAUGGAUUGGGUCAUUAUUGAUGAAAGCUAGUAGCAAUAGGUAUUCUCAAUAGAGGCACCAUGAUAUCUCUUGGGAUUUAGACAAUGUGUUCCCUUGGGUGAUCCUAAAGAGGUGUGUUCAUGGAAACCAUGCCCAUAGUAGUUCCUUAAGUGGAACUUGACAUAAGCUCUUUGAAAGCUAAGAUAUGUCGAUUGAAUAUAUAAGAAGAGGAUUUGUAAAUUAAGGAUGGUAAAGGUAGUCUUGAAAGGCUAAUAGAUUUCACCUUGUUAGACUACAGACACCAGUUCAUAGGGAGACGAAACACAAUGGAUAGCAGGUCACAGACCUGAUCACUUGGUGUCUCGUUGUUAUUUACAUAGGAUAUUGGAGUUCAGUUGAUUCUCUGUAGUGGGAUGUUGAAUCAACUUUAAAAAUGGAUUUUGAGGGAGCCAGUAUUCCUAUGGGUCCCAAUGGUCCCCGCUCUAAGCUCAUAUACCUUGUUGGCAUGGAUUAUGAGGGUCGGAUUGGCUUUAGGUUCACUUUUGUGCAUAAGGGUAUUUUGGUAAUUAUGUAAGGUUGCAUAGGGGUAAGUGAACAAUGUGUCUAGAUUAGGCUAAUUGAUUAAUUAGUAGCCCUAUUAGAUUAAUUAAUCAAUUAAGAUCCGUUUUGGGCUAGAUUAAGUGACCUAAGCCCAUGUGGGCUCAAGUCACUUAAGCCCACUUAAGAACCCUAUAAUUACCCCUUAGGAGUUAAGGUUUCCAUAGCUUUUGUCUUCCUCCAUCCAAAGAGAUUGAGAGCCAUAGCCUUCACCCUCUUUUCCUCCUCAUCGGAAGUGUGCCAAUAUCAAGGUUCGAGUCAUUGGGUGGAAGAUUGUGGGUUUAUGAAACUUCUACGAUUUUGUUCUUCAUCUUCACCAUGUGGAUUUGAUUCAGGAACAACCAGAUCUGAGGUAUGAUUUUCGUUAGCAGUUUUUGAAUCCUUUUAAAAUAUAAAAAUGUAAUUUUUUUAAUUGUGCAUAGGAUUUAGAAAAAGCCUAGGAUAGUUAUGCCUGUUCCUAACCUAAUCCGAGCUUGGGAAAAGUAGAGAUCUUGGUUUCUCCCUUCAGAGCGGUAGAUGAAUCCAACUAACCUAUUUUUGAGAUUAAUUUUCAGCCCUUGGAUUAAGGGUUUCAUUUUCAUUUAAAAUGAACUUUCUCCCAUUUUUGGAGAAGAGAGAUUACAAUAGCCAUUCUGGUGCUCCUUAUUCCCACUUCUCUUUGAGGUUGCUUGCUCCAAGAAAAUCCCAUCCAAGUUUUCCAAUAUAUGUAUAUUUUUUUUAUGGAUUUUUUGAAAAUGAACAUGGUUGAUUUCUGAAACAUUCAUAUCUCAUUCUCUUGGUUUUGUGUAAAAACCCAUUUUCUUCUUGUGUGAAUUAAAGAAAAGAUUAAGGUCGAGCUUGGUACGAAUUCCAAGUGUGCUUCGAAAGAAAAAGGUGAGAAACUGAAAGUGAAGGUACUAGUCAAGCGGUCCGGGAAGGAUUGGUUGGCUUGAGGUAUAACCUUGUUUUCAGUUUUAUUUUUCACAUUGGAUGUUUUAGAUCGGUAGUAAGCUCAUGGUUUUUGAUCUCUUAAAAGGUUUUCCAUGUUAAAAUCCAGUGUCUAUUGUCUCUUUCUCUCACUCAACUCUUUGAUUUAUUUUCAGUUUUUGAUAUAUUGGAUACUUGGGCAUAUAUGUUGAAUGAAAGACAUAUGAACUAAAAUAAGUGUGAUUAUCCAUGAAAUAUAUUCAAUUAUUUUUCUAUUCAUUUUGGUUAAUGAUGUGGGAUCCUAUUGAUAGGAAUAUGAUAUUACUAACAGAGUAGGGAGUAGGGCAGGAACAUAAAGACAUGGAAGCAUAGGGGAUAGGGAAGCAGUGCAAACCUUUCCAUUCUAGGUAUGAACAACAGUAAUUCAAAGUUGGAAAGUUGUUGUGAAACUACUUGUCUAAAUGUCAUGGCAAGAAUGUCUUUAGACGUAGCCCUUGACAAAAUAUCAUCAGUGAGAGAUCUUCUCAACCUAUUGGCUUUCUCUUUAACUUUUCUGGUAGGUAAAAACUUUUUAAACAAAAGACUCUUCAAUUUACUUAUUGUAUUGCAUAGUUAUUGGUUUCUAAUGAAACUCUGAGCACAUGACCAAAACAAAAAUUAAUCAUCACACCACUUUAUCUGUAAACCAAAAGUCAAGGAAAUGCCCAUGAGGUUCUAUCACUCAUUCAAUUACUGGCAAAUUUAGACGAACCACAAAUGCUAAAAGAUGGUUGAAAAAACAAUGAGGAUAUGCAACUCCAAACAGAAAACAAAGAUGAAUGCGGGAUUAUGAAUUACUCCAACAAACCACACAGGUUGUGUUUAUGUAUCAUUUCUCUUCACAAAUCUAUUGCACAAGUACAAUUUUUGUAGGAAAUGACCAAAUCUCAAACUCAACCAAUGUAGCAAUAAUAUGCAAACAAUUAAAGUCACAAAGAAUGACAAGGUUAUCCUUUCAUUUCAAAGUAAUAAUAAGCACAUUUGUUUUCUCACCAAUAAUUUCCACUAUCAGUCGUUUGAAAUGCCACAGUAUUUAACUAAAAUAAAGUCAAUCUCAACCUGGUCUAUCAGAUGAAACAUUCAUGCUCAUUCGAGAUCUUUGCAUGUAUCACUAAUAUGCUGCAUCCCAAGACACCGUUCAAUUAAAAUGCCACCAAUAUACAAUGACAUGUAGGUUUAAAUAAAAUUCUAGCCAACUUACCCUAUAUGAAGCAGUUUUUGUUGAAGCCACAUCUCCUUCCGUCCAAAUGCAUUUACAUAAACAUAGCCAAGCAUCCACAAGAGAUGGAUUCCACUUCACUUGAAGCUACAUCUUCUGCUUCUUGAACAUUGAACUCUUGAUAUUUUUUUUUUUCAAUCUUGUACUCAUGCUACCAUCAAUAGUUACCAAUGCUAAUAAAUAAAAUUGACUAACCAAUUACCAUUAAAGCUGUAACUCUCAUUCCACUCUUGCAAAUGAUAUUAUAGCAAUUUAAAAUUAAUCUAUCACGUAAUUGAGUGGUUAUACUUAACAAAAAGGAAAAAAAAAAAAAAGAGAUAUCAACAAAGACUCUGAGCCAUGAAUGGGGGAGAACUUGCACUUGCACUUGCAUACAACAAAGAUUGAAAUGUUGUGAAAUAUUGGAGAUAUUUCACCCAUUUUUUAGUAUCGACCGGUCUCAUCACAAUACCUGGCAUAGUUUGAUCUAAUGGGCCAAAGUUUGAUCUGCCCCACUAACCUAUACAUGAUGAUUUUUCAGUUUUGUACAAAGGGCCAAGAGUGGAUCAAGCCCAACCAUAUCAUAUUUGUCAAUUGACCAAAGUUAAUUUUUUUUUUUUAACUUUUCGUUGAUAAAUUGGUGAAAUAACAAUUUUAACCCAAUUUUUCAAUUUUGUCAGUGAAAUGUCAGUGAUAUAUAAGCCCAAUUUUUUUAGUUUUGUCUAAUGGGCCAAAGUUAUGUAAGCCCAAUUUUUUUAGUUUUGUUUAAUGGGCCAAAGUUUGAUCAGCCCAACCAACCUAUACGUGAUGAUUUUUCAGUUUUGUACAAUGACCCAAGAGUGGAUCAAGCCCAACCAUAUCAUAUUUGUUACUUUUAAAAUUUUGUUUGGAUCAAGCUCAACCAGCCCAUUUAUGGUAGCUAUGAUUGUACAAGACACUAUCUUAAAUAGAGAUUAUAGUGCUUUGUUUUCUUUUAAGUUUUCGAUGUGGCAUUGUGUUUUUAUUUACACAUAAAAAAAUAAAAAUAAAAAUAAAAAUAAAAAUAAAAAGUAUGCUAAACUUGGAUAUGUAAUUAAUAGAUAUAGCUUAUGCCAUUGAACAAAACUUUAUUUUGUGUUAAAUAUGAACUUUAGAAUUAUAUAUAUAAUAUCUUUUAUAAAUUAAUUAAAAUAAAAUGAUUAUAAAUAAACUAAUUGUAAUUAUAUUAUUAUCUAUUUUGUAUACUAAUUAAAUAUAAGACAAAUAUAAAUUCAUAAAUAAAAUUAUUAAUAUUUUUAAAUAAAAAUAUUUUAUAUCAAAAUAUCCACCCAUAUAACUCAAUAUAUCCAUAAAAUUAGGUUAUUGGUAUAUUCACAAAAACUUAUAUUUUCAUAAUUGGAUAUCAAGACUCAACCUUAGCCAAUUCCAUGAUUAAGAUGAAGUAGAAGUAGUGGUCACAACUAUCGAUCCAUCCUCUAAUGAUUGGCCUUGUCGUCUUUCAACAAAUAGAAUUCACAACAGUUAUAGUUGAAAGCCAUGGCAUCUUUGGUUUUCAAGGAUGGGUUGGUUGAAAUAUCGAAGCUUAGGGUUUCUGAGUUGCUCAACAUUUAUGAUUUGAUACUCAAUUAUCAAGUCGCUUCCCAAUCUUGGGAGGAUUCCAUGUGUCUUCUCCAAAAUAACAUUUUAAAAUAUUUUAUUUAAAUUCAAUUUUAAUUUUCAAAUUAAAAAUUUUCAAUAAAGUGAUAAAUUUGAUCAUGAAAAUUAAUUUUUUUUUUCAAUAAAGUAGUAAAUUAGAUGAUUUAAAAUUACUUACAAAUAAAUUUUUAUUAAGAGAAAAUUUGUAAUAUUAUUUCACUUAAUAUAUUAUUUAUAGCGCUACUUGUAUUAGGAAUUUUAUUGAAUUUCUUUAAAUGCAUUAUAAGUUUUCACACAUGUCUAUUAUAUUUUAUUGGCUAAAUAUAUAUUUUUUAUAAUAAAAUAAAAAAAAAACUCAUUUCAAAUAUACUAAAAAUGAUUGAUUUUCGAUAAAUAAAAGCCAAAUGGAACAUUUGUCCAUAAACAAAAAUUUACAAUAAAAUUCACCAUAAAUAAAUAUUAUGAUUAAAUAUGACUUUUAACCAAUGUUUUCAAAACUGGAUUGAUCAUUGAAUUGGAAAAAUUACUGGUUCACAGUUCACUGGUCGAACCGCAGUUGAACCAAUGAUGCAAUAAAUAUAUAUUUUAUAUAUUAUAUAAAAUUAAAAAUAAUUAUAAAAAAUUAAAAAUAUAUAAAAUUACAAAUUUUAAUAAUGUUUGAUUUGUAUUUUAUUUUUUUAAAAUUAUUAUAUUAAUUAAUUUAAAUUAUUUUUUAUAAUUAUUAUUAUAUUAUUAUUAUAAAAAUAAACAGGAAUUUAAAUAUUUACAUUUUUUUAAAGAUUUUAUGUGAUAAAAAAUUGAAAUAAAAACAUUAAUCUUAGAUUCUUACUAUAUAUAUAUAUAUAUAUUUAACAUCAUUUAAUAAAUAUGGUACAAUAUUCAAUGGUUUAAUGACUUCAAACUUUAAUUUUUAAUAGAUUCGUGCAUCCAAUCCUCCAAGAAGCAAUGUUUUACCUCUAAUAAGUCCCAGUCCCAGUCCCACAUCGGGAGCACAUAGAAUACAUGAAUUCUAUGUGCUCUAAGUGCUCUACAAAUACCUUUCAACAUCCCUUAUAAGCCAACCUUGCCAGCGAAUUGGGCUUGGAGGUAUGGCUCAAAUAUUGGCUCAUAAGAAAUAUGUUUUAUAAGCAUUUCUUAUCAAUGGAUUAGGCCUAAUGGCUUGGACCAAAUAUGGGCUUAUAAUUAGUUUUAGUUUUAAAAGUAUUGGGCGUGGAUUGAGCUUGAUGGAUAAUGAGCCUCUUAAUAGUAAACAAAUAUUUGUAGCAAUUAAGGUCUGGCUGAUUUGGAAAAACCGGAACGGUUUGCUUGGUUUGAACGGUUCAAUAUCGGUUUGACCACGAAGUGGUUCAUUGAGAUGGACCGAACCGGAAAGUCUACCAGUCAACAAUUCGAUUGGUCCAACCGGCUGCUCUGAUCUAAUUUUUAAAACAAUGCUUUUAACUAUGAAUAUAGAAUUCAUACUAUAAUCUUAAGAAAAUCGAUUUGCCAUAAAUAUAUGAUGUGGUUAACUAUGAUUUUUUACUAUGAAUCUAAAUAGUCUUUUUGUCAUGGUCUUGGUGAGUUUGGAGAUAGCAUGAGCCACCUCAGCUAAUAGUUCCUCUGUGGAUGUAGUGCUCGUUGUCAUUACUGGCAUAAUCACCAUGAAAGAAGAAGUAAAAAGAGUUGAAAUGGUUGGAGGAGUCGUCAUUCUUUAACAUUCUAGUUAGUGAUCUAGAGUGUGAGUUAGAAUUAGUAACAAAGUAAGGGGACUUAUUCCUAGAGUCCUUGAGUGUUGAAUGGUGUUUUUCCUUACCAUGAGAACUUUGUCCUUUUGCCCCCAAAAAGGCCAAAGUGAUGAUUGGUUAGUAGCUAUCGUGUGUCCCUAUUGUUUUUAAAAAAUGAGUGUUCUCACUUGCUAACUUUGUUGAUAGUGCAGUAGUUGAUUUUGUUUUACUAUGAGUCAUAGCAUCCAUAGAGGUGUUGUAUGUCAAUUGGGUAAUGACAAUCUUAUCAUCACCCUUGUCAACAUGUGUAGCUUGAGCCUUCUUAAAUGUCAUUGUCUUGGUAGUGAUCACUUUCUUGGUGAAAGAGAUGAGAGGCAAAAAGAUCCCACCGAGCGUGUAAAAAAUUUGUAUGCACAAAUUUCUUAAAAGUCCUACAAUGUAAGCAAAACAUGAGGAAAAUAUGCAAAACAAUUUUACUUUUUUUACUUAAAAUUGAUAAAUAAAUCGUGGGGUACAAUCUUUGUAGUAAUAUUAUUUUUAAAAAUAAUAUAUCCCUCUAAUUUUUUCACCUUGAUCACUAUUUGGAAGACGAAAAAACGUUUUCUUAAUUUCACAGAUCAAUCGAGGGCCAUAAAGGGCUUGUUCCCGAAUGAACUCGUUGAGUGACAAAGAUCGCCUGUAUAGACUAUGACAAUGUUUUCUUUGUUUUCAAAGUCGAUUGAGGGCCUAGAGUGGCUUAUUUCUAAAUAACUUUAUUGAAAGACAAAGAACGUGUGUAGUUCUUCCAUGGUUUAUUAGACUUGUAAGGAGAUUUUGAAAAGCUUUUUCUUCUUUGUGAAGCCUCAUUUCCCAUGUGGAGUUGUUUUGGUAGAACCCUAAGAAGUCUUCUGAUUGAAGAAAGUCAACCCUAUUUAUAGAUGAAAUUAGGGAAUUAAAAUUUUAGAAUUCCCCAAUAUUUAUUUAAUGCUUGAUUUUAGCAACUUAUCUUCUUCCUUAAGGAAAUUUGUCAACAUGAAAAUAUUUAUUUAUUUAUUAUUCUCUUUCCACUUCAAUUGAAAUGUUUGUUUCGCUUAGAAAUUUCUCAACAAGUGAAUAUUUUAUUUUAUUUUAAUUCUCUUUUGAUAACACUUUUGUAAUCUUCCAAAUUUCAUCAUGUGUCACCCUUUUAACACAUGUCAUAUGUCACAUGUGUGUAGACCUAUCACUUGUUGAUCCCAAAUUUUGUUGAAUUGGGGAGCCACACAUCUUUUGAAGACCAAUUUAAGUGAUAAUUUAUUUCACUAAAAAUUUUGAUGUCUACACUUGGUUUUUUCUUUAAUAUAAUUGUUAGGUUUUUAAAUAUAUAUUUUAAAAAAAUAUAUUUUAUCAAUAAGGCUUUACUUCAACUAUUCUUACUGUUUGUAUAAUUAUUAUUUAAAAUAAUUCUUUGAAAAUAAAUAAAAUGCAUUUUUAGAAAAUGCUUUUUUUUUCUUAUGUUAAGUUUAAGAACAAAAAAAAUUGUUUUAUGUUAAAAGGUUAUCAAACAUGCUUGUUUUUCUAGGUUUUUUUUUUCUUUAGAACAUAAAACUAUUUUUAGAAAAAGCUUCAAAACAUACCCAUAGGCUCAAUUUGAGAAUAUUUUAAAAAAUAAUUAUGAGAAACAAGUUUUUGUGAACAACUCUUGAAAACUAUUUUAUACUACUUUUGAAAAUAAAAUUGAGUUAAAAAUAGGAAAAUUAAUAAGACAACUAAAACAAAUCCCUUUUCCUAGAACACUAAAAAGCCAAAUGGAUAUUGCUUAAAAUUUCAAGAUUUCCCAAUAAUGUAAAAGAAAAAAAAAGUUCUAAUAGAACCUGAGUAAGCUAUAAAGAUCGAGAAUAAAAUCAAAAUACACCUAGAUGGAAAAUAGCCAUCUGGGUGGCUGAUUAUGGGCAAAAACAAAGGGAAAAAGAAAAAAAAAAAUUAAAGAAAGAAAUCAAGGAAGAACAGCUUUUUCCAGUGGGCUUGAGAUUCAAUGCGUACACUAGAAGACUUUGCUCUCACUUUCUUUGAGAUCAAAUGACCAAAAAGCAAACAAAUAGGCAAAGCCAAUAAAUAUCAUCAACCAAACACAACAAAGAACACGUUUUCCUACAUUUUCUCUGGAACCAAACAAAGGCAAACAAAACAACUAUCAAUUCAACUCACAAAACAUAAAAAUAAAAAUAAACCAAAACACUAUCAUUAGAGAUGAAAUAAGCUAUAUCUACAAGUAUUUAUCAAAUAUGUGGAAGCCUCAUGAUUAGAAAUCAAGUGCCCUAGAUACUCCACUUUUGGUUAACCAAAGUUAGACUUAGAUUUUUUGAUAAAUAGCUUAUGUUGUUUGAAUCUCUAAGGUGUUGGACAAAUGAUCCAAGGGCUCUUCUCAUCUAUGACUAUAAAUCAAGAUGUCAUUGAAAAAUAAAUUAGUAAAGAUAAGGUCAAAAUACCUCAUCCGAUAGAUUUUGGAAGGUAGCUAGCUUGUUUGUCAAUCUGGAAAGUAUGACAAGGAAUUCAUAAUGGUCUUCAUGAGUGAAAAUGUUUUGUGAAUUCCUUAUGGAUGGACUUGUAUUUGGUGAUAGCUAAAGUGUAAAUCUAACUUAGAAAUUUUUUUGCUCCAUGUAGAUCCAUAGAAAGGUUCAUCAAUCACUAAUGUAGGAAAUUUAUCCUUAAUGGUUUCCUAGUUCAACGGUCUAUAAUCAACGCACAUGCACCAAGUGUUAUCUUUCUUUCUUUUAAAAUAACAAUAUAGGAGAUGAAAAGGGUCUCAUAGUUGGUCGAAUUGUACCAGCUAGCAGUAUCCCACACAAUAUUCUCAAUUUCAUUUUUUAGGCAUAGGGAUAAUGAUGAGUUUGAACAUUUAUAGGUGGGUUUUCGAUUUUAUUGGAAUCGUAUGGUCAUGGGAUCAUUACAGGGGUAAGCCAUGAGGUUCUAUAAAAACAAUUUCAAACUUGGAUAGUAUUUAGGUCAUUUAGAUUUUGGUUUUUAAGGUUAGGCAUUGAUGUAAACUCUAUUUGAAUAUAAAAUAGUUUAGCAAUCAUAACUUACACCAAUUUCACAUUUUUUUUUCCAUUUAGGCAAGCCUAAUAAAUUUGAUUGAUCUACCAAUAGCACCAUGUAGAAUAUGUUGUUGAUGAUUGAAUCAAAAUUCCAUUUUUUGUUCAUGAAAAUCACACAUAAUAAUACCAAAAUUAGUGAGCCAUGGAACCCCUAAAUGCCUUGCCAGAACCAUUAAGAUAUAUAUAAUGAGUGAAAUCAUUAGUGAAAGUGGUGCCUUCAUGCUCAAUCUAAUUAUUGACACAUGUCUUUACUUGAAAUCUUAAAACCAUUUGUAACAACCAUUGAAAAAUAAUCAGUUUGAAGAAUAGGACAAGUUGUUCAUUUGAUGACACUAGGGUCCAAAAAAUUAUGAGUUCUACGAGAGUCAAUCAAGAUAGUAAUAAACAUUUUCUUGAUAAACCCCUUAAUUAAGAUAGUUUGGCAAGAUAACAAAUUUGAAAGUUCAUGAAUAAAGAUUAUCAAUCUUUUAAAUCUUCACUAAUGUCAAAUUGUUGGUACUUAAUUUCAUUCAUCUUUUUUUUUUUUUUUUUUUUUUUUUUUGCUCUCCUUUCAACAAAUAACUAUAAAACUUUUUACAUUGAUGGCUUAACAUGUACUUUUCAUCACAAUAGUAGCAUAACUCCUACACAAUUCUCUUGAUAGGAGGUAGGGAAUCUAGUGUCAUUGACUUGAACAGGUUGAUAGUUAAGGAAGUUGGGUUUCACUACAUUUGAUUGCACACCUUUUGGAGCAUUGAGUCCAUAGUUUCUUUUUGUAGCAAGACCAAACUCACUGCUUGCACAAGAUUUGUUGGUUUGAACAUUGAGACUUUGUUAUAGAUUUCUAGUUGCAAUCUACUAAGUAAAUAGUUAACAAAAAACUCCUUGAUAAGACCUUUUGUUAUACUCAUGAAUGUGUCAAAUUCUAGUUGAUAUUGCUAUACUAUUAGUUGUUAUAGCUUGGUCAGUUACUCAAAGGCAUCGUCAUAGAUGCUAGGUCUAAAAUGUUAUAUAACAUCCUUCCAAAAGAAUUGCUAAGAAACACUGGCAUUAGUUGUCUUAUAACUUUGAAAUCAACCAAGGGUCAUACUUCCCAAGUAAAUAGAGGGCACAUAUACUUUGUCAUCUUCAGCAACUCCAUGAUAGUGGAAAAACCUUUCAUAUAUUAACACCCAACCAUGAGUGCUACUCCCAUUAAAUUUUGGAAAAUUAAUCUUAUCAUACCAAGCUUGGAAGUGCUAUUAUGGUUGGGGUUUGUCCUCUUGUAGUUGUUGUGUGAGUUCUCAAUAUGAUUUGCCUGAUAAGAAACACAAUUACUACUUAUUGGAUCAUACUUUAAACUCAUUGUAGUUAGUCAUUUGUGUAGUUCCUUAAAGUUUGAGUUUGCUACUAGAUAGCUUCAUCAUGGGAAUUUGAAUUUUUUAUGCAUGCAACUAUUUCAAUGCUUUUUGUAUUCAUUUCAUUUCUUGCCCUCUUGUUCCCUCUGAUAUUUAGAAGUAAGCAAGAUCAUCUCGAUUACCAAAUGAUAUGAACUAGGAAGAAGGAGAAAUUAGGAGAACACAUUUUUGAAAGUUAAGAAAAUUACAAUAGUAUGAUGAGACCCAUGACAAUUACAAUAACUAUUAAAUACCAAAUAAAAUAAAAUAAAAUAAAGCAUUAAUGAACCAUAAUCUCAACAUUUUUUUUCUCUAUAAAUGAAUGAUCAUUUCCUAUAAUUAAGAUGGUAAACACUAUAGCUAUUAAUUUUUAUAUCUUCUCUCACAAUUUUCUACUCUUAAUUUCUUCAUUCUAGGAAGGUACAUAACAUUCUUCAUUUUCCUCCUCUUUUUGUCUUUCUCAAUUGAAAUUGAAUCACAAAAAACCAAUUAUCACAAUUCGGGGCCGCACCUAUAUCGAUCGACCAUCUCUUUGUCAUGUUAGUUCAGUUUCUGGGACUGCACCUAUAUCGAUCGAUCAUUAUCAUGUCAGUUUGAGUUGGGGCCGCACCUAUAUCGAUCGGCCAUCUCUUUCAUGUCAGUUUAGUUUCUAGGACCGCACCUAUAUCGAUCGGUCAUUAUCAUGUCAGUUUGAGUCGGGGCCGCACCUAUAUCGAUCGGCCAUCUCCUUGUCAUGACAGUUCAGUUUCUGGGACCGCACCUAUAUCGAUCGGUCAUCAUCUUAUCAGUUUGAGUUUGAGUCGGGACUGCACCUAUAUCGGUCGGUCAUUAUCGUGUCAGUUUGAGUCGGGGCCGCACCUAUAUCGAUCGGCCAUCUCUUUGUCAUGACAGUUCAGUUUUUGGGACCGCACCUAUAUCGAUCGGUCAUUAUCGUGUCAGUUUGAGUCGGGGCCGCACCUAUAUCGAUCGACCAUCUUCUUGUCAUGUCAGUUCAGUUUCUGGGACCGCACCUAUAUCGAUCGGUCAUUAUCGUGUUAGUUUGAGUCGGGGCUGCACCUAUGUCGAUCGGUCAUCUCCUUGUCAUGUCAGUUCAGUGUCUGGGACCACACCUAUAUCGAUCGGUCAUUAUCGUGUCAGUUUGAGUCGGGGCCGCACCUAUAUCGAUCGGCCAUGUUCCUAUCACUUUGUGUGUUUAGUUUGAGUCGGGGCCGCACCUACAUCGAUCGAGCAUCUCCUUGUCAUGUUAGUUCAAUUUCUGGGAUCGUACCUAUAUCGAUCGGUCAUUUUCUGUGUCAGUUUGUGUUUUCGGGACCGCACCUAUAUCGAUUGGUCAUUUUCCAUGUCAGUUUGUGUCUUCGGGGCGGCACCUAUAUCGAUCGGCCAUCUCCUUGUCAUGCUAGUUCAGUUUGAGUCGGGGCCACACCCAUAUCGAUCAAUCAUUUUCCUAUCAGUUUGUGUUUAGUUUGAGUCGAGACCACACCCAUAUAGGUCGGUCAUUCAUUCUUCCUAUCAGGUCAGUUCGACGUCCAGGCCUUUGUUUCAGUAUGACAUUCAGAGUCACAUUUUCUAGAUUUGGCAUUUAGAGCCAUUGUGCAUACUCAUCCAGACAUUUUUUGAGUCACCUUGUUUCCUUUCAUUUUAGGCGUUCAGAGUCGUUCUCCUCACCUGGUUACUUGGUGCUUAUCGCCUAUUCAUCAUUGCUCUUCUAGACUCCCCCUUCCACUGCACAUGACAUAGUUCUUUGAGUCCGUGACGCAUAUUUCGAUCAUGUUGUUGGGGACCCUACACUUGGCAUUCUCGUAUAGUUCACAUAGGGCAGUCUCCUUCGGGCACAUUCUUUCUUGUACUCCAGGUGGUUCAACUGUUACUCAUCUUUGACAUUGGUCUGCGAGUCACUUUUGGAGACGUCUUAGAGGGUGCUUGGAUCCUUAGUGUGGCUUCCGAGACAUUUUGAGACAUCUUUCUCUUUUAGGAUUAGAGCCUUUGUGUUAGUCUGUCAGCCUGAGUGAAUUCGUGUUUUGCUAGUGUCCCUAUGGGGGUCUCCCUGGUUCUUCGGUAGAGUUCACUUCAUUCCACUCACUAUUCAUACUUGCUUUUCACUCUAGUGUUCAUAUUCCUUACACUUGUGAAUUUUACCGAAGAGGGGCAUAUUUGUAGACCCCCACGUGGGGCUUGUUUUGCUGCAACAUUGUUUGGCCAGGUGUCGCGCUCCUAAGCAUCCAUGUGUCAAUCCCUGAUUGGCCAUCAUGGAAUCAGAGUAGUGCUUUUGAAGGCCAAUCUAGGGUUGACACGUGUCAAGGGGAAUCAGAAAACAAUCAUUUUAGCUGUUAUUUGAGGGAGAAAAAGGCAGCUGCAUGAGGGAGGAGAGGUGGUCUGGCCGUUGGAGGAUACCUUUUUUUCUGCCAGCUGCAGGGUGGUGGAGGCUGGUAGUUGCAGGAAGGUGGUCUGGGCUGCCGUUGGAAGAUUUUUUUUUUUAGGGAGCUUGGGCAGCAAGUUUUCCAAGGAGAGUGGGUUUUCUUUCUAGAGGGGGAUUUCUUUUCCUUGAGGAAAACGAGAGAGCUAGAGGGAGGGAGGGGUGCUUUUGGCUGCUGUUUGGCUAGCAGAAAGAUUUGGGGAACAGAGGAGGUUUUUGAGAGCUACCGGAAGAGACAAGAAAGCAGAGAGAAGGGGCUACAGGAGAGAGCUUAAGAGAGAGGAGGAGAGAGCUUUCACAGAAGAGGCAGGAACAGAGAAGAGAGGUUGCAGCUUGCUGAGAAUCAAACGACUUUUGAUCGAGAGGAUUACUCAGGUUUAGCAAUUUUUACACCUUAAGUUCUCCAUUAUUUCAGUUGUUCCAUUUUUCACCUGGAUAUUUGGAUGCGUAUUUUGGCUGUCGAAUAUGAAAAUCGGUUUCUCAGCUUCCAGUUGUUUAGUCUCUGUUUGUUUUUCUUUCAUUUCUCUAUAUGAGUUACAUUGUGAUUAUACUAUUUAUUUGUGUUAAAAUGACUCAAAAACUUCCCACCAGCUCUUAACUCUCAUUGUUUUUCAUGGAGGAAAGACAGAUUUAAUCGUGUUACCUCUUUCAUAUACUCUAUUUUCCUUCACUGUGCCUUCUGUCUCUGAUAUAUUUAGUAUGAGUAUCAUGUUUGGAGUUGGUUGCCUGCAUUGGGAUGCCUUUGGAAGAGCUCAAUAGCAAAACCUCUAAGAUUCAUGUGCCUCAUUGUCUAUUCUGUGAGUAGAAGUUCAUCGAUCCAAGGAAGUGCCUUACCCAUCAUCUUACAGAGGCUCUCCUGGUAUCAUGCUUAGAAGCCUAACUUAGUAUUCGAGAUAAGGACCUGAUGCAGUGGUUGAGGCCUUAAUAAAUGGGUUGAGAUCAUAUUUGGAGGUUGCAGUGAAUUCCAGUUUCAGGGCGCCACCUCCGUUAACUCUAUCGGUUGCUGGUGGUGGACAUGUGGUGAUUCCGCCACGGAAGCCAGAGAAAGAGUUGCCGCUACCACCAAGGAUGUCCAAUUCCGGCCACGUCCCAUGCCUCAACUCCGGAUGACAAGCGGAAUCCUUAUUAUUACAAGGAAUCAACUCCCGGUGAUACCUCUGAAUCCUACAGUAGGGAGUGCCGGAUAGAAUGCCGAAAACCUGGCAACACUCUGUCUCAUAACCUGUGAAGAUUAUGGCCAUCGCAAUUUUCUUCAUGCUGGCGACGACCUCCGACGGGAAUGUAGGAUACUCAUCAUCGCCGGUGGACCCAGAUUCUAGCAGCGGACAUCGAUUGUGUUUUUCUUUGGAGUUGAACGACGGAUGCUUAGGUGGUGUUUGUUUUUUUGGCUUUUUGCUGAAAACCAUUUAGUUUUAGAAUUUAGGUUGUUUGUUUUUUUACUUUUUCAUGACUUAUUAUAAACUUUUUACUAAAUAGAAAAAGCCAAAAUAUGUGGCUUUUUCUAAAUAGAAAAAAUAACACAAUGGUUUUUUUUACUUUUUAAUACUUAAUAGAAAUAAAAUACUAAAAAAACAAACAACCUAGUAUUUAAUACUAUUAAGUAUUAAGGUUCUAUUUAGAAUUAAGUAAAAAAACAAACACCACCUAAGUCUUCAAACUCUUAGAAUCAGAAAUAUGGCUUCUAGAAUCUUCUAGAAGCGUUCAGAGCUCAUCCUCUAGGAACGACAUUGCUCGUUGCAUAACACUCCCGGAACGUCCGUAUAUUGCACCAGCGGAAUCCUUCUCCUCACCGUCGGCUUGCCUGAUUUCAGUCAAGGGUUCCGUUGCUUUCAGAGGCUGUCCUGGUAUGAUACGUGGUUCACGAGAAAUAGAAGAUGCCUUGCUAAAACACUGAGGAGUGAAGCGCAAUGAGGUGACAAAGGAUGGCUUGUUUUCUGUCGGUGAAAUGGAAUGCAUGGGAUGUUGUGUAAAUGCUCCUAUGAUCACAGUGGCAGACUAUUCAAUUGGAUCUGAAGGAUAUAUCUACAACUACUAUGAAAAGCUCACUCCAAAACGUGUGGUGGAGAUUGAAGAGGCUGCUGAUCAUGGGGCUACGGUUUUAAGACAGGCCUUUGUUAAGAAGGUUGUAGCUGUGAAAAACAAGGGAAAGAAAAGGGAAUUGUUGCCACAACCCAUGAGGAAAUUUUCUAUCAUGAUGUUUUCCACUUUUCUGAACUUGCCAAAGACCCAGGGAUUAAAUCUGAUUGCUAUGGAAUCUGCCAAGGAAUUAAAUAGGCCAUUUUAUAGUAAUCUCAUUCGUACCUCCAACUCAACAGGGUACUAUAGAUUUGCAGAGUGGGAUUCGUCAUGCAGAAGAAAAAGAUUAUAAAAUUGUUCAUAGCUGUUUCUUUGAAGCUUUUGAAGUUUUCAAUGCUCUUGAAGAGCCUCGGGCAGUGUUUAGCCUCAAGUACAUGUUGCUGUCCAAGAUUAUGGUGAGCCAAACUGAUGAUGUGGCUGGAAUAAUAUCACCCAAAGCAGGCUUGCAAUAUGUUGAGUCAGAGUUAGAUGUCAUGAAAGUUGUCGCUGAUGCCCAUUCAAAACGCUCUCUGAAUUUUUUUUGAGAUAGCUUUGCGGGGUUACAAGGCACAGCUUGAGGAAGACCCGAUAGUCCACAGGCACCUCUCUUCCCUGUAUGACGCUUUGCAGGAGUAGAAUAUGUGCCAGUUUUCUUGCAGCGUAUGUGACCAGAUGGAGGAGUAAUCAAAUGAUGGCUUAAAGAGAAGGCAAAAGUUUAGGAAUAUUGGCCAGUUGAAGGAUUAUUUAUUCCAUUGGUAUAAAUCGUUCAUGUGCAGUUUAUGUUGGGAAGUAACGACCUUUAAAAUGAAGGGAGUUGCGCGAACAAAGGCAAUUAGCAGCAAGUGCUGCACUAGAUUUGCUGUCACUGAGCUCACUAAUUCCAUUUAAUGAAGAUCAACCAAGCAGUUUCAGUGAAUUCCAUGUUGACUAGAGUAUGAGGGAAAUAUACCGAGAACAUGAACAACCCUGGUUCAGGCUGAAUGUUUCAGAAGUGGUAGCAGAUAAAUUGAGUGAAAGAAAUCCAAAUUCUGAAUGUUUGUGCUGGAAAAUUGUUGUACAUUCCCAGAUGAGCAACUCAAGAGGAGAAAACAUGAGUCAUAGGAGCAAAGUCACCCAUUUUGUAGCAGUGUACGUGCCUCACCACCAUGAAACACGUCAUUCGAUGUCUCCAAUGAAGAAUAAGGUCAGCGCUCCAAGUUUGGGUAUUAUCAAUAUGGAUGUAGACUACAACAGCAAGCUGUUUGUCAAACAAAAUGACUCAGGAGUCCAUUUGCCACCUACUCUAUACCCCCUGCUGCAUAGUUUGAGUGGCCACCUUUGGGCCAUGUGACAUUUUGGGUUUUCUUCUUAUUUGAUUUUGAAAAUGUUUUCUCAAAUCUCAUUUUGUAAAUAUCUUUCCCUAAUUCUGAUUUUUAAAUAAUCCCAAUUUUCUCAUCUUUCAUCCUUAGAAUUUUUAGGAUCACCCAAGAGUCUCACUUUUAAUAAAAUUUGCUACCACUUUCUAUUCAGCAGGCAAUUUUCAAAUAUUUCACGAUCUUUUAAAAUGUUUUAGAAAUAAGCAAGAAUUAAAUUCCAUAAUUCCGAAUAAUGGAAUUUAUGGAAUUAAUUCAUGCAAAAUAAACGGGCUUUGGUGGGGGCCCCACAUAUGUGACUGAUCGAUCGAUUGAUUGAUUGUUUGACUUGAUUUUAAUGCAUGAUUGAUUUUAUUAUAUUCUAUGACAUGCUCGAAAUUAUUCCUUAAUUGUGCGCUAACCUCACUUCUUGAUAGCUCAAUGAGGAUCAUUGUCUAGGUACGCAUCUACAUCCAUUCUGAUCAUCAUUUAUGCAUGUUCUGAUACUCAUAUGUGCAUGAUCGAUUCGAGUAUUCAUUGAUUUACUCCUCAAUUUCCAUGUCAGCUUCAUUUUAUUAGUAGAGACCCGAAUUUAAGGGCUUAGAGGGGUGCUACGGUCCUUACCGUACCUUCCCAAUAAGUAACCUGACCCCCGAACCCGAUCCGGUUUUUCGUAGACCACAUUUUCCAAACAAGGAGUCACACUUAGGGUUUUUCUUUCUUAUUUUUUUUACCCUUUUAAAAAUAAAACAAAAAUAAGUGGCGACUCCAAGUCAUUUUCAAACAAUAAAUAAAAAUCAAUUUUUUAAAUAAAAAUCGAACUCGCCAUCGAGUGGGAAACGCAUGAGCGCGAAAUGCGGGGUCCACAAUACUACUAGACUUGAAUCGUAGAAACCAACAAAAAAAAAAUUGCACAAAUAUUUAACUAAAAUAUAUGGAUGGAGAUUGUAAUAAGUCAUAGAAAUAAUGGGGGGAAAACCUUGCUAUAAAUGUGUAACUAAAAUAAUUGCAAUUUUACAUUCUAGAAAAUUAGGUAAUUCAGUCUCACAUAUAUAAAAUAAUAAUAUAUGUGUGUAUAGAAAUCAAAUUUAGGUUUAACUCAAUUAUGUACCAAUUAUCCAUUUUCAAUAAAAAAAAUAACCCCAAUUUCACAACUAAUGUCAUUCUUACCGAAACCAAUUAUGACGUCUGGUCUCAAUUCAUGGAAAUGUGAUUACUACCAAAAAGUGCUAUUUUGUAGACCUAAUUAUAAUGGUUUUAAGCACCUUUGAGUAGUAAUCAUAUUCAUUUAACCCAAUUAAUUCAUUAAGGUCCUUAGUAAUUGGUUUUAACCAUUUUGUGGCAAGUUUACAUGUUUUUAUCAGCUUAUGAAUCAAUUCAAGCAUGCCAAAUGAUGGAGGAGCUACUUGGACAAGUUAUGACAAAGCUUUUGGAAGCUCAAAUUCAUGAAGAACCAAGCUUUGGAGCUCCAUAGCCCUUUGCCAAAGUCGUUCAAAGUAUGCAAGGAAAGAACAAUGGAGAAGAAAAAAAUCAGAGGACAGCAGCUGCAGUCUUAUUUUGCACUUUUGGAGCACUUUCCGAAGUCCAUUUUUUACAUACUAUAUACCAUUUCAAAGCUCUGGAAGUCAAGAAUCCAACGCUUCAAACCGUGAAUGAUUUGGAGUUGAAAUGAGGAAGAUAUGGCCUUCGGAAGCCAACUGCUCCAGGUUAUGCGAAAAUUUCAUAUAACACAAGGUGUUAUGCGAAAUUCGCAUAACCCAUGCGUGUUGCGAAUUUUCCUCUGCUUUUGCCGACUCCACUUUAGAUAUUUUCCUUUGUAUUUUGUGAUGUAAUUUCCUUUCUUAUCCUUGUAACUAACCAAUCACAAGCUUUUGCUUUUGUAAAGAUUAUAUAAGGGGUGGAAAUCACCUCUUGGAAGAUAUAGAAUAGAUAUUACGUUUAACACUUAGAGAAUAGAUACAGAGCUCUCUCGUUUCUCCUGUUCUUCCCCAUUUCUAUUUUCUUAGUAGCCAAACAGCCUCUGAGGGCUUUUCCUCAGAGGAUGAGUGGCUAAAACUUUUAGUUUCUCAAAGUAUGGAUGUUAUGUGAUGACUUGGAUGCAAUCCCAUGGAAAUUUCUCGCAUCCGGAAGGUAAGGUAGACGUUUUUCAUUAAAGGUUCAUUAAUGCAAAGUUUAGUUUUUAUUUCCUUUGGACAACUUCCAACGGCCAAUACUUGAUAAGCUUUUGGAUUUCUAUCCAUUAGUUAUCUCCUACGAGCUAUUGGAAGGUGAGGUUUUCAAUUCCAAGUUUUGCAUUAAUCCAUUAGAACCAAUUUCAAUGGCCAUUGAAAGGUGAGUUUAUCACCUAGAAUGACUUUGAGUUGCCAAUAUUUGGUAAGCUUUUGGCUUUAGACCAUUAGUUAUCUCUUACGAGCCAUUCAAAGGAAGUCUAAGGUGAAUAACCAUUGAUGAAAUUCACUACCAUCUGUUUUGUCAUUUUAAAGGAUUAAAACUUGAUUUGCUAAAUCCAUACCGGUUCGGGAAGCAAGCAUCACCAUAGUUGCAACCCCAACGCGAGGAGCCUAUCCUGAGAUUUCCAAUUUUCAUAAGAGCCAGAGCAUAGCUAUCCUAUCUUUGAGAAACUUGUUUUUACACCCUUUCAUUUUAGUCUUUAAUGUUAGCUUAGAUUAGUUUAAAUCUUUCUAAAACAUUUACAUCUUCUUUUAAAGCUAACAUCCAUAAGAAAAUCACCUAUUUUCCUAAUUUGAAUAUCACUAGUGUUUGCGAAAACCCUUCCCAGUGAACGAUCCUAGAACCACUAUACUAUAGUAGCUUGGCUACUUUAGUAAUAGUAUUUAAGGUAUAAAUUUUGUUGAUACGCCUUUAAAGUUAAGCUACCAUGAGUCGCAUCAAAAUGCAUAUUACAAAACAUGAUAAGCUUGAAUAUUUUACGAGUAAAAUAUCGUUGAAGGUUACCAAUACUUCCUAUGCGAAGUGGUAUGCUGAGAAUCAAAAGGUCAAAGGAUGGUUGUUGACCUCCAUGUCAUCGAAGAUUAUGAAACACUAUCUUAGAUUGCUUACUACAUGUGACGUUUGGAUUGCUCUUGCUAAAGCAUUCUAUGAUGGGGCAUAUGAAUCACAACUCUUUGUACUGUAUCAAUGAGCAUUCUCCACCAAACAAGUUGGUUGUCCUCUUUCCACCUAUUAUGGUGAUCUAAUAGAAUUUUUUCAAGAGCUAGAUCAUCAUGAUAAAAUUGUCAUGAAUGAUUCCAAUGAUGUUAUUGCUUAUAAAAAAUCAGUUGAGAGACUACGGGUGCAUAUUUUUCUAAAUGGACUAGAUGCAGAAUUUGAACAAAUUCAAGGUGAGAUUCUCAUGAGGGAUCUUGUAUUGGAUCUUGAAGAAACUUAUGCAUAUGUUCAUCGUGAUUUUGUUCACCGAGAUGCACCAAAUGGCGAACCUGAACAUUCAGAGCUAUCUACUAUGGUAGCUCCCCAAGUCAAGUAUCAACAAUUGUAAACAAACCCGAAGCCAGAUCGAACAUCUAGUCCACUGAAUCAUGAUCAUAAUAAGUUGUUUAGAUAAUAAAAUUGUAGCUAUGAAAUAGGAGAUACACAACCAAAACGUAUGUGUACUCACUGUGGUGAAACCGAACACACUAAGUCAUAGUGCUAUGAAUUGAUUGGAUAUCCAGAAUGGUGGGAUUUUAUUAAGGCACCUCACAAACGAAAUUCAAAGACAAACCAUUAUGCUUCUGUUAUGCUGGUCAAGCCUAGUCAUGCUUCCACCGGUAAUCUUGAGAAAGCCUCCUCUUUCACUACUACUUCUAAGAAUGUGGGUAAGACUCUUCAUACCUCUACUCCUGUUAGUCAUAGUGAAUGGAUAAUUGAUUCAGGUGCCACAAAUCAUAAGACCUUUAACAAUAAUCAUAUCCAGUCCAUAAAAUCCUCAGACCAACAUAUAGUGUCCACAAUCGAUGGUACCCUCUUUCUCGUGUUAAGAGAAGGUUCAAUUUCUCUUAUAAAAAAUUUGAAUUUAGAUUUUGUUUUGGUUGUCCCUUUCCUUAAUCAUAACUUCUUGUUUGUUGCUCAAAUAAUCCUUUCUUUAAAUUGUGUUGUAAUUUUUUGGCCUAACCUUUGUGUCUUUAAGGACAGUUAAACUCAAAAGACAAUUGGUUAUGGUACUAGGAGAGGGAAGCUCUACUAUCUAAAUCUAAUGUCGACAAGCUCAAAUUAGUUGGAUCAAGUUUUUUCAGCUAAUACACUUGAUAAACUUCAGAGUUCAGAAAUCUGGUUAUGGCAUAAGCAUUUAGGCCAUGCAUCUUUUGGAUAUUUAUAAAAAUUAUUUCCACAAUUUUUUUCAUAAUUGACUGUUUCAGGUUUUAAGUGUGACAUUUUUGAAUUGAUUAAAAGUCAUCAUGUUCCAUUUCCCAUUAGUAUGAAUAAAAGUCAUGUACCUUUUAUGGUUAUUUACUCUACUGUAUGGGAGCCUGCAAAUACUUCUUCUUUGAGUAAAACACGUUGGUUUGUUUCAUUUGUUAAUAAUGAUCACACUCGCAUGACUUGGAUUUUCAUGAUGAAAUCAAAGAGUGAAGUAAGUUCCCUGUUUUAGCAAUUUCACAAAAUGAUAGCAACUCAAUAUCAAUCUAAUAUUUAGGUUAUUUGUACUGAUAAUGGAGGUGAUUUUAUCAAUCAAGACUUGAAACAGUACCUGAAUUUACAUGGAAUUGUUUGUUAGACUACUUACCCUUACACCCGUCAACAAAAUGGAGUAGUUGAAUGAAAAAAUCAUCACCUGCUUGAGGUUGUUCGUGCUUUCUUGUUUGGAGCUCACAUGCCCACCAAUUAUUGGGGUGAAGUCAUCACCGCUGCAGCCUGCCUCAUCAACCCUAUACCUUCUAGUUUCCUACUAUUUUAUACUCCCUUUGAUGUCCUUCAUCGUACUAUAAAUGCUCUUAUCAUAUCAAAUCUGUCCCUUAAAGUUUUUGGAUGUGUAAUCUUUGUGCAUUUUCACAAAGGCUUGAGAAUUAGAACCUCGAGCGCUUUGAUGUGUAUUUGUUGGCUAUGCCUUGCAUAAAAAAGGCUAUUGGUGUUAUCACCCCGAAAUCUUUAUGUUACCCUUGAUGUGGUCUUUCAUGAAAAUGAUAUGUAUUAUUUCGAGUCUUCACUUCAGGGGGAGAAUAGAGAUGAAGUGCAGACUUUACAUCAUCAUUUGGACAACUUGGAUUUUAUAAGAGGUGAUAACUUGGAAACUAGUGGUGAAUGUCCAAGUGAUGAUAACACCAUGGAUAACAAGAAGGAGUGUCCAAGUGAGAGUAGUGAUAGUCCAUAAUUUUUUGAAAAUGAGAAUCAGGGUCAGAAGGAAGUUCAGAAUCAAAGGGAAGUGUCAUCAAUCUCACAUGAUGUACUAGCUAACCAAUUGUCUUCUCCAUUCAAUUCCAUGCCUGAGUCUUAUGAAAAUUUUGAAUCUAAACCUCACCUAAAAGUGUUACCCAAUCGAGUCACAAGAGGAAAACCCAAAGUUAGCUAUGAACCUCUCCUCAACUCUAAAUCUGAAUAUCCCAUAAAUAACUAUGUAUCAUACCAUAGAUUGUCAAAGGAAAGUAUGCCAUUUGUGAAUCAAUUAUUUGUUGUAUCUAUUCCUAACAAUGUGCAAGAAUCCUUGAAAUAUCCCAAAUGGAGGGAGACAAUGAAUGAAGAAAUGAAAGCCCUUAAAAAAAACUCAACGUGGGAAGUUGUUGACUUGCUUGAAGAUAGGUGGGUCUUCACCAUUAAAUACAAAGUCGAUGGAACUAUUGAACAAUGUAAAGCAAGACUUGUCGCCAAGGGAUAUACUUAAACAUAUGGAAUUGAUUAUAUGGAGACAUUCAUACCAAUGGCUAAAAUUAAUUGUGUUUGUAUUCUAUUAUCUCUGGCGGUGAAUCUUGACUGGCCUUUACACUAGUUUGAUGUAAAGAAUGCAUUUCUGCAUGGAAAUCUCCAAGAAGAAGUGUAUAUGGAGUUACCCCCUAGUUAUAAUCGAAAAACUAAAGGUAAUAAACAGGUCUGUAAGUUGAGAAAAUCCUUAUAUGGUUUGAAACAGUCUCCUAUAGUGUGGUUUGGAAGGUUCACAAGUUUUAUGAAGUCUAUUGGUUACAAGCAAAGUAACUCAGAUCAUACUCUAUUCUUAAAGCAUAAUAAAAAAACAAAUAACAACUCUUAUUAUGUAUGUUGAUGAUAUGAUAGUGACUGGAAAUGAUCCUAAAGAAAGGAAUACACUACAGGAGCAUCUUGUCCGUGAGUUUGAGAUGAAAGACUUCAGUGAAUUGAAGUAUUUCCUCCGAAUUGAAGUGUCAAGAUCUAAGAAAUGUAUUUUUCUAUCACAAAGAAAAUAUGCCUUAGACUUACUGAAUGAAACUGGUAUGACAACAUGUAGUCCAACAAACACUCCUAUGGAAGAAAAUCUGAAACUAUGUGUGCAUUCAAAUCAAGUUCCUACUAAUAAGGAACACUAUCAGAUACUGGUUGGAAGAUUAAUGUAUUUUGCACAUACUCAACCUGAUUUAGCUUAUGCGUUGAGUGUGGUUAGUCAAUUCAUGCACUCCCCAAGCAAAGAACAUAUGAAUGCUAUCAUCUAUAUCUUACGCUAAAUGAAGUCAUCUCUAAGAAAAGAUUUUUUGUUCACAAAAGGAGACAAUUUGGACAUUAAUGGAUGUACAGAUGUUGAUUGGGCUAGGUCAAUUCAAGAUAGAUGUCCUACAUCUAGUUAUUUUACAUUUUUAGGAGGAAAUUUGGUUACUUGGAAAAGUAAAAAACAAGAGGUAGUUGCUAGAUCCAAAGCUAAAUCCGAAUACAGAGGAAUGGCUAAGGCAAUAUGUGAAUUGUUGUGGAUCAAAAAUCUAAUGCAAGAUUUACAUAUUGAGCAAGUCAACCCUAUAAAGUUAUAAUGUGAUAAUAAGGAAACGUGUGAUAUCGCCCAUAAUCUUGUCCAAUAUGAUUAAACCAAACAUGUUAAGGUUGAUAGGCAUUUUAUCAAGGAGAAAUUGGAAGCAAAAUUGAUUGAAGUUCCUCAUGUUUGAUCUCAAGACUAGCUUGCUGAUGUGCUGAACAAGGCAAUGUCAAACCAAGCAUUUAAUGGUUGUCUCGAAAAACUAGGCAUGAGUGACAUCUAUGCACCAACUUGAGGAGGAGUGUUGACAAUUAGGAGUAAUUAUCUCCAAGUUGAUUCUCCAACAUUCAAGCCUCUAAUUUUCCUCUACUACUAGUUGUAUGGAUAAACUAGAAUUACUAGAAUUCCUGUAAAUAAGUGAUUGUAUCACGACAACUAUAGUUUCCUUAUUGUUAGUUAAUCAGUCCUAAACUAUAGGAUCUAAAGCUUUGUACAGUGGCUAUUUAUGCCCAGCCACUAAUAGAGAAAACUAUCGUAGUCUUCUCCUCACAAACUCUGUAUCUUUUACAUUUUUUUGUAUUAAUUGGUUCAUUCUUUGAGUUUUAAAUUAUUUUUAGAAAUUAUUAAAGUCAUUAAUGAAUCCAAAAUAUUAAGUCUUAUUGAUUUGAAAUUUAUUUGUCUAAUAAAAUUUUUUAUAAAAAUAUGAGAUAUAUAUAAAAGAAGCUAACCUAGACAUUUAAAAUAAUUUUUGUCUAUGACUUACUAAUAUUAUUGAAUUUCAUGACUUUUUAGUAUUAAUUAAAUGAUUUUUAAGUUUCAAAUUAUUUUUGAAAAUUAGUAAAUUUUAUGUAUCAAGUACAAUUUCAUUUGAAAUUUAUUUGUUUAAUGAAAAAAUUUAAAGACAUUAAAAGAAAUUAAGAAAAGUACUUGUAAUUUAAAGAAAUGUCAUAUUUUAAUAUUUUCGAUAUUAGUAUUAGAUUGUGGAGAGAGAAAAGGAAUGAUAUCAUGUUCAAUAUUUUAUUUUAUUUUUUGAGUUUUUUUUUUAAAUUUAUGUUUUAACUUCCUUUUGUUUUUUAAAACUUGUGAAAACAACUUAUACUUAUUUUCUAAAAAAUGUUCUCUAUUUUAAUUUGUUUUUAAAAACUAUUUUUAAGGAACAACAACCAAACAGUAAUAAGAAUUUUUAAAAAUAGUUUUCGGUUUAAAAACAGAAAACUAUUUUUAAAUCAUACAACUAAAUAGGCUCAAACUUGUUAAAAACGUGUAACUAAAAUAAUUAUAGAUUUUGCAUAAUAAAAUUAAUUAUUUUUAAUUUAAAUCAACAUUUGUUAUCAUGCAUUUCUAUAAUUGUCAAACUUAUGAAUCUAAUUUUCUCUAUAAUUAAUUUGAUCUCUAUAGUAAAUACAUGGAAGUGAGCUCCUAUAAGUCUUAGAAAAUGCAAAAACCAACCAUAAAUAUGUAACCAAGAUAAUUUCAAUUUGAUAUGAUUUAAAAAAUAGUCAUUUAAGUUUGAAUUAGGGCAUCUUAUUAUGUUCAUGAUUAUCAAAUUAAUGCAUGUCAAAGAAGUGCCCUUUUUUGGGAAAUAUUUUAGCUCAUUAGUUGUCACAGGGUAUGAGGUCCAAUUCCAUAAAAGGUGACCUUGGGAAUGUGCUCAACAAUCUUAUAAUUUUUGCCUAUGUGGGGUCGCAUACUAAGUUUUAAUUCUUCCUAUAAAUCAACAAAUCUAAGAGUUGUGAGAUUACUAAGGUGGUGAAUGCUAGGGGGCAACUCCUCCAAUUGUGGGCAAGUCCCAAUCAUAAGAUCCUCUAAUAGGAGCAAUAUUCCAUCUAUUUUCACCCUCUUCAAUCCCAUCCAAUAAUUGAGAUUGAGCCUCUUAAGUUUUUGAAACCAUUGCAACAAAGCAUAGUUGCUCAUCGAUAGAGGUUUGGGAUAGGGAAGGCUUCUACAAGCUAGGUAAGGCUUCAAGGACUUGCAUUGGAUUACUCGUUAAUUUUGAACCAAGUAAGGCUACUUCGACUAAAUUUUGAAGUUUAGAAAUCUAGUUAAACAACUCCUUUAAACACCCAUGCAAGUAGAGAGUUGAAAGAAACGAAGGUGGAUGAGACAUGUAUUGUAAAUCCAUAAUCUCAUAUUCACUCAAUGAACAAAUAGACAAAUAUUUAAGAUGCUUCAUGUUUGUAAUGGAGGCACAUAAUGAUUGCCCAUUUUCUUUGGAAAUUUUUGUAAUACAAGCUUUCUUAAUUUUUGUAAUACAUAAUCCUAUGAGUUAUGUCCACAGAAAUCAGCUUUUGCAGGUCUUCCAAAACCCCAAUACCCUCCUUUACAUGCACUCCUCUAAUAUAAUCCCAACUCAAAUCAACAUAUUGCACAACUUUUGAAGUUAAUUGAUCUCAAUAAGAAGGUCUUCCACACGGGAAUAUUUUAGAUAUGAAGUCUAUAGGUUUUGUAGUUUACCUAUGGACCUUCAAAGCAUCCUCACUCUUAUCUUUCUCAGGCUUAAAUACCUCAAAUGCAACAGAUUUCCCAAAUCUUCAGGAACACUAUCCAAGAUAGCACAACUAAGAUCCAAUACUUUUAGAAGCCUAAAUUUUGAAGCCAAUGACCCUAGAAAAAAUUUCUGAGAGUUGUAAAGAAAAAUGGAGCAGAGAGGACCCUUAGCAAGCCUAUAGGUUCUAAGAUCAAACUUAUCUUAAUUUUAAUCCAUCCUCAUCCUAAAGAUGAGUUAAGCUAAUGAAUCAAAGGAUAUGAAUUUCGUUUUAACUACUAAACUAUAUGUGUUAAUAGUGCAAGUGACUAAUCCAAAGAUGGAAAGUGGUAGAAUCACCUAAAGUGGUCUCACUUCCAUAAUCUAAGUGCUAAAUGAAAAAUGUAUAUUAAUCUUGCCUUAGAAACUUUUCAAGUAUAAUGCAAAAAAAUUUAUUAAAGAGGGUCUCUACUUAGUAAUAAGAUCAUGAUCGACUUAAAGUAUGUUUGAUUCUUAUGAUACUAGGAUAUCUUGCAUGGAAUAAAUUUAGUAAUUCAAGAGCACUAUAUCCUUACUAAACUUACCAAUUUAGUAAUGCACUUCAAUUUUAUUAUUACAUGAAAUUUAUCUCACAAUCCUAUCAUUGUCAUUCUCACAUCAAAUCAAUUAAGUGUACCUAAUUAUGUGGACUAGAAAAUAAAUUUGGAUAUAGCACUCACAUUAAAGGAGUUAAAGUGGGAGACAUAGAAAUCUACUCCUUUUCCUUGCAAGAGGAUAGAGAAGCUCAUCAAAGGAGGCAUAAGGGCAAUGAAAAGGAUAAGUAUAUCAUACUUGAGUCUUAGGAUAAUGUGUUGCAAUAGCAGCACGUCUUAUGCCACCACUAAUGAUAUUCUUUUUAACUUAUAAGAGAUGUUUGGUGAUAAGGGUAGGCUACCUAAACAAACUACCCUUAGGACUAUUAUGAACACCAAGAUGACAAAAGGAACUCUCAUUAGAAAUCAUAUGGUUUGUAUGAUCAAACUCUUUAACGAGAUGGAGAUCCUUGGAGCCAAAAUUGAUGGUGAGAACAUUAUUUUAGAGACUUAUCAUAUUCCUUCAAGUAGUUUAAGCUCAACUAUGGUAUGAAUAAGAUAUUGUUAAACUUGGUAGAGUUGAUGAAGGAACUCCAAAUGGUUGAGGGGAUUCUCAAAUAUUAGAGAAAGGUCUUCGCAUAGUAGUUAAACGUUCUUUAAGUUCUUCUAACAAGAGAUAGAAGAACAAUAAAGAGAACUAGGAAAGUCCAAGGCUAGGAAUGAAAAGAGUUAGGAAAGGGUAAGUGUUUCCUUUGUGGCAAGAAGGAUCACUUAGAAAAGAGUGCCCUAAAUACCUAAAGAAAAAGGAAGGUACAAAUCAUUUUCUUGUUGUUGAAUUUUGUUUAGUGGUAGUGGAUUUCACCAACUCAAGGUGGAUAGAUUCCAAGGUCGGUGAUCAUGUUUAUAAUUCUUUACAAGGUUUUUUAGUGUUGUAAGAUCAAUAUAUUUUUGUUAUACCUAUACAUUGGCUUCUAUAUAAAUGUAUAAUAUUGGUGCAUUAGCAUUUUAUACUUCGUGAAUUACAAGUAUAAAUAAUUUUUAUAAUAAACCCAUUGGGGAGCAAUGAUGUUGUUCUUAAGCUUGAGAUGAGUCACCUAAAUGAUAUUUGUGGUCAACUUACCCUUAUUGGAUAUUAAUUGGUUUUUAGACGAGAUAGUCAAUGCUUAAUCCAAUAAUUAGUAUACAAGCCAAAGAUCAUGAGUUGAGUCACAAGCACAUCAUGUUGGUGGAGGGGUUGUUUGGGAUUAUUGGGAUGCAAUGAUGCCUCAAAUGAUGGUAGUCCAUUGCCAUUACAAGCUUAGUCUACCUCAUUGAACACCAAUUGAUUUGAUUUAUAAUAGAUGACACCUUAUGAAGUAGAAAAAAAAUGUCUUUUAGGAUCGAUUUAUACUAACAAUAAAAAUAUGAAUAAUAAUGUUAACAAUAAUCAUUACAAUUGCAUAAUAUUAAUAAAAACUAUAUUAUUUCUACUAAUAAUAUGAAUAAUAUAACACUAAUAUUCUAACAAUAAUAUUAACAAUGUGUUAUUAUUAAUAAUAACUAUAAUAUAAUAAUAAUACAAUUAGUCUUAUUGCAGUAUAUAAAACAUUAAAGGCAAAAAAGAAAAAUAAAUAAAUAAAAGAAUGGUUUUAAUAAUAAAGCUUACAAGUCUUAAGAAUUAAACAAAAACAAAAUUGUGGUUUAUAGGAGAUGACAUCAUAAUAAUAAAAAUAAAAAUAAAACAAUAUCAAUAUUAAUAAUAUGAAUAAUAAUGUUAGUAAUAAUCAUAAUAAUAUUAUUUUUAUUAAUAAUAUGAAUAAUAUAAUACUAAUAUCAUAAAUAUACUAUUUUAACAUUAUUAAUAUUUAAUAAUAAUAAUAUAAUUAGUCUUAAUAUAAUAUAUAAAACAUAAAAGACAAAAAAAAAAAACAAAAAUUAGAAAAGUAGAAUUAUAUGAGAAUAGGAGGAAAAGACAAGCAAAGAUAUUUAUAUUUGGAAUUGUGGGAUAGUCAAAUUUUAAAAAUAUUAGUUAUGGGAUUUUAAGAAAUUAAAAUUAUAGAUUUGGUGACCAUGCAAAAGACUUAUCAUUGCCUACAGGCCAUCAAUUUGGAAUAAUUCUCCAUCCUAAUAUAUAUAUAUAUAUUAUAAUUAGUUCUUAAAUGAUUCACAUAAAUUCUUAAUGAUGCACAUAAAGCAUUGGUUGAGCAUUACCUAUGCCAUGUCAUCAACAAUGUUAUUCUAAAACAUUCACAUCUCCCAGAAGGAGAAACAGAGAAAUUGUUCAGACCAACAACCAUGACAAGGAGAUAAUUAAGUUCAAACAAAAACUCAGUAAAAAUAAACAAACACCACCACCAUCAAUCUCAGCCAUUAAUCCAUUGGAGAUUCCAGCAAUUGGAUCUUCUAGUGUUGUAUGCCAAUUCCUGCAGAUUAUCAAAUUCUAAUUAUAAAAAUACAGAUAGUGUGAAUGAAAACGAUAAAAAAGCAACAAACUAGAGAAAAGACUCACCAAGUUUUAUUGGCACUGAGGCUUGAGACUUGAAUUCCCAUAUCUAUUGCAUAUCACAAUCAAACAAACUUCACUUAGAAGAGGAAUAGUAAUUAUAUACGCCUUCUAUUCAAUCUUUUCAACCUAUUUUGAGUGAUUUAUGUUAGUUGUUGAAUUUUUUAAAAUUUUAUAUGCUUUGCAUUUACUAAUACCUAAAUUGCAGUUUUUCAAUUAAACAAAUGUGAGCUGUGGGUUUUACAAAACAUAAAUCAAUGGAUACUACUAGACUUCAAUAGUAGAAACCAACAAAAAAAUAAUAAAAACAAAAAACAAAAAACAAAAACAAAAACAAAACAAAAAAGAAUUGCACAAUUAGGUAGUUAACUAAAAUAUAUGGAUGGAGAUUGUAAUAAGUCAUAGAAAUAAUGGGGGAAAAACCUUGCUAUAAAUGUGUAACUAAAAUAAUUGCAAUUUUACAUUCUAGAAAAUUAGGUAAUUCAGUCUCACAUAUAUAAAAUAAUAAUAUAUAUGUUUUGGAUGAUUUCUGCUCCCUUUUUUUUCUAUUUCCACCGAAGUUUGCCCUUUCCUUGAUCUAAAAUGAACUGAACUUAUUAGGAGUGAUUGCCCUAGAAAUACAUGUCAAAGACUCACCUUUGCUUGGAAAGAUUUCAUUAGCUAGCUCUCGAAGAAAUGGAUGUAUGGAAUGUGCUUAACAAUCUCAAAAUUUCUGCCUUGGUCGCGUAUCAUACCAAGUCUCAAUUCUUCCUGCAAAUCAAAAAAUGUAAGAGUUGUGAGCUUACUGAGGUGGCGGAUGCCAGAGGGCAGCUCCUCCAGUUGUGGGCAACGCCCAAUCAUAAGCUCCUCCAGAAGGGGCAAUGUUCCAUCUUCUAUUUUCACCCUCUUCAGUCCAAUCAAGUCAUAGAUACGGAGCCUCUUAAGUUUCUGAAUCCCCGUUGCCCCAAAACACAAUUGCUCAACGACAGAGGUUUGGAAUAGGGAAAGCGCCUGCAGGCUAGGCAGGGCUUGAAAGACUUGCAUUGGAUCGUUCGCUAAGUUAGAACGAGUUAAGAUUACUCUUACUAAACUUGGAAGUUUAGAAAUCCAGUCAGGUAACCUCUCCAAACGCCCCAUUAAGUAGACAGUUGAAAGAAACGGAGGUGGAUUUGACAUAUACUGUAUAUCCAGAAUCUCAUCUUCACUCAGCGAACAAACAGACAAAUAUUUAAGGUGGACCAUGUUUGAAAUGGAGGCACACAAACGCUGCCCAUUUCCUCUAGAAAGUUUUGUAAUACCCAGCUUCCUCAACUGCCUCAGCUUUCCCAACUCUGUUAUUAUCUGCACCCCAUGAGUUACGUCCACAGCAGUCAGCUUCUGCAAGUCUUCCAAACCCCCAAUACCCUCCUUUACAUGCACUCCUCUAACAGAAUCCCAUCUCAAAUCAGCCUUAUAAGCAUAAUCAAAGCAUAGAAUAUUGCACAGCUUUUGAAGCCUAUUGAUCUCAACAGGAAGAUCUUCUACAAGGGAAUAUUUCAGAUCCAAAGUCUGUAGGUUUUGUAGUUUGCCUAUGGACCUUGGAAGCAUCCUCACUCUUGUCUUCCUCAGGCUUAAGUAUCUCAAAUGCAACAGAUUUCCCAAAUCUUCAGGAAUUCUCUCCAAAGGAGCACCACCAAGAUCCAAUACUUUCAGAAACUUAAAUUUUGAAGCCAAUGUGCCCAGAGAAAACAUCUCAGAGUUGUAAAGAAAAAUGGAGCGGAUGUGAGACUUUUUACUGGGAAUGUCUAGCACAUUAUUUGAGCUAUUCUGAACUGAUAGGCGCCUAAAUCUUCCAUCAAAACACGAGGCUUCUCCAGCCAUUACAGAAAAAAAACUCAACUCCUCAGCCUUUUUGAGAAUAAUCUCACGCAUCAAGUCAUGAAUGUGGCAUCUUUUAAUAUUUCCAUCGAUAUAUACGUCUGACACUUGAACUAAGCUCCUGCGUAUGAGCUCAGUCAAGAAUCCUUCUGCAGUCUCUUCUAGCGUCACACCUCUCUUCGUCUUUACAAAACCCUCAGCAAUCCACAGCCGAGUAAGGAUCCCACAUUUAAUUGUGUAGUCCUCUGGAAAGAUUGCCAAAUACAAGAAACAUGACUUGAGGUGGUAAGGCAGAUCAUAAUAACUGAGAGAGAGAAUGGUAUUGAUACUUUCAAGAUGGGAAUUACUUUCCAACUCAGACCCAAGGCUGUCACUGAAUUUUUUCCAUAAGGACACAAUCUUCUCUUUUCUUGACAAAAGACCACCAAUUGCUACAAUUGCUAGUGGCAGUCCUCCACAUCUUUUGACAAUAUCAUCAGACAAUUUCUUUAAUUCUGGGGGACAUCUACCCUGAAAUGCCUUCUUGCAAAAGAGUUCCCGGGAACUAUCAGGUGAAAGAUGUGGCAGCCUGUGGAUGUAAUCAUCCUUACAACAAGUGGCUACGUCAUCUUUACGGGUAGUGAUUAUUAUCCUGCUGCCUUUUUUAUUUUCUGGUAACGCAGGUGUAAUACUUUCCCAAAAUCCUGCUUUCCAUACAUCGUCAAAAACAACCACAUACCUCUUAUCUUGUAAAUAUUCCCUGACUUGGGUAAUCAGCGACUCGUUGUCCAUUCUGUUGAUAUCCUCAGGAACUUUUUCCUUCCUUGCUUCAUAGAAUUUCUCCAUCAUACGGCGCAGCAGCUCCUUCAUCUGGAAAGACUGAGACACAGUGAUCCAAGCAUGGCAAUCAAAGUGUUUCACCACUCUCAUAUUUGCAUAAACCUUCUUGGCAAGAGUGGUUUUGCCAAGUCCACCCAUUCCGACAACCGAAAUCACAGUUCGUUUUAGAGUUCCCUUCACCAGCCUGCUUAUCAGUUCAUUUUUCUGAGAUCCGAUGCCAACAAUUUCAGAGUCGUCGAUGAAAAGAGAAGUCACUGGAGGAUCAGGCUGUGGAGCACUUCCUUUGCUGCUGGUUGAACCUGAUUCAAAUGGUUUAUUAAAGCCAUUACUUGAACUUAUUUCUCUGAGCUUAUGAACCUUUUUCUGGAUAUCAUGGAUCUUGGAGGCUAUCUCAUGGCGUCGUAUUAAUUUUUUUAUCAAGCGAGCAACUUUGUAAAGGAAACCAAUGAAACCAUGCCGUCGAUUUGGAUUUCCCAAGUGAAGCAAGUAUUCAUCGAUGACAUCUUCUAUGGAAUAAGCAGUCUCCCUUAAGUCUUGAAUCCAAGUUUUAAGGCCUUGGCUGACAUCUGCUUUCUCCGCCUUUGCAUCUGCAUCCAUUAGGAAAGCUUGAAUAUAUAGUAGCUCUGUUUUAAUGUCUUCAACUUGUGUGUGGACGCCUCCCAAUAGUCUGGCUUCUUGAUCUAGUAAUGGGAGCAACUUGUCGAUGACGAGGUUGACGGCAAUCUCCGCCAUUUCUCCUUCUUUUCCCCCUUUGAGAAGGCCAGUGAACAACAAAUGCGUUAGCUCAUUUCAGAUCUAAUCUUCCAUCUAUCCAAACUUUGUGGCCGUAGAACCAAUGAACCCAACACCACUACUGCCAAAAAUUACAGUGUCUUUUUCUAAUACCGGAAAUUCGGGUACACUAAAUUUUUGUCAAAGUAAUCACAAAAUUUAGUCAAAAAGACAGGUGUUGAAAACUAACAGGACAUUAGAAAAGUUGAAAUUAGGCUGAAGUGUAACAUUUGAAUUCUUGCAUGUCAGCUUUUGAGAGAAUUGAAAUAAAAUUUUUAUAAUUUAAACUUCCACGCAAAUAAACUUGGAAGUUAAUCUGAAUAAAGUUUUGACCAUUUACAUUAGAAAUGUCAGCUUUUAGCAUUAGUGAGCUGCGUUCACAAGUCUAUGUACGAAUGACAACAAUAUUGACCAUGAAAAUAAAGGGUGGGCCAUGGAGGCUUUGGAUCAAAGCUGAAAUGUUUCAACUUGAACCCAAUAAUAUCUAAAACUUGAUCUGUCGGUCUUCAGAACUUUGGACCUCAAAAGCCAAUAAUUCAACCACCUUUUAAUAUCCGACAUAUUCUCUGUCCAUUUUCUAAAUUUGGACACAAAAAGCAGGUAGAGAAUUGGGAUCACACAAUAAUUCCUUCCCAUCAAAGCUGACAUUUAAUCCUUCAUUUUCUAAUCUUUCACCAAAUAGAAUAUUGCAAUUUGUAUCACAAUUAAAAAAUAUAUAUAUUAUUAGAUGAUGAUUCUUAUGUCAAAUUAGUUGUCAAAUCAUAGUUGAGUUAUUACAUUAAUACAAUAAAAUAAAUAUAUAAUUUAUAUAUUAUUAAAAUUUAAAAUAUAAAUAGUUAAAAACUUAAAAUAUUUUAUCUUUUUAUCUUUUUAUCUUUAAUAUUAACUUAUUAAUUCAAGAUAAGAAUAAAAUAUUGUAAUCUUUAUAAUUUUAUUAAAUAGAAAAAUUAUAAUAUUUAAUUGUUAAAAGACAAAUCAUCUAUCAAAGAGAGAAAUAAAAUUUUAUUAUCUAGCUUCAUAUUUUAUUAUUAUGUUAUCUUAAUACGAUUUUGUUACAAUUGAAUGUGAAUAAAUAGUUAGUUACCUUUAUCCUAAACGGUCCAUAUAUGUAUGCUAUCAUUAUAAAAGAAAAGUCUACUUACUGAUAUGCUUACCAUCCUUUUUAGAGCAGGCCUUUGAGCUCACUGUCCCUACCUCUCAAAUCUUUAUUUAAAAAGUAGUUCAAGGAAAGCAUAGUUUAGUUGAUGUUGGUUUGUUUUAUUUUAUUUAAUUUUAAAUAUAAUUUAAUUUAAUUUAAGAUUAAAUAAUAUUUAAUAAUAUUAAGUACUAAAUUGUUUUUUAACUCACUGUCUCAUACUAAUUUUAUACACUUUUCUGUCUCUCUCUAACUCUUACAACUUGAGCUCAUGUCCUAUUUAUUUAGUAAAAUAUUAAAUAGAUUUUACAAAAAAGUUAUGAAAGAGUUAAAGGAUUUUGCCCAAGUAAUUAAAAAAUGAAAACAAAUCUCACCAAAAACUUUUAUAGAAUUUUAAUAAUAUUUUUACAACAAAAAGUCUUAAAUAUUAUUAAUUUCCAUAGUGUGAAUUAUUAGACAAGAUUAAAUUUGUAAAACAUUAAAUAACAUGAAACAUAAUAUAAUUGUAUAGUGCUUGUACAUUAGUCAUUGUAUGGCUAAAUGUAAAUACGUUUUAAAAAUCUCAAAAUUAAAUAAAAAUAAAAAUUUAAACAAAAAACCCAUCCAUUAAUAAAACAUCAACAAUAUAGUAAUAAAUAAAUAAAUAAUCAAUUUUCUAGAAACUUUUUAGGAAAUUUAUUUAAGAUUUUUAAAAAAUAAUCUUAUAAAAUCUGAAAUAUAUAUAUAUAUAUAUAUUUGUAAAAUGUAUUUAAUAUCACAGGGGCAAACUUAUCAAAUGUUAAUUGAUAUAUAAAUGAACUUAUGUAAAAUUUUAUAGCCAUCAUUAGGUUUUGGUGGCACUAGACACAAGGACUAUGCUUCCAUACUACCUUCACUCAUUCCAAAAUCAACCUUGUGAUGAUUUUAAGAAGACUACUAAUAUGUAAGUUUUUCCCUCAAUACUAAAGCAUGAGGCUUAGUUGGUAACAAAUAUGAUUUUCUUCAUGUAGGGCCCUCAGAAUUCAUCCAGGAAAAACAUAAAUCAUCAAAGAGGGAGACUACUCAGGUUGUAGUAGGGGUGUUUAACUCAUAUAAAUUAAGUAAUGCAAUUUUUAGUACCAUUUCUUAAUUUUUAAUUAAGUACAAAAUGCCCUACAACUCAUAUUCACUUACAAAAGGAGACCCAAACAUACUUAACUUCCACCUUUCAACAUGUCUUUGUAUGUUAUAUAAUUAGUAAUGAAAUCUCACUACUUGUAGUACUAAUUUACCAUUUUUUAUAUUGAGUGUUCUAUGUUUAUUGAAUAAUAUAUUUUAUGCCAAAUAUUUAACUUGUUUUGUGAAAGUCUUUCUUUAUCUUUACCAACUAUGUGAUAAAAAGAAAUGAAGUCAUUCAAUAAUUAAUAUGUAAUAAAUGUAGUGAAGCAUAUAGAAUGAAACCAUGUAUUAUAUUGAUUUGUAUCCACCAAAUGAGAACAAAAAUGUGAAUGCAAAAGGCGAAUCUAAGUCUAGAAUGUGCAGCAUAGUUUUAGUCUUGCAAUUUGUGAUAUACAAUAAAUAAUGUGAGACACAUAGAAAGAAAUAAUUAAUAUCUUUGACUUAUUGGUAUCUACUAAAUGAUAAUGAGAAUGCAAAUCUUAGUCAAUAACGCAAAUUAUGGCUUUACAUUAAAUUUAAUUUUUGGCUAAUUUAAUUUGGGACGAAGUUGAAUCAUGUAUUUAUCUUUAAUUUUAUCAUAAAACUAAAUAAUCGAUAUUACAAUGUUAUGACAAUUAUGUUUCAGAGUAAAAUGAAAUAAACUGAAAAAAAGAGUCGGUGUAUUAUUUAUAGAUCAUUGGAAAUUGAUGAGUGUUUAAUGACAUGUAAUUGUGUCAUAGUGGAUUAAAACACCAAUUUAAAAAUAGUUUUAAGGGUUUGAGGAAAUCAAUAUCAUUUAGUUUGAUGCAAUCCCAUUCAUGUUCUCAACCCUUUAAAAUGUAGGAUCAGAGACUCUUUUAAUUGGAAUUAUCCUCAUUUAUGAAAUAGGAUUCUUUUCAUUGGAAUUAACCUCAUUUACAAAAUACGAUUAGUUUUCCAAAUAAGAUUCUACCUUUAUUGUGUUUUUAAUUUUUAAUUUUUGUGCAUUUAUUGUUGUCAAGUAAAAUAAUAAUUAUUUUUAGACGAAGACUUGAUAAACCUAACUUCUACCAUCAAUAUGUCUUUAUAUAAAUAAAAUCUAACCACUUAAAUUUGACUCUACCAUGUUCUCCACUAAAUGCUUUACCAUUCAUGCAUUAACAUUAUUUUUAUUUUUAUUUCAAAUACAUACUUAUUAUGUCAAAGACUUUUCUAAUCUUAUUCAAUUAAGCAUGUGAUACAAAAAGAAAAGACCUUUUGCAAUUGAAUAAAUGUUGUGAUAAAUAUAUAGAGGAAGAAAUACUAUCUUAUAUUAUUGGCAUCCACAAAAUUAGAAUAAAAAUCUCAAUCUAAGUCUACAAUGCGAAAGAUGGUUUUUUAUUUAAAUUUAGUUUCUAGUUCAUUCAAUCUUGAAUAAACAAGAACAUGCGCUUUAUCUUCAUAUUUGUCAAAAAAAUCUAGAUAAAAAAAAAUCUAGAUAAUCAAUAUUAUCAUAUUAUGAAUAUUAUGCUGAAAAGAGAAAUUAAAAACAAUGGAGAGCAAAAAGAUAUAGAAGUCCAUGUAUGAAUUAUAGAUUAUCGACAAAGUUUAAUGAUGGGUGAUUGUGUCGUAGUUGAUUGACAAACAAAUUUAAAAAUGUUUUAUGACUAGUCAAAUUUGUUUUCAACAAUUUAAAAUGACGGUAAUUGGCAAAUUAGAUUGGAAUAUUUUUUUUUCUUAAAUGGAUCCAAUAAAAUUUAAAAUUUUGAAAAAUCAAUUUGAUUUGACUUUGUCUAAAUCAAUUUAUUUUUCCUGGCCCCACUAAAAAAUUGUAAGAAAGACCCUUCCUAUGUAAUAUAACCUUAUUUAUGAUCCUAGAUUAUUAUUUUAUUUGAGGUUUUAUGUCUACUUAUUUUUUUAUUGAGUAUUAGUAAAUGUCAUAUAACAUAAUAAUUAUUCAUAGAAGGUGGCCUAACAAACCCAACUUUUACAAUCAACAUAUCUUUGUAGAUUAUAUAAUUAUUAAUGAAAUCUUAUAGUGGUAGUGGAUUGAAACACCAAUUAAAUAAUUAUAUAUAUAUAUAUAUAUGUAACCGAUUUUGAUCAAUUUUAAAAUGUUGAGAUGUCAUCAUAUAUUAGACUAAAAUAUUUAAUGAUCUAAUAAAAUUUAAAAAAUUUUAAAAAUCAAUUUCAUUUUGUUUUAUCCACUCCCUUUCAUGUUUCCAAUCCUUUGAAACUUAAGAUUAGAGGCUCAUCUCAUAGAAAUUAACCUCAUUUAUUACAUAGAAUUAGUUUUCCACAUGAGAUUUCACAUCUUUUUUUAUUUUAUUUUUUUUAUUGAUGUUAAGUAACAUAAUAAUUAUUUAUAAAGGGAGACCUAACAAACCUAACUUUUACCAUUGACAUGUCUUUACAUGUAAUUUAAUAAUGAAUGAAAUGUGAUCACUUAAAGUUCACUCUACCAUUUUCUCUGCUAAAUGCUUUACCUUAAUGCAUUCAAGUUACUUGUAUUUUUAUUUUAUAUAUAUGACCAAUUAUGUGAAAGUCUUUCCUAACCUUAUUCAAUUAAGCAUGUGAUAUAGAAAGAAAUGAGGUCUUCUAAUUUAAUAAAUGAUGUUAUAGAUAUUGUUAGGACAUUGAGUCUUGUUUGUUUGAUGACAAUUUUUUUCCAGUUAAUGUUUGACCAUAAAAGUCUUCUUAGAUAAUAACUUGCUCUCCAUUGAAGAUCAAAGGUUGUUGUUUGUCCAACCAUGAAGUCAUAGGUACAUCUAAAGAAGUUUGGCUUAUGUCAUGUUAGGCUCCUAUGAGGUAUAAAGAGAAUUGAUUUUGUUUUUGAACUUAAAAUGAUUUAAAAUUAAUGUUUUCUAGAAGACAAGACCACUUAAGUGACCUGAAGUGCUUAAGCACUAAGGACCGCUCAAGUGCUCCCUAUCACUCAAGUGCUCGAGGCACUCAAGCGGUGGGUUAGUUGGCUCGAGUGGUCAUCCUAUUUCUAUUGAGAAUUUUUCAUGCAAAUUCAAUUGAGAAAUCUUCCAAAACCAAAACUCUUCGACUUAGUUGCCUAGAUAUACCUCAUUAUAACCCUUUAAGGGUAAGAGAUUAGACCUUUUUAGAGAGUUUCUUUGAGGGAAAAACCUAAUGAGCCACACCAUUCCCGAUCUCUCAUUUGAAGGAUUCAAGUGUUGAAUCUAAGGUUGAAGACCUACAUCCUUUAGCAAGGCUAAGGUGUAUUCACUGGAGCAAUCAAAGGUUAUUAUGUUGUGGACGUGGAUCAAGUUGUAGGUACUGGAGAGAAAGUCUUUAGGGUAAAAUGACUAAGUAAAUCUAUGUAACUCGAUCUUAUAUAGUGGAUUUAGAUUAAUAGUUUUAAACCUCAUGGUUUUUUUUUCUUCAAAGUUAGUGUGAGGGUUUUCCAUGUAGAAAUCUCUUGUGUCUUAUUGCUUAUUAUUUGAUAUCUUGUUUGAAUUUAUUACAAUAAGAAUAAUUGUUAUACCUUGAUAACUUGCGGGAUAAAAAUUGGGUAUAACAUAUAAAUCUUUAUUUAAAUUUUUUAAUACACCUAUUCACUCUCCCCCUCCCCUUCUCUAGGUGUUACCCCACUGGACUUAGAGGUUUUUUCAAUUAGUAUCAUAGCAGAAUAAAAAUUAAUUUUUUUUCUUAUCCUAUUGAUUAAAAAUCAAUUUUUUAUUGAUCCUAUUAGAUAAAAAUCAUUUUUUUUAUAUUAUUCAUAUAGGAUAAAAAUAGAAUUUUAUUGAUCAUAUAAGUCCGACAUGGAACAUUAAAAAAUAAGAGCACCUUUGAAUAGUUCACCUUACUUCGAUGGGAGUAAUUAUCCCCAUUGGAAAGCUUGGAUGCAAUUCUUUCUUAAAAUGUAAGGUGAAUAGGUAUGAAAUUCAUUGGAAUAUGGAUGAGGACCCCCAUUGAUUCUUGAUGUCCAUGGGAGAUCAACUAGAGAACUUAAACCUAAACAAGAUUGGGACAAAGCUGAUAAUGAAGUGAAUGAAGCCAAUACUAGGGCUUUAUUUAAUAUCUUUAAUGGUGCUUGUCCAGAUGAGUUUCACAGGAUUGCAAAUUGUAUGCAUGCUAAGGAAGCAUGAUAUAUUCUUCAAGUCACUCAUGAAGGUAUGUCUACAAUUAAAAUUUCUAAAUUGCAAAUGCUUACUACUAAGUUUGAGAAUAUUAGGAUGCAUGAAAAUCAAAACUUUUCUUUCUUUUAUUUUGAACUAAGUGACAUAGUUAACUCUUCUGUUAACUUAGAACCUAUUCUAGAUUCAAAGAUAGUAAGAAAAAUAUUGAGAUCUCUACCAGAGAGACUUAGACCUAAGGUUACUACCAUAGAGGAUAGCAAUGAUAUUGAUUCCAUGAGAGUUGAUGAACUUGUUAGCUCUAUAUAGACAUUUGAGAUGACCCUACCUAGUUCUCAAAUGCCUAAAGAUUAUGCUUUUAAGGCUUAUGAGAAUGAGAAAAAAUAUAUUGAAAUGCCAUAUAAUAUAACUAGGGAUGAAUUGGGUCAUAUGGCUAAAAGAAUUAAAAAGGUUGUGAAAUUUAAUAAAAGGUUUUACAAAAAUCAAGAAUCUAGAAUAGGAAAAAGACCUAAUGAACAAUCAUCCAAAGAAAAUGAUAAAGGUUCUUCCAAUGCUAAGAAAGUUGAAUGCUUUAAUUGUGGAGGUCUAAGACACUUCACUAUUGAAUACCCUAACCCUAAAGAUAUCAAAAAGUCUAUGCAAGCUACAUGGAGUGACAUAGAAUCUAAAGAAAGUAAUUCCACAACUUUUGAAAAUGCAAGGUACAAUCCCAAUGACUUUUUAGAUUUUAUUGCAUCUAUGAAAACUGUGCAUGAUAGUGAUUGUGAUGAUGAUAGUGAUAAUGAAUUCAUUGAUGAACAAAAAGCUGCUUUCUUGAAUAAUCUUUUUGUUGAGCAUGAAAAACUAAUUAAAAAUUAUUUGAAUCUUAUAAAAUCAAGAUAGACAUGGUUAAUUUAGAGAGGACUAAUCUACUUGAAAAGAUUAGAUUUUUUGAGUUUGAACAUCAUUCUCUUCUUGAGAAAAAUAAUGUUUUAACUCAACAUAUAAAAAAACUAAUAAGCCUUCUUCAUCUAUGAAUGAGAUCUUUCACCUUGGAACUAAAGUGCUUAAUAAAAAAAAUACUUGAUAAAUGCAAAACCCAUGGUGAAAAAAAAGAGGCUUGGGGUACAUUAAUAAAGAUGAAGUUCCCUCUAGUGGAGAAACUGUGUUUGUCAAAGGUAAAGAUGAAACCCCUAACAAAGUAGAUUCUCAUAAAAAUCCAUCACUAUGCAUUCAUUGCAAGAAAACAAGACACGAUUAGUUUAAAUGCUACACCAAGUUCCUAGAGAGGUUUGAAUCUCAAAUGAGUAGGCUAAUGAAUGACUUUAAUUCCCUUAAAAAUAACAUCUUGAAUAAUGGGAAAAGAAAUAAAACUAAUUAAAAGCCUAGAAGUCAACAAAGCUCCUCUAAGUCACCACCUAGGAUUGAACAAGUUUAGAUGAGAAAAGACAGGGCUAAAUGUCAAGUAGUCUCCACAACACUUCAAACUAGAUAUUCUAAUUAGUACUUUGAUAGUGGUUGCUCUAAACACAUGAUAGGAGACAAGUCCUUUUUCAUUUCUCUUAAGGAUUAUAAUGGUUGGAUAGUUAGUUUUGGAGAUAGGAUCUUAGCUCAUGUAAAAAGAAAGAGAAGUAUAUCUAUCACUGAUUGUCCUAAAUUAGAUGGAGUUUUUUAUGUAGAUGGACUCAAGGCAAAUCUAUGACAAAGAUCGUAAGGUGAAUUUUUUCCAAGACUUAUACGAGAUAGUUAACAAAGAAGGAAAAAUCAUUAUCAUAGGACAUAGAAUAGUUGAUAAUUGUUGUGCAAUAAAUCCUAUAUUUAAAACACCUUCUGUGUGUAGUAGGGAAAAGCUAGAUCUUACCUAACUCUGGCAUAGAAGGCUAGGUCACAUAAAUAUAGAGACCUUGUGCACUUAGUAAAUAGUGAAAGAGUUUGAGGUAUCCCUAAACUAAUUGGUGAACCUAAACCCAUUUGUGGUGAGUCCCUGAAAGGUAAACAAACUAAAAAUUCACAUAAAAAGGUUAAGGAAAUUAGGAUCACUAGACCUUUAGACUUUCUACAUAUGGACCUUAUGGGUCUCAUGUGAAUUGAAAGUAGAGGUGGCAAGAGAUAUUUGUUAUGAAUGAUUUUUUGAGAUACUCCUUUGUGAGUUUUGUUAGAGAGAAGUUUGAAACCAUAGAACACUUGAAGUCACUAUUCAACAUAAUACAAGUGGAAAUAAGUCAUUCGAUUGUAAGGAUUAUGACUGACAGAGGGAAAGAGUUUGACAAUGUUGAUGUGGACCUUUUUUGCAAGUCAAAAGGUAUUAAACAUGAAUUUUUAUCCCUUAGAACUCCUUAAUAGAAUGUAGUAGCUGAAACAAAAAAAAAAAAAAAAAAAAAAUAGAUGUUACAAGAAAUGGCUAAGGUGAUGAUUCAUAUGCAUAAUAUCCCUAUGUAAUUUUGGGCAAAAGCUAUUCAUAUAACAUGCUUCAUUGCCAAUAGGAUUUUUCUUAUACCCAAAACAAAAAAGACAUUUUAUGAAUUAUGGACUAAGAGAAAACCUAACCUUAAGUAUUUUAGGACUUUCGAUAAUGAAUUCUAUAUACUCAGGAAUGGGGAGAACCUAAGGAAGUUUGAUGCAAAAUCUAAUCAAGGUAUUUUUCUAGGCUAUUAUACUUCUAGUAAAGCCUAUAUGAUGUAUAAUCAAAAUUCACAGAUUAUUCAAGAAUCCUCUAAUGUGGUUAUAUAUGACAAUGAGUAUGAUCAGGAAAUAAUUGAGAGUCAAAUUUUAAUUUAGAAAUCAAUUGGGGAUAAUCCUAAAUAUGUGGAGAUCACAAAAGAUAACCUUGAAGAUAUCCUUGAAAGAAACAUUAAUCCUAAUAAGGAUGAAUCUAUUCUUCAAGAAGACACAUCUGAAGAAAUGAGAAGUAUGUUGGGAACCCUAGAUUACUUUGUUUCUAUGCCCUAGAUCUUGUAGGGUGCAUGCAUCUAUCCUUAGGGAUUUUUAGAUCUAGCGUAGUGGAAAAUAAUGGCUUCAAAACUAAUUUAUAAUAAAGAUAUAGAGAUUUGAAAUUCAUAUUUGUGAUCUAGAUGUUCCCAAAUCAAAAUCCAUCCAAUGAAGAACAUGCUUGGAAAAUCUAGAGGUCUCAUACAUCUAAGAUUUUUGUCCGAAAUUAAUAGUGAGUAUGAUUUCUAUGAAUUUGAAUUUAAAUAUUUCAUUAUUUAUGAUUGAGAUAAUUAAAAUUUAUGCUCAACUUUAAUUUCAAUUAUUUCUUGGAUAAUGUGAGGUUUUAUCUAUUUAAAAACCAAAAUAACAUGAAAGAUAUAUUUGGAACUUUCUUUUUCUCUUUUCCUUUUUGCAUUCUUUUUAGAAACUAAAAAGAAGUAUAUUUUUAUAGUUAUUUAGGUCCAUAAUAUAAAAAGCACAAUAAUUAAACUUAGAAUUCAUUCUUAAAAAUAUUUAAUUGUAGUUAGAUAUCUAAUUUCUCAAUUUGAGUUUUCUUUUUGUUAACAUGGUUUGUUUUUUCUAUCAUAGGUUUGAGAUAGAGGUAUUGGCAAAUUUGGGGUCUUUUUAGAGGGCAGUGCUUGAAGAUUAAUGCUAGAGAUAUGAUAUCUACAAAUUGCAUAUAUGUUUGAUGUAUUAUUGUAAUUGAAAGUACCUUAUAAUUUGAAAAUGGCUAUUUUGAUACUUGUUACUUACUUUUCUAUUAAUGUUGUGUCUAUCCUAAUAGGUAUCCAAGAAAUAUAGCAAAAAAAAGAAUAAGAUGAUGUAGAAUUAAAGACCCUCUUACGAAGAUAGUAUUGUACUUUUUAAUUUAAGUUUGUAAAUUAUCUUAAUUGAAUGUUUGUAAUUAAUUUUUUUUUUUUUGUAUAUAGAAACUAGAGAGUAGCUAGAAAACUAUUUAUUCCAUUGUGUUUUUAAUAUUCAAAUGUAUAUAUAAUAAUUUUUUCCCUUGAGUAAUAGUUUAUUUGUAUGGUUUUAGGACUUACUUAUUAUUAUAAUAAUUAAAUAGUACUAAAUAUGGUAAUAGGUUCAUUUUCCAUUAAAAACUAAAAAUUAUAAUAAAAUAAUAUUAAAUUUUUCAUAGGCAACCUUGACAAAUGGCUAAUGCCCAACAUUGACAUCUGCAAUAGCUACAAACCUUGACAUAUUAUACUUAUCCUUAACAUUUGUUGCAACAAACUUGACAGAAAAGCAAGUUAACAUUAACAUAAGAUAAAAGAAUCUUGACAUAUGUUGAAUCCAACCGUGGCAAAAGUGAAAGAAACGUUGACAUAUGUCAUACUAACAAAGAUUCCAUCAUUAGUAGAAAUAGAAACAAUCUUAAUAUAUGUAAAUGUCAAGGUAGAUUUAAACUUUUCUUGACAGCAUAGAUGACAUAUAUGAAUAGUAACAUACCUUGAUAGAUAUACCCUAUCUUGAUGGUGAAAAACUGUCAAUGAAAGCCUUUUUUCUUGUAAUGUUACCAAGCUGCUUCAUUGUGUUGUCUCUCAACCUUAAGACAAUAUUGAGUUUAUGCUAAAUUUAGCAAUGACUUUGAGUUACGGGUGAGACUGUAAGCUGAUCAUAUAUUCCCUAUGGAUUAGGUCAUUGUUGAUGGAAGCGGUAGCAAUAGGUAUUCUCAAUAGAUGUACCAUGAUAUCUCUUGGGAUUGAGACAACGUGUUCCCUUGGGUGAUCCUAAAGAGGUGUGUUCAUGGAAACCAUGGCCAUAGUAGUUCAUUAAGUGGAACUUGACACAAGCUCUUUGAGAGCUAAGAUAUGUCAAUUGACUUCACAAUAGGAGGAUCUAUAAGUCAAGGUUGGUAGAGGUAGUCUUGAAAGGCUAAUAGUUUUCACCUUGUUAGACUACGGACACCAAUUCAUGGAGAGACUGAACACAAUGGAUAGCAGGUCGUAGACCCGAGCACUUGGUGUCUCAUUGUUAUUUAUAUAGGAUAUUGGAGUUCAGUUGAUUCUUAGUAGUGGGAUGUUGAAUCAACUUUAAAAAUGGAUUUUGAGAGAGCCAAUAUUCCUAUGGGUCCCAAUGGUCCCUGCUCUAAGCUUAUAUACCUUGUUGGCACGAAUUAUGAGGGUCAGAUUAGCUCUAGGUUCACUUUUGUGCAUAAGGGUGUUUUGGUAAUUAUGUAAGGUUGCACAAGGGUAAAUGAACAAGGUCUCUGAAUAGGGCUAAUUGAUUAAUUAGUAGCCUUAUUGGGUUAAUUAAUCAAUUAAGACCAAUUUUGGGCUAGAUUAAGUGACCCAAGCCCAUGUGGGCUCAAGUCACUUAAGCCCACUUAGGAACCCUAUAAAUAACCUCUAGGGAUUAAGGUUUUCAUAGCUUUUGUCUCCCACAAUCCAAAGAGAUGAGAUUCAUGGCCUUCACCCUAUUUUCCUCCUCACCGAAAAUGUGCCAAGAUCAAGGUUCGAGUUAUCAGGUCAAAAAUAGCGGGUUUACGAAACUUCUACCAUUUUGUUCUUCAUCUUCACCAUAUGGAUUUGAUUCGGGAGCAACCGAAUCUACGGUAUGGUUUUCAUUAGCACUUUAUGAAUCCUUUUAAAAUAUAAAAAUUGUAUUUUUCCAUUGUGCAUAAGAUUUAGAAAAAUCCUAGGAUAGUUAUGCACAUUCCUAACUUGAUCCAAACUUGGGAAACAGAAAGAUCCUGGUUUUUCCCUUCAACUGGUAUCAGAACCAUAGGUUAGUAAUCGUGUUAGAACCAUUCUAGGGUGUGCUAACUUGUUUUUACAGGGUUUUAAUUUAUCUCAUGGCCCUAGGGAUAAUUAAUGUGUGUUCUUUAUUAUGAUCUUGUUGUAGUAUGAUGGUUAUAAUUGUGAUUGCUUUUAAUUGGGGAUGUAAUAAUUACUUGGAUUGGUUUUUACCUUUCCUAAAUGGGUUGUAAGCCUCAUAAGAGGCAUAGAAUUUUUGUUUUUUUUUUUUGUAAAAAUCCCUAUUUUAUCUUAAAAUGAUAUGUAAACUUUAAAUAUUUGGAGUAUAGGAUUUUGUUGUAAAAAUCCAUAUAUAUAUAUAUAUAUAUAUAUAUAUAUAUAUCAUUCUUUGUAACCUAUGGAGAGUAUGGAAGCAAUCUGAAGCAUCACAAAGUAUUUGUGCAUAUUUCCUUGUUGGAAAAGAGAAAAGAAGGCUUCUUGAAGUUUCUUUCAUGAGUUCUUAUGGUGAUUUAAGGGAAAAGAAAGAAUUUUGGAAGUUCUUGAUUUGAGAUCCUUGGCAGCACAAUUUCAUCAUUUUUAACUUAAAACUAAGAUGAAUUCCUAUGAGUUUCUUAGAGCAAGUCGCCUAUGAUUUUGAAGGUUAAGAAAUACAAGGCUUCAAACAGAUCACAAUUCAGAGUUGAAACUAGAGAGUUAUAUCCGAUUGAAUCAAGGUUGCGCAAAGAGCAUGGUAGCAUAGUGACGCUAAUUUCAACUCAAAAUUGGGGCUACCUCCUAUGAGCUUUUUGGAGAAAACCACAUAUGGUUUUGAAGCUUAGGAAGUUAGGAAUCCAGUGCUUCAAAUGAAUUUCAAUUUGGAGUUGAAACAAGGGAUAUAUGGUUGAUUGAAGCAAGGCUCUGCAAAGGGUAUGCAAUUAUGGGAUUGAGUUCAGGCCAAAUUGUGUUUGGUUGUUUGGGCUUAAUUUUUGGGCUUCUUUUUAGGCUAUUUUUGUGGCAUUUUGGGCCCGUUGGGUUUUUCUUUUUUUUCACCAACCCCAUUUUUUAUUGCAGGGCUUUUUUGGUAAUUUGGAUUUUAUCUAAGUUUUAGUUAUCAAAUUUGCAAUAGGAUCCCUAAGGCCAUGAGAAUUAUUUAUUUAAUUUUCUUUUAUGUCUUUUAUGUUUUUUUAUUUUAGGCAUAGAAUAUAUUUUGGUAUUCUUAAGUUAAUAAAUUUUCAUUUUUUUUUUCCUUAUUUAAGAUAAUUUAUUAAAUUGGAAUGUGCUAGGAAUAAGGAAAUUUUUUAUUUUAGGUAAAGAUAAUCUUGAAAGAAAUAAGGAACUUACUUCCUUUCCAAAAUUAAACUUUUAGAGAUUUGUUUUUAAAUAAAUAUUUUUAGAUUUUAGAUCUCUAAGAAUCUUUUUAUUUUAAGGAAGAAGUUUUAUGUUUCCAAGCCUUUAUGAAAUAAUUUUUUUCCUAUUUAGAACAAGAUUCUAAUUUAAAGAAAUAAAUUAUUUUUGGAAAAAUAUAUGAUAGAUAAUUCAUCAUUAAGAUAGUUUACCAGUAUAUUGUUUCAAAUAAAUUAAAUUAAAAUGGUAAUUUUGAAUUUUCUUAAAAGAAUAAAUUUUCAUGAGUUUUAUUUCCAUUAUUAUUUAUUUAAGGAAUUGGUUGUUGUCAUUUGGAAUUUCAAAUUCCUUUUGGGACUUUCCUUUAUUUGAGUUAAGUGGUUCUCCAUUCUCUCUCCCCCUUCAAAGAGAAGGAGAAUGACACCUAAAUUGGUCCUCUAGGCUCUUCCCUCUUAAGAGAAUGAGGAAAUCGUUUAGUUUGAAAAGAAAAAUUCAAGGACAAGGAAUAUGAAAGAUAUCCCUAUUUGGCACAAGGGUCCCAAUUCAAGUAAUAAAUAAAAGUUUUGGAAAUUCUUAUGAUAGAUAAUUUAUAUUAAGAUAGUUAUCAAAAUUAUCUUAAAGUCUCACUUCCAAAAUAUUAAGUGGGAGUGGGCCAUAGGCAAGCCCAUAGCCUCCAAUAUCGAGUCCAACUUGAUUUUGGGUCCAUCACCAUCUUAAAGAUGGGGUGGGCCAAGGAAUCAAGGGAUAUGAACUAUCCUUUAUGGAUAAGACUAUAUAUGUUUGUAGUGGGAGUGGCCAAUCCUAAAGAUGGAACUCUUCACUUGGUAACAUUGAUGUCAAGGAUCUUAGUUACACACUUAACUUAGACAUGAAGUGGUAGAAUCACCUAAAGUGGUCCCACUUGCAUGGGCUAAAGACUAAACAUAAAGGUACGUUGAUCAAUGCCUUAGGAUAACCUUAGGAGGUUUAAGGCAAGUUAAUUAAUUAGAGAGGGUCUCUACCUAGUAAUGAGAGUCAUGGCUUGCCUGAAGUAGGCUUGAUUCUUAUGAUACUAGGACACCUUGCAUGGAUAUAUGUAGCUUGAGAGCACUAUAUUUUUACUAAAUUAAUUACCAACUUGCCUUGAAUUCUUAAUUUUUUUUUUAUUAACGCUUGGAAUUAUUAUAUUUGUUACAGAUAUCAUGUCUUUAACCUGUCACUUAUUAUCUUUAGUUUAAAUUGGACUUAAUUAUGUACUGAAAAUUAUCUGGAUAUAGUAUUAAUUGCAUAGAAGCUGAUUUUGGUAAAGUUUGUUAUUUCCUUUAAACAAUCCUAUCAUAAAGUAAGAUAAGCAUAUCAAAGGUAGCAUAAUAUGGAUCAAAAGACUAAGUCUCUCAAACUUAGAUCUUUAGAUAAUGUGUUGCAAAAGUAACACAUGUCUAUUGUCAUAGUCUGUGAUAUUCUCUUUAAAGUUGCAAGGGUUAUUUGGUGAUAAAGGCAAGUCAACUAGACAAGUUGCACUUAAGAUUAUUAUAAACACUAGGAUUCAAGUUAUCUUAAGAAGAUUCUCAAAGAGUAAAAGUGUGUACAUAUGGAAGUCAAGGUUCUUCAGGUUUUUCUAACAAAAAAAAGAACAACACCACCAAAUAAGGGAAGUUUAAGAAAAUGAAUGAAAGAACAAACUCAUGGACAAUGAUUCCUUUGUGACCUUUUAGGACACAAGAAAAGGAAUGCUCAAGAGUUUCAAAUGAUAGGCAAGUACACAUCAUAUUCUCAUUGUUAAAUAAAUAGUGGUGGAUUUCACCAAUUGUGGUGGAUAGAUUCUAGGCCCACUAUCUAUAGUUCUUUACAGGGUUUUCAACAAGUGAGAAGGCCAUAUGAUGGGAUAGUACUUACCUUAGCUUCAAUUGCAAAAUUAGUUAUGCAAGUUAGAGGGAGGUAUUACCUUUUUUUUUGUGAGACUCCAUUAUCACUUUGCCAAGUAAUGAGAAUAGUCAAAUCUCACUAAAAGAAAGAAUCUAGCACUAAUCAAACAUUUGGCUUCUAGUGUCUAAGUUAUAUUAAUCUAAAUAGGAUUCAAAGACAAAUUAAGUUUGGACUUUCUUAAUCCAUAAGAUCUUUCAGUCUAUGAAUCUUAUAUAAAUGGUAAAAUGACCAAGAGACCCCUUUAUUUUUAAAGGGCAUUGAACCAAGGAAUGUUUGGAGUUAGUGCAUACUCACAUGUAUGAAUCUUUUCGUGUUUAUAUAUGGAAAGUAUGGGUAUUUGAUCAUUUUAAUGAUACAUACUCUAGGUUUGGAUAUGUAAAUAGGAAAUCUGAUGCCUUUGAUAAAUUCAUGGAAUUUAAGGUGGAAUCAAAUAACUUAUUGGGUAAACAUAUCAAGACACUUCGAUUAGAUCAAGGUAAUGUGUCUAGUAGGUUCGAUCCUUUCUAUAUGGAGUAUGAGAUGAUAUUAUAGUUGUGUGCACUAAAGACUCCAUUGCAAAAUAGAGUAAUGGAAAGAAGAUAUUGAACUUUGAAAGACAUUGUGAGAUCGAUGAUUGGUUUCUCAUUAUUUCCCAUAUUCUUUGGGAAUAUAUCUUAAAGGAUGUAUAAUACCUCUUUUUCUAAAGAGGUGUAUCACUUUAUAAGACAUCCAAGAGGAUUUAGGGAUUAUUACUUUAUAGUUAGGAUUAUCAGAAGGUGUUUAUUGUUACAAAUACUAGAUUUAUGAUGAAGACUAUAUGAUAUGUAAUAAGGCAAACAAUGAUAUAAAUUGAAGAAUACUAAAAGAUAGUCCCACUAUACACAAGAUACUAUGGAUCUAGUACCAAGCAUUCCAAUUUCUAAUACACUGAUGUCUUAUCGUAGUAGGAGUGUUGUUAAACAACCAAACCAAUUCAUGUAUUUGUUAAAGUCUUUCAAGGCCAUUCUAAAGGAACAUGAGAUCAAUCACAUAGAUUACAAUAAAGAAAUGAGAAAUGUGGAUGCACAUCUUUAGCAAAAAUCUAUGGAGGCAGAGUUAGAAUCCUUGUGAUUAUAAUGUAGUCUAGGUUCCCAUAGAAGCACCUAAAGGGAUAAAACCCAUAGGUGUGAGUUGGUUUACAAGAGAAACAAAGGAGCAGAUGGAAAAAGUUGAGAUUUAUGUGGCUAGGUUGUAGCUAAAGGUUAUAGUUUGAAACAUUAUUUCAAACAUAGGAAAUCUUUUCACUAGUAGCCAUAUUCAGAUCCAUUAGACUACUAAUACCUAUUGCGGUGUAUCUUAUUUAUGAGAUAUUACAAUAGGAUGUCAAGAUAGUGUUCUUAAAUGAUUAUCUUGAUAUUAAUAGCAUAUGAUGUAACUAGAUAUUUUCAUAGCAAAGGGCUACAAGAAGGUGUAGGAAAGCAUGGUGGUCUUUAUGAUCUUGUAUGUUGAUGACAUUCUACUCAUUGGUAAUGAUGUAAGGCUAUUGUCAUUAAUUAAAAUCGGGUUGUCUACUCAGUUCCAAUUGUAGGAUCUGGGGUAAGCGUAGUAUAUUCUUGGGAUUAAGGUCUUUAGGGACCACAAGAAUAAUAAACUAGUGAUAUCUCAAGCUACCUACAUAGAUAAGCUUUUGGUUAAGUAUGUGAUGCAGGAUUCCAAGAAAGGUUUAUUACCUUUUAGGCAUGGAAUCCCACUUUCUUAGGAUCAGUGUCCUAAAACACUUGAAGAGAAAGAGCACAUGCAAUCAAUACCAUAUGCCUCUACAGUGGGUAGUCUUAUGUAUGCGAUAUUAUGUACCAUAUAUUUUCUUUGAAGUGGGUAUGGUGAGUAGAUAUCAGUCUAAUCUAGGUCUAAAACAUUGAACAACUAUCAAGCAUAUACUAAAGUAUCUUAGAAGAAUGAGGGAUUAUGUGCUUGUGCUCCAAAGUGUUGAGAUAGUUUAGAGGGUGACAGAUGGUUGACAAGAUACCUUCUAUGGAGAACCUAGUGGAUCUCUUCACCAAGACAUUGACAGGGAGAGUAUUUUUUUGUCAUAGGGAUAACAUAGGUUUCAAAUGAGUAUAUGGCAUGCUUUAUAGGAAUGAUGCUUUAGUGGGAGAUUGUUAGGAUAGAGCCCUUAAAAGAAUGACAUGAUGUAAUAAAUUUGCAAUUCAUUAUUUAUUUAAUGAUGUUCCAAUUUCACUUUUAUCUAUCCUUAUUCCAUGUAUUAUACUUUAUGAGCAUUCUUGCCUGCAUUUUUUGCAUUGUAUGUGACUUAGGUGCAUUAGGAGUUGUACAAAAGAUCUAAGUCAUGGGUUCCUUGAAAAUAGAUGACUUGUUCACAACCGGUUCAUGGGUCUAGGCAACCCAUUAGAGGUUGUAGUGCAUCAUCUCCUAAUUGGAAGGAUGACUAGUAUUAGCUAUCGGGAUGGGUUUCCCAUGGUGAGUGCACUAGUGUGUGUAUGGUUUCACAUUGGGCAGGACCUACAGUGAGUCAUGACUUAAGGCUAUCAAGUAGUCAUGACCUCACCAAGCUGCUUCAUUGUGUUGUGUCUCAACAUUGAGAUAAUAUCAAGUUUGUGCUAAAAUUAGCAAUGACUUUGAUCUAUGGGUGAGAUUAUAAGAUGAUCGUAUAUUCCCUAUGGAUUGGGUCAUUAUUGAUGAAAGCUAGUAGCAAUAGGUAUUCUCAAUAGAGGCACCAUGAUAUCUCUUGGGAUUUAGACAAUGUGUUCCCUUGAGUGAUCCUAAAGAGGUGUGUUCAUGGAAACCAUGCCCAUAGUAGUUCCUUAAGUGAAACUUGACAUAAGCUCUUUGAAAGCUAAGAUAUGUCGAUUGAAUACAUAAGAAGAGGAUUUGUAAAUUAAGGAUGGUAAAGGUAGUCUUGAAAGGCUAAUAGAUUUCACCUUGUUAGACUACAGACACCAGUUCAUAGGGAGACUAAACACAAUGGAUAGCAGGUCACAGACCCGAUCACUUGGUGUUUCGUUGUUAUUUACAUAGGAUAUUAGAGUUCAGUUGAUUCUCUGUAGUGGGAUGUUGAAUCAACUUUAAAAAUGGAUUCUGAGGGAGCUAGUAUUCCUAUAGGUCCCAAUGGUCCCCGCUCUAAGCUCAUAUACCUUGUUGGCAUGGAUUAUGAGGGUCGGAUUGGCUUUAGGUUCACUUUUGUGCAUAAGGGUAUUUUGGUAAUUAUGUAAGGUUGCAUAGGGGUAAGUGAACAAUGUGUCUGGAUUAGGCUAAUUGAUUAAUUAGUAGCCCUAUUAGAUUAAUUAAUCAAUUAAGAUCCGUUUUGGUCUAGAUUAAGUGACCUAAGCCCAUGUGGGCUCAAGUCACUUAAGCCCACUUAAGAACCCUAUAAUUACCCCUUAGGAGUUAAGGUUUCCAUAGCUUUUGUCUUCCUCCAUCCAGAGAGAUUGAGAGCCAUAGCCUUCACCCUCUUUUCCUCCUCACCGAAAGUGUGCCAAUAUCAAGGUUCGAGUCAUUGGGUGGAAGAUUGUGGGUUUAUGAAACUUCUACGAUUUUGUUCUUCAUCUUCACCAUGUGGAUUUGAUUCAGGAACAACCAGAUCUGAGGUAUGAUUUUCGUUAGCAGUUUUUAAAUCCUUUUAAAAUAUAAAAAUGUAAUUUUUUUAAUUGUGCAUAGAAUUUAGAAAAGGCCUAGGAUAGUUAUGCCUGUUCCUAACCUAAUCCGAGCUUGGGAAAAGUAGAGAUCUUGGUUUCUCCCUUCAGAGCGGUAGAUGAAUCCAACUAACCUAUUUUUGAGAUUAAUUUUCAGCCCUUGGAUUAAGGGUUUCAUUUUCAUUUAAAAUGAACUUUCUCCCAUUUUUGGAGAAGAGAGAUUACAAUAGCCAUUCUGGUGCUCCUUAUUCCCACUUCUCUUUGAGGUUGCUUGCUCCAAGAAAAUCCCAUCCAAGUUUUCCAAUAUAUGUAUAUUUUUUUUAUGGAUUUUCUGAAAAUGAACAUGGUUGAUUUCUGAAACAUUCAUAUCUCAUUCUCUUGGUUUUGUGUAAAAACCUAUUUUCUUCUUGUGUGAAUUAAAGAAAAGACUAAAGUCGAGCUUGGUACGAAUUCCAAGUGUGCUUCGAAAGAAAAAGGUGAGAAACUGAAAGUGAAGGUACUAGUCAAGCGGUACGGGAAGUAUUGGUUAGCUUGAGGUAUAACCUUGUUUUCAAUUUUAUUUUUCAGAGUGGAUGUUUUAGAUCGGUAGUAAGCUCAUGGUUUUUGAUCUCUUAAAAGGUUUUCCAUGUUAAAAUCUAGUGUCUAUUGUCUCUUUCUCUCACUCAACUCUUUGAUUUAUUUUCAGUUUUUGAUAUAUUGGAUACUUGGGCAUAUAUGUUGAAUGAAAGACAUAUGAACUAAAAUAAGUGUGACUAUCCAUGAAAUAUAUUCAAUUAUUUUUCUAUUCAUUUUGGUUAAUGAUGUGGGAUCCUAUUGAUAGGAAUAUGAUAUUACUAACAGAGUAGGGCAGGAACAUAAAGACAUGGAAGCAUAGGGGAUAGGGAAGCAGUGCAAACCUUUCCAUUCUAGGUAUGAACAACAGUAAUUCAAAGUUUGAAAGUUGUUGUGAAACUACUCGUCUAAAUGUCAUGGCAAGAAUGUCUUUAGAUGUAGCCCUUGACAAAAUAUCUUCAGUGAGAGAUCUUCUCAACCUAUUGGCUUUCUCUUUUACUUUUCUGGCAGGUAAAAACUUUUUAAACAAAAGACUCUUCAAGUUUACUUAUUGUAUUGCAUAGUUAUUGGUUUCUAAUGAAACUCUGAGCACAUGACCAAAACGAAAAUUAAUCAUCACACCACUUUAUAUGUAAACCAAAAGUCAAGGAAAUGCCCAUGAGGUUCUAUCACUCAUUCAAUUACUGGCAAAUUUAGACGAACCACAAAUGCUAAAAGAUGGUUGAAAAAACAAUGAGGAUAUGCAUUCAUGUAAUGUACGUGUGCCAAGCAACUCCAAACAGAAAACAAAGAUGAAUGCGGGAUUAUCAAUUACUCUAACAAACCACACAGGUUGUGUUUAUGUAUCAUUUCUCUUCACAAAUCUAUUGCACAAGUACAAUUUUUGUCACAUCUUAUCUAAAAUCUAAAAUACCCAAGAAAGGACCAAAUCUCAAACUCGACCAAUGUAGCAAUAAUAAGCACAUUUGUUUCCUCACUAAUUAUAUGCUGCAUCCCAAGACAUCGUUUAAUUAAAAUGCCACCAAUAUACAAUGACAUGCAGGUUUAAAUAAAAUUCUAGCAAACUUACCCUGUAUGAUGCAGUUUUUGUUGAAGCUACAUCUCCUUCCGUCCAAAUGCAUUUACAUAAACAUAGCCAAGCAUCCAUAAGAGAUGGAUUCCACUUUUGGAACAUGAAUUAAGGUGUGUUUGGGAGUGAUUUUAGAAAAUGUUUAUAGUAUUUCUAAUACUUGAAUAAUAAAAAAUUUUAAGUAUUAAAAAUAUUAAAAACGCUUCCUAAAAUCACAAUCAAACAGGCUCUUAAUCAAUUUCAAAACAUGAUUCAUAUCCUUAACUUAUGUGGAAGAGUUGAUAAUAAUUUGUUUGGAGUAAUGAGGUUAACAGUGAUUCAAAGUUCGAAAGUUGUGAAACUACUUGUCUAAAUGUCAUGGCAAGAAUGUCUUUAGACGUAGCCCUUGACAAAAUAUCAUCAAUGAGAGAUCUUCUCAACCUAUUGGCUUUCUCUUUAACUUUUCUGGCAGGUAAAAUUUUUUAAACAAUAAAUUUUAGUACUGUUGGAUAGUUAUCUAACAAAAGACUCUUGAAGUUCACUUAUUAUAUUGCAUAGUUAUUGGUUUCUAAUGAAACUCUGAGCACAUGACCUGACCAAAAACUAUUGUAAAAUAAAAAUUAAUCAUCACACCACUUUAUAUAUAUGUAAACCAAAAGUCAAGGAAAUGCCCAAAUCUACCAAUAACCAUAAGGUUCUAUCACUCAUUCAAUUAUUGGCAAAUUUAGAAGAACCAUAAAUGCUAAAAGAUGGUUGAAAAAACCAAUGAUUUUAAAAACCGAAUCGGAUUAGCCGGUUCAAUCGGUCGAACCAUCGACCGGACCCUAGUCCAGUUCGGUUCAACUUCUGAGCCAAAAAAGGCUUCGAACCGGACGAACCAGUGGUUGAACCGCCAAACCAAAUGGAACCGAAACGGUUCGGUUCAAUUGAGAAUUUGGGUUUUUAGGCUACCAAUGGGUCACACCCAUUCACAACCCAACAACAUAGUCACUUUUAUGCUCUUGCUUUUCCGAUGUGGGACAGGAAAAGUCCAAUAGAAAAACAGCCAACAUUUUUAUAUAUGCACAGUUUACGCCCUUGGAGCUUGGAGCUUGGACCAAAGGUUCAAGGUAAGCAUUGUUGCACCAACCUGCUCCUAAUUGGUUUGUGCCAAGGAUUAUAAAAAUAAACAAAAGUAUCUCAAAUAUCUACUAUUUUUUUAAACUCUUCCAUUUUCCAUAUGUAAUAUUAUAUAUGUUUUAUUUAAUAAAUUUUAAAAUAAUAAUAUAUUUAUAUAAAAGAUGAAAAAAUAAAUAUUAUUGAUUUUUAAUUUUAUCUAUAUUUAUAUUUUUUAAUUUUAAUAAAAUAUAAAUUAUAUAUUUAUGAUGUCACCGGUUCAACCGCGGUUCAACCACCAGUCCCACCACUAAACCGUGAACCGGUAACUUUUUCAGUUCGUUGAUCGAUUCAAUUCUGAAAACAUAGGAAAAAACAAUGAGGAUAUGCAUUCAUGUGAUUUACGUGUGCCAAGCAACUCCAAACAAAAAACAAAGAUGAAUGCGGGAUUAUCAAUUACUCCAACAAGUGUUUAUGUAUCAUUUCUCUUCACAAAUCUGUUGCACAAGUACAAUUUUUGUCAUGUCUUGUCUAAAAUCUAAAAUACCCAAGAAAGGACCAAAUCUCAAACUCGACCAAUGUAGCAAUAAUAAGCACAUUUGUUUCCUCACCACUUAUAUGUUGCAUCCCAAGACAUCGUUUAAUUAAAAUGCCAUGCACCAAUAUACAAUGACAUGCAGGUUUAAAUAAAAUUCUAGCAAACUUACCCUGUAUGAUGCAGUUUUUGUUGAAGCUACAUCUCCUUCCGUCCAAAUGCAUUUACAUAAACAUAGCCAAGCAUCCACAAGAGAUGGAUUCCACUUCACUUGAAGCUACAUCUUCUGCUUCUUGAACAUUCAACUCUUGAUUUUUUUUUUUUCAAUCUUGUACUCAUGCUACCAUCAACAGUUACCAAUGCUAAUAAAUAAAAUUAACUAACCAAUUACCAUUAAAGCUGUAACUCUCAUUCCACUCUUGCAAAUGAUAUUAUAGAAAUUUAAAAUUAAUCUAUCACGUAAUUGAGUGGUUAUACUUAACAAAAAGGAAAAAAAAAAAAAAAAAAAAAGAUAUCAACAAAGACUCUGAGCCAUGAAUGGGGGAGAACUUGCACUUGCAUUUGCAUAUUAGAUAUCAACAAAGAUUGAAAUGUUGUGAAAUAUUGGAGAUAUUUCACCCAUUUUUUUGUAUCGACAAGUCUCAUCACAAUACAUGGCAUAGUUUGAUCUAAUGGACCAAAGUUUGAUCUGCCCCACCAACCUAUACAUGAUGAUUUUUCAGUUUUGUACAAUGGACCAAGAGUGGAUCAAGCCCAACCAUAUCAUAUUUGUCAAUUGACCAAAGUUUUUUUUUUUAUUAUUAUUAUUAUUAUUUUUUAACUUUUCAUUGAUAAAUUGGUGAAAUAACAAUUUUAAACCAAUUUUUCAAUUUUGUCAGUGAAAUUUCAGUGAUAUGUAAGCCCAAUUUUUUUAGUUUUGUCUAAUGGGCCAAAGUUUGAUCAGCCCAACCAACCUGUAUGUGAUGAUUUUUCCGUUUUGUACAAUGACCCAAGAGUGGAUCAAGCCCAACCAUAUCAUAUUUGUUACUUUUUAAAUUUUGUUUGGAUCAAGCUCAACCAGCCCAUUUAUGGUAGCUAUGAUUGUACAAGGCACCAUCUUAAAUGGAGAUUAUAGUGCUUUGUUUUCUUUUAAGUUUUCAAUGUGGCAUUGUGUUUUUAUUUACACAUAAAAAAAUAAAAAAUAAAAAUAAAAAUAAAAAAGUAUGCCAAACUUGGAUAUGUAAUUAAUAGAUAUAGCUUAUGCCAUUGAACAAAACUUUAUUUUGUGUUAAAUAUGAACUUUAGAAUUAUAUAUAUAAUAUCUUUUAUAAAUUAAUUAAAAUAAAAUGAUUAUAAAUAAAUUAAUUUUAAUUAUAUUAUUAUCUAUUUUGUAUAUUAAUUAAAUAUAAGACAAAUAUAAAUUCAUAAAUAAAAUUAUCAAUAUUUUUAAAUAAAAAUAUUUUAUAUCAAAAUAUUCACCGAUAUAACUCAAUAUAUCCAUAAAAUUAGGUUAUUGGUAUAUUCACAAAAACUUAUAUUUUCAUAAUUGGAUAUCAAGACUCAACCUUAGCCAAUUCCAUGAUUAAGAUGAAGUAGAAGUAGUGGUCACAACUAUCGGUCCAUCCUCUAAUGAUUGGCCUUGUCGUCUUUCAACAAAUAGAAUUCACAACAGUUAUAGUCGAAAGCCAUGGCAUCUUUGGUUUUCAAGGAUGGGUUGGUUGAAAUAUCAAAGCUUAGGGUUUCUGAGUUGCUCAACAUUUAUGAUUUGAUACUCAAUUAUCAAGUCACUUCCCAAUCUUGGGAGGAGUCCAUGUGUCUUCUCCAAAAUAACAUUUUAAAAUAUUUUAUUUAAAUUCAAUUUUAAUUUUCAAAUUAAAAAUUUUCAAUAAAGCGAUAAAUUUGAUCAUGAAAAUUAAAAUUUUUUCAAUAAAGUGGUAAAUUAGAUGAUUUAAAAUUACUUACAAAUAAAUUUUUAUUAAGAGAAAAUUUGUAAUAUUAUUUCACUUAAUAUAUUAUUUAUAGCGCUAUUUGUGUUAGGAAUUUUAUUGAAUUUCUUUAAAUGCAUUAUAAGUUUUCACGCAUGUCUAUUAUAUUUUAUAGGCUAAAUAUAUAUUUUUAUAAUAAAAUAAAAAACCCAUUUCAAAUAUACUAAAACUGAUUGAUUUUCGAUAAAUAAAAGCUAAAUGGAACAUUUAUCCAUAAACAAAAAUUUGUGCCAAAAAUUUACAAUAAAAUUCACCAUAAAUAAAUAUUAUGAUUAAAUAUGACUUUUAACCAAUGUUUUCAGAACUGGAUUGAUAAUUGAACUGGAAAAAUUACUGGUUCACGGUUCACUGGUCGAACUGUAGUCGAACCAAUGAUGCAAUAAAUAUAUAAUUUAUAUAUUAUAUAAAAUUAAAAAUAAUUAUAAAAAAUUAAAAAUAUAUAAAAUUACAAAUUUUAAUAAUUUUUUAUUUGUAUUUUAUUGUUUUAAAAUUAUUAUAUUAAUUAAUUUAUAUUAUUUUUUAUAAUUAUUAUUAUUAUAUUAUUAUAAAAAUAAACAGGAAUUUAAAUAUUUACAUUUUUUUUAAAGAUUUUAUGUGAUAAAAAUUUGAAAUAAAAACAUUAAUCUUAGAUUCUUAUUAUAUAUAUAUAUAUUUAAUAUCAUUUAAUAAAUAUGGUGCAAUAUUCAAUGGUUUAAUGACUUCAAACUUUAAUUUUUAAUAGAUUCGUGCAUCCAGUCCUCCAAAAAGCAAUGUUUUACCUCUAAUAAGUCCCAGUCCGAGUCCCACAUCGGGAGCACAUAGAAUACAUGAAUUCUAUGUGCUCUAAGUGCUCUACAAAUACCUUGCAACAUCCCUUAUAAGCCAACCUUGCCAACGAAUUGAGCUUGGAGGUAUGGCUCAAAUAUUGGCUCAUAAGAAAUAUGUUUUAUAAGCAUUUCUUGUCAAUGGAUUGGGCCUGGUGGCUUGGACCAAAUAUGGGCUUAUAAUUAGUUUUAGUUUUAACAGUAUUGGGCGUGGAUUGAGCUUGAUGGAUAAUGGGCCUCUUAAUAGUAAACAAAUAUUUGUAGCAAUUAAGGUCUGGCUGGUUUGGAAAAAACUGGACGGUUUGCUUGGUUUGAACGGUUCAAUAUCGGUUUGACCACGAAGCGGUUCAUUGAGAUGGACCGAACUGGAAAGUCUACCAGUCAACAAUUCGAUUGGUCCGACCGGCCGCUCUGAUCUGGUUUUUAAAACAAUGCUUUUAACUAUGAAUAUAGAAUUCAUACUAUAAUAUUAAGAAAAUCGAUUUGCCAUAAAUAUAUGAUGUGGUUAACUAUGAUUUUUUACUAUGAAUCUAAAUAGUCUUUUUGUCAUGGUCUUGGUGAGUUUGGAGAUAGCAUGAGCCACCUCAACUAAUAGUUCCUCUACGGAUGUAGUGCUCGUUGUCAUUACUGGCAUAAUCACCAUGAAGGAAGAAGUAAAAAGAGUUGAAAUGGUUGGAGGAGUCGUUCUUCUUUAACAUUCUAGUUGGUGAUCUAGAGUGUGAGUUAGAAUUAGUAACAAAGUAAGGGGACUUAUUCCUAGAGUCCUUGAGUGUUGAAUGGUGUUUUUCCUUACCAUGAGAACUUUGUCCUUUUGCCCCCAAAAAGGCCAAAGUGAUGAUUGGUUAGUAACUAUCGUGUGUCCCUAUUGUUUUUAGAAAAGGAGUGUUCUCACUUGCUAACUUUGUUGAUAGUGCAGUAGUUGAUUUUGCUUUACUAUGAAUCAUAGCAUCCAUAGAGGUGUUGUAUGUCAAUUGCGUAAUGACAAUCUUAUCAUCACCCUUGUCGACAUGUGUAGCUUGAGCCUUCUUAAAUGUCAUUGUCUUGGUAGUGAUCACUUUCUUGGUGAAAGAGAUGAGAGGCAAAAAGGUCCCACCGAGCGUGUAAAAAAAUUGUAUGCACAAAUUUCUUAAAAGUCCUACACUGUAAGCAAAACAUGAGGAAAAUAUGCAAAACAAUUUUACUUUUUUUACUUAAAAUUGAUAAAUAAAUCGUGGGGUACAAUCUUUGUGGUAAUAUUCUUUUUAAAAAUAAUAUAUCCCUCUGAUUCUUUCACCUUGAUCACAAUUUGAAAGACGAAAAAACGUUUUCUUAAUUUCACAGAUCAAUCGAGGGCCAUAAAGGGCUUGUUCCCGAAUGAACUCGUUGAGUGACAAAGAUCGCCUGUAUAGACUAUGACAAUGUUUUCUUUGUUUUCAAAGUCGAUUGAGGGCCUAGAGUGGCUUAUUUCUAAAUAACUUUAUUGAAAGACAAAGAACGUGUGUAGUUCUUCCCUGGUUUAUUAGACUUGUAAGGAGAUUUUGAAAAGCUUUUUCUUCUUUGUGAAGCCUCAUUUCCCAUGUGGAGUUGUUUUGGUAGAACCCUAAGAAGUCUUCUCAUUGAAGAAAGUCAACCCUAUUUAUAGAUGAAAUUAGGGAAUUAAAAUUUUAGAAUUCCCCAAGAUUUAUUUAAUGCUUGAUUUUAGCAAUUUAUCUUCUUCCUUAAGGAAAUUUGCCAACAUGAAAAUAUUUAUUUAUUUUUUAUUCUCUUUCCACUUCAAUUGAAAUGUUUGUUUCGCUUAGAAAUUUCUCAACAAGAGAAUAUUUUAUUUUAUUUUAAUUCUCUUUUGACAACAAUUUUGUAAUCUUCCAAAUUUCGUCAUGUGUCACCUUUUUAAUACAUGUCACAUGUCACACGUGUGUAGACCUAUCACUUGUUGAUUCCAAAUUUUGUUGAAUUGGGGAGCCACAUAUCUUUUGAAGACCAAUUUAAGUGAUAAUUUAUUUCACUAAAAAUUUUGAUGUCUACACUUGGUUUUUUCUUUAAUAUAAUUGUUAGGUUUUUAAAUAUAUUUUAAAAUAUAUAUAUAUAUUAUCAAUAAGGCUUUACUUCAACUAUUCUUCCUAUUUGUAUAAUUAUUAUUUAAAAUAAUUCUUUGAAAAUAAAUAAAAUGCAUUUUUAGAAAAUGCUUUUUUUUCUUAUGUUAAGUUUAAGAACAAAAAAAUAUUGUUUUAUGUUAAAAGGUUAUCAAACAUGCUUGUUUUUCUAGGUUUUUUUUUUCCUUAAGAACAUAAAACUAUUUUUAGAAAAAGCUUCAAAACAUACCCAUAGGCUCAAUUUGAGAAUAUUUUAAAAAAUAAUUAUGAGAAAAAAGUUUUUGUGAACAACUCUUGAAAACUAUUUUGUACUACUUUUGAAAAUAAAAUUGUGUUAAAAAUAGGAAAAUUAAUAAGACAACUAAAACAAAUCCCUUUUCCUAGAACACUAAAAAGUCAAAUGGAUAUUGCUUAAAUUUCAAGAUUUCCCAAUAAUGUAAAAGAAAAAAAAAAAGUUCUAAUAGAACCUAAGUAAGCUAUAAAGAUCGAGAAUAAAAUCAAAGUACACCUAGAUGGAAAAUAGCCAUUUGGGUGGCUGAUUAUGGGCAAAAACAAAGGGAAAAAGAAAAAAAAAAUUAAAGAAAGAAAUCAAGGAAGAAUAGCAUUGGGCUUGAGAUUCAAUGCGUACACUAGAAGACUUUGCUCUCACUUUCUUUGAGAUCAAAUGACCAAAACGCAAACAAAUAGGCAAAGCCAAUAAAUAUCAUCAACCAAACACAACAAAGAACACGUUUUCCUACAUUUUCUCUAGAACCAAACAAAGUCAAACAAAACAACUAUCAGUUCAACUCACAAAACAUAAAAAUAAAAAUAAACCAAAACACUAUCAUUAGAGAUGAAAUAAGCUAUAUCUACAAGUAUUUAUCAAAUAUGUGGAAGCCUCAUGAUUAGAAAUCAAGUGCCCUAGAUACUCCACUUUUGGUUAACCAAAGUUAGACUUAGAUUUUUUGACAAAUAGCUUAUGUUGUUUUAAUAUCUAAGGUGUUGGACAAAUGAUCCAAGUGCUCUUCUCAUCUAUGACUAUAAAUCAAGAUGUCAUUGAAAAAUAAAUUAGUAAAGAUAAGGUCAAAAUACCUCAUCCGAUAGAUUUUGGAAGGUAGCUAGCUUGUUUGUCAAUCUGGAAAGUAUGACAAGGAAUUCAUAAUGGUCUUCAUGAGUGAAAAUUUUUUGUGCAUUCCUUAUGGAUGGACUUGUAUUUGGUGAUAGCUAGAGUGUAAAUCUAACUUAGAAAUUUUUUUGCUCCAUGUAGAUCCAUAGAGAAGUUCAUCAAUCACCAAUGUAGGAAAUUUAUCCUUAAUGGUUUCCUAGUUCAACGCUCUAUAAUCAACACACAUGCACCAAGUGUUAUCUUUCUUUCUUUUCAAAUAACAAUAUAGGAGAUGAAAAGGGUCUCAUAGUUGGUCGAAUUGUACCAGCUAGCAGCAUCCCACACAAUAUUCUCAAUUUCAUUUUUAGGCAUAGGGAUAAUGAUGAGUUUGAACAUUUAUAGGUGGGUUUCCGAUUUUAUUGGAAUCGUAUGGUCAUGGGAUCAUUGCAGGGGUAAGCCAUGAGGUUCUAUAAAAAUAAUUUCAAACUUGGAUAGUAUUUAGGAGAUUUAGAUUAUGGUUUUUAAGGUUAGGAAUUGAUGUAAACUCUAUUUGAAUAUAAAAUAGUUUCGCAAUCACAACUUACCCUAAUUUCUCGAUUUUUUUUUUCCAUUUAGGCAAGUUUAAUAAAUUUGAUUGAUCUACCAAUAGCACCAUGUAGAAUAUGUUGUUGAUGAUUGAAUCAAAAUUCCAAUUUUUGUUCAUGAAAAUCACACACAAUAAUACCAAGAGUAGUGAGUCGUGGAACCCCUAAAUGCCUUGCCACAACCAUUAAGAGAUGCAUAAUGAGUGAAAUCAUUAGUAAAAGUGGCGCCUUCAUGCUCAAUCUAAUUGUUGACACAUGUCUUUACUUGAAAUCCUAGAACCAUUUGUAACAACCAUUGAAAAAUAAUCAGUUUGAAGAAUAGGACAAGUUGUUCAUUUGAUGACAUUAGGGUCCAAAAAAUUAUGAGUUCUACGAGAGUCAAUCAAGAUAGUAAUAAGCAUUUUCUUGAUAAACCCUUUAAUUAAGAUAGUUAGGCAAGAUAACAAAUUUGAAAGUGCAUGAAUAAAGAUUAUCAAUCUUUUAAAUCUUCACUAAUGUCAAAUUGUUGGUACUUAAUUUCAUUCAUCUUCUCUUAUUCUUUUUGCUCUCCUUUCAACAAAUAACUAUAAAACUUUUUACAUUGAUGGCUUAACAUGUACUUUUCAUCACAAUAGUAGCGUAACUCCUACAAGAUUCUCUUGAUAGGAGGUAGGGAAUCUAGUGUCAUUGACUUGAACAGGUUGACAGUUAAGGAAGUUGGGUUUCACUACAUUUGAUUACACACCUUUUGGAGCAUUGAGUCCAUAGUUUCUUUUUGUAGCAAGGCCAAACUCACUUAUUGCACAAGAUUUGUUGGUUUGAACAUUGAGACUUUGUUAUAGAUUUCUAGUUGAAAUCUAUUAAGUAAAUAGUUAACAAAAAACUCCUUGAUAAGACCUUUUGUUAUACUCAUGAAUGUCUCAAAUUCUAGUUGAUAUUGCUACACUAUUAGUUUGUUAUAGCUUGGUCAGUUACUCGAAGACAUCCUCAUAGAUGCUAGGUCUAAAAUGUUAUAUAACAUUCUUCCAAAAAAAUUGCUAAGAAACAUUGGCAUUAGUUAUCUUAUAACUUUGAAAUCAACCAAGGGUCAUACUUCCAAGUAAAUAGAGAGCACAUAUACUUUGUCAUCUUCUGCAACUCCAUGAUAGUGGAAAAACCUUUCAUAUAUUAAUACCCAACCAUGAGGGCUACUCCCAUUAAAUUUUGGAAAAUUAAUCUUAUCAUACCAAGCUUGGAAGUGCUAUUAUGGUUGGGGUUUGUCCUCUUGUAGUUGUUGUGCGAGUUCUCAAUAUGAUUUGCCUGAUAAGAAACACAAUUACUACUUAUUUGAUCAUACUUUAAAUUCAUUGUAGUUAGUCAUUUGUGUAGUUCCUUAAAGUUUGAGUUUGCUACUAGAUAGCUUCAUCAUGGGAAUUUGAAUUUUUUAUGCAUGCAACUAUUUGAAUGCUUUUUGUAUUCAUUUCAUUUCUUGCCCUCUAGUUUCCUCUACUAUUUAGAAGUAAGCAAGAUCAUCUCGAUUACCAAAUGAUAUGAACUAAGAAGAAAGAGAAAUUAGAACACAUUUUUGAAAGUUGAGAAAAUUACAAUAGUCUGAUGAGACCCAUUACACUUACAAUAACUAUUAAAUACCAAAUAAAAUAAAGCAUUAAUGAACCAUAAUCUCAACAUUUUUUUUCUCUCUACAAAUGAAUGAUCAUUUCCUAUAAUUAAGAUGUUCAAACUAUAGCUAUUAAUUCUUAUAUCUUCUCUCACAAUUUUCUACUCUUAAUUUCUUCAUUCUAGGAAGGUACAUAACAUUCUUCAUUUUCCUCCUCUUCUUGUCUUUCUCAAUUGAAAUUGAAUCACAAAAUACCAAUGAUCGCAAAUGGGUUUCAACAAGAUGAUGACUUUAUUCAAACUCUCCAAAUGAGUUUGAAUGAUUUAUAAUUUCUAAAAAUCUUAUAUUUUUUUUUCAAAUUUUCUAAAUCGUAGGAAAGCCAUAUGGUUCUACAAUUUUAGGAUUUUAUUGAAUUUGAAAGGUAGUUUCAUAAGAAAAAAAAAAAAAAGAAGUUUUGGGAGAAGAAAGAAAUGAAUAAGAUUAAUGAGUUUUGGGGGAAAAUGAAGGAGAAAAAAAGAAGAAGAUUAAUUUAAAAUGAUGAGGUGUGAAAUACAAUAUUGUAUUUAAAUGUUUGUGAUGACUUUGAUUUGUAGUUCUUUUUAUAUGCAUUAAACAUUCUUUUUUCCAAAAUCAUGGUUUUUGAGAAAAAGGUUUUCUAAGAGAAGUAAAGUGAAAGAAAGGAGGGAAGAAGAAGAAAGAAGAAAAUAAGAAGAGUGAGGAGAGAAAAAUCCCUUAUUUUUUCUACUUUACAAGAUUAGAGUUUAUUAAAAUUUUGAUUUUUAGAUGUGAAGAAAAAAAAAAGGGACAAGAAGAAAGAAGAAAAAAAAUCAAAAUGAUGUUGUUUAUGUAUAAGGGCAAUAUUGAGUGAGAAUAUAUUUACAAAAGCUAUUAAGUUAAAAGUACUGCUGUAUUUAUUAUAGAGUCUAAAAAUAAUUUUUGUCAUUUUGCUGGAAAGUUUUAAAAUGGGAUAAAAUAUCAUGCCUAAUAGAAAACAAUAGUUGUGUGAACACGAUUUGCAGAAAGUUUUGAAAAUGGACAAAUAAAUUAUAAGGCAUUCAACGUAGUUGAAUUAUUGUGUAAAAGUUGAAAUUUUUUGGCUUGGAUCCAAAGAAUUUCAUGUCCCACCCUCGCACUUUCUUGGAUUUUGUAAUCUUUGACUUUAGACUAUGGGGAACUCGGCUCAUGUUCCUAGGGGAGACCUUCAACAAUCCAAUAAAUGACAUUGUAGACCUCAUUGGUUUCACAUUUCCUGUAAACUUUCCCUUCUGGGUUUGAAGUUUUCACAGCGAAAGCGAGAAAGAAGGGAGAAAUGGCAGAGAUUGCCGUCACCACAGUCAUCGACAAGUUGGUGUCUUUGGUAGAUGAAGAAGCCAGAUUGUUGGGAGGUGUCCACACUCAAGUUGAAGACAUCAAAACUGAGCUGCUGUAUAUUCAAGCUUUCCUUAAGGAUGCAGAUGCAAAGGCCGAUAAGGGAGACAUCAGCCAUGGCCUUAAAACUUGGAUCCAAGACUUGAGGAAGACUGCAUACUCCAUGGAAGAUCUCAUUGAUGAAUACUUGCUUCACUUUGCAAAUCCAAAUCACCGGCAUCGAUUCUUUGGUUUCCUCUGCAAAGUUGCUCGCUCCAUACAAAAACUGAAACCACGCCAUGAGAUCGCCUCCAAGAUCCGGGAUAUCAAGAAAAAGGUUGGUAAACUGAAGGAAACAAGUUCGAGUUACGUCUUCAUUAGUUCUAUUGAGCCAAGAUCAAGCAGCAGUUCUGCAAGUGCUCCAUGGCAUGACCAGCGGGUGACUUCUCUUUUCAUGGACGAAACUGAAAUUGUUGGUAUUGAACCUCUGAGAAAUGAACUGAUAAGCCGGCUGGUAGAGGGAAAUCCCAAACGAACUGUAAUUUCCGUGGUCGGCAUGGGUGGACUUGGCAAGACGACUUUCGCCAAAAAAGUUUACGACAACCAGAGAGUGGUGGGACACUUCGAUUGCAAUGCUUGGGUCACUGUGUCUCAAUCAUUCAAGAUGGAGGAGCUACUACGGAACAUGACAAAGAAAUUCUAUCAGGGAAGAAAGGAAGCAGUUCCUGAGGGCAUCGAUACAAUAGACGAGAUGUCACUGAUUGCCUUAAUCAGGCAGUAUUUACAAGAUAAAAGGUAUGUUGUUGUUUUUGAUGAUGUAUGGAAACUAGAUUUCUGGGGAUUUAUUAAAUAUGUUUUACCAGAAAAUGGGAAGGGCAGUAGGAUAAUAAUCACUACACGUAAUGAUGAGGUAGCCUCUUCUUGCAAAGAGUCGUCAUUUGAUUACAUCCACAAGCUGCAACCCCUGUCCCCAAAGAGUUCCUGGGAGCUCUUUUGCAAGAAGACAUUCCAGGGUGGAUGUCCUCCAGAAUUGGAGAAACUGUCUCUUGAUAUUGUCAAAAGAUGUGGAGGAUUGCCACUAGCGAUUGUGGCAAUAGGUGGUCUUUUGUCAAGAAAACAGAAUGAGUCCGAGUGGAAAAAUUUUAGUGACAACCUUGGGUCCGAGUUAGAAAGCAAUUCCCGUCUUCAACCUAUAAAUACAAUCCUCUCCCUCAGUUAUCAUGAUCUACCUUACUACCUUAAGUCCUGUUUCUUAUACUUGGCCAUUUUUCCAGAGGACUACACAAUUAAAUGUACCAAACUGACUCGGCUGUGGAUAGCUGAGGGGUUUGUAAAAGCUAAGAAGGGUGUGACAAUGGAAGAGCUUGCAGAGGAAUUCUUGACUGAGCUGAUCAAUAGGAGCUUAGUUCAAGUGUCAGACGUAGAUUUGGAAGGAAAAAUUAGAAGCUGCCAUAUCCAUGACUUGAUGCGUGAGAUGAUUCUCAAAAUGGCUGAGGAAAUGAGUUUUUGUCGUGUUUUGGCUGGAGAAGGCUCAAGUUUUGACGGAAAAUCUCGUCGAAUAUCAGUCCAUAACAGCACAAAUAAUAUUCUAGACACCAUUGAUAAAAACUCUCAUGUUCGCUCCAUUUUUCUCUUCAAUUCUGAGAUGAUUUUCACUAGUACAUUGGCUUCAAAAUGUAAGCUUGUGAAGGUAUUGGAUUUUAAAGAUGCCCCUCUUGAGAGUGUUCCUGAAGAUUUGGGAAAUCUAUUUCAUCUGAAGUUCUUAAGCCUGAGAAAGACCAAAGUCAAGAUGCUUCCAAAGUCUAUAGGUAAGCUACAAAACCUACAGACUUUGGAUCUGAAACAUUCCCUCGUAGAGGAGCUUCCUGUUGAGAUCAAUAGGCUCCAAAAGCUGCGCCACAUUCUAGCCUACAACUAUAACUUUGAUGUUGAAUUCAGCUCGGUUUCUGUUAAAGGAGUGCAUGUAAAGGAAGGGAUUGGGUGCUUGGAAGACUUGCAGAAGCUGUGUUUUGUGGAGGGCAAUCAAGGGACAGAUGUAAUUAAAGAGCUUGGAAAGCUAAGGCAAUUGAGAAAGCUGGGGAUUACAAAACUUACUAGAGAAAAUGGGCAGCCUUUAUGUGCCUCCAUUAUGAAAAUGAACCACCUUAAAUCUUUGUCAAUCUCUUCAUCAACCGAAGAUGAGAUUCUUGAUUUGCAGCACGUAUCGGAUCCUCCACCAUGCCUUUCACGUCUUGAGUUGUAUGGACGUUUAGACAAGCUACCUGACUGGAUUUCUAAACUUAAAAGUCUAGUGAAGUUAGGUUUAUGGAAGUCAAGACUAAGCCACGAUCCAAUGGGAGUCCUUGGAGCCCAGCUGCCUAAUCUGCUGGAGCUCGAGCUCCUCCAAACGCAUGCGGUCGAGCAAUUGUGUUUUGAAGCAAUAGGAUUUCAGAAACUUAAGGUCCUCCGUAUCUGUGAUUUGAUAGAGCUCAAGAAAGUGAAAAUAGAGAAUGGGGCAUUGCCUCAGGUUGAAGAGCUUGAAAUUGGGCCUAGUCCACAGCUGGAAGAGGUGCCCCAUGGCAUCUACUACCUCAGAAAACUUAAAACUCUUGCAUUUCGUGAUAUGCAGGAAGAAUUUGAACUAAGUAUGAUACCCUACAGAGGAAGAAAUUAUGAUAUAGUUGAGCAUAUCCCAAAUGUCUUCUUCUAUCAGAGGCUUUCAGGACAACAUUACGCGGUUCAGAGUCUACGACAACUAGCUGAAACCAUCCCCAGAGUCUAUUGCUAGCAGUUGAAUUUUUUCAAGCCAAAGGUGAGUACACUUUAUAUGUAUCAACUAAUUAAUUUUAGAUCAAGGCCAAACCAAAAUCUGGCAAGCUUGACUGAAAAAGAAAAUCCUUGCUUCCUUGUAUUUCAUAUUGAUCACCAUGUCAUUACUGUCCCUUUUUCUCAGUGAAGUUUGUUAACUUAAGCUAUUUUGUAUACUAAUUAUUAAAUUCCGAUGGGUUCCAGGUGAUGGAGAAUAUAUAUGCAUGCAGUGUUUAUUGAUAUCAACUGGGAUUGUUAGUUGGUGUUGUUGUUUGUUUAUUUGUCCUCCCAGUCUAUAGCUUAUAUUUUAGACAAUUUCUUCUCCAUCUCUCAUUCCCUCGGCGUAUGGUCUGAACAUCCCUUGAGAAUGAGAAGUUCAAAGGCGUCUGCAUGUUGGAAUCAGCUAAGAUUUUGGAGAAAAUCAUAGUUCAUUUAAAUUGUGAUUCACAAUAAUAUGCUUAUGCAGGGGGAGGUACCUGAUAAGCUCCACACCAAUACUAAUAGUAUUACCCUGAUUAAUGUUUUGCAUUUGCAAGCAGUUACUGGUCUUUAUAUCCUUAAUUAACCAAGGGUCAUUUAGUAGUGAUUCUUAAAGCCAAAGGGGUUGAAAGUGUCUCUUAAUGGUACUUGAAAAGUGCUUUAAGAGACUAGUUUGAAAAUAACUUUUAAAAAUGGGUAAAGCAAUUGAAGUGAAUUCUAAGCAAUCACUUGAUAAGUGAAUAAAGUAAAUUACGUGAUUAUUCCACAAAUCACUUUUUCGUUUUAUAAUACACUGUUAGAAAUACUAUUAAAACACUUUUUGGGUAAUAGAAAUUUCAAUGAUGCUUAUGAUGACAUGCUUAAAUUAAUAUAUGUCAAAAUUUCAUAAUAUCAAACAGAAAAACUUAUUUAAAUCCAAACUAAUUAUUCAAAAAAUUAGGUAUACAUGCACAUAUAAUUGAUAUUGAUUUUGAAAGUUCAAAUAUUUUCAAACCCAAAUGUCUUUCAAAUGAUAACAACCCACCCAAGCCCAAGUAGAAGCGUCCACCAUACCUUAAUAGCUAUCCAUCCAGCCCAACAAGCAUUCAAAGCCCAGUAAGUUACCCUAGCUCCUUCAAAUGACAACCCAUCCAAACAGUAAAAGAAACACAUACCACGUAGCUCUGACUUUCUCCAGAACAGAGAUGGAACUACCGGCAGGAGGCUCCCCUAUGCUUGUAUCCCACCUUAUUUUAUUGCCCAAUAGCAUGCACCAUCCAAAUCAUGGCGACAAAUCCGAAAAACGAGUCGAUUUCUCGAGUCACCUCAAUCUUUCUUACUACGAAAAAACUGCCCAAAAUGGUUCAACUCUCCAUAUUCUGUGUAGAUUACUACGAUUACAAGUGCGCUUCGCUUUUGUGAUUAAUUUUUAACCUAUUCCCCCAAUUAUUUGGUUUUCCAAAAUCAUGAUGCAAUGGUUAUGAUCUGCCUUCAUUACUGCACAUCAUACAUAUAGUUCUUCUAGCUAGCUUUUCACAUUCUGUUUACAAACUAUUUACUGGGUACAAAACCCGAAUUUGGAUUUCUAUUCAUUGGUUGACAUGGAGUUGAAAUUUUAAAGCUCUCUCUAUAUUUGUUUGAUUCAUGUGUCAAUUCGUUUGUAGAUUAGUAUGAAAUGUAGUUGAAAUUAUGUGCAAUUAUCAAGAAAAAAUGAUACCCAUUUUAGACUAUUCGAAUUGCACAAUGGGUUGUUUUUAGUUUUGAUCUUUUUUUUUUUUAAAUUUAUGUUUGUAUUCUAAGGUUAUGCAUGACUCUGUUAUUCAAGGUUUCACUAUUUGGUUGGUUGGGAUUUGUUUGAUUUAUGUGGAUAAUUGUCUCAUCUACACAGUUGUGAAUAAAAACUAACUUCCUUUUAGACAAUUUAUUAAUUAUUAAUUUUGAUUUAUACACAACGAAUUUGAUGUCAUUGUGGUUGUUGAUGGAGCUUAUGUUAGUUGUAGUUACGGUGUUGGGUUAUGUAUUGGUUGCUGCAAUAAUACACGUGUUGGUGAUGGUGGUAUCAUUGGUGAUGGGGCGUCCAAAGAUAUGAUAUUUGGGCGUCAUUUUAGUGGAGUAGUGGCAGUAAAGUGGUGGGAUCUAGAGAUUUUCUUUUUUCAAAGAAAAAUGCUAAUUUCGUUUCUUUCAAAUCAAGGAAUAUAAUCGACAAUGAAAACAAGACAACAAUAAGAAUAUGAUCUUCACUACAGCUUCUAUGCUAUAUGAGCCAACAAAGAUAAGACUUAGGUGGUGAAUGUUUUUUUACUUAAUUCUAAAUAGAACCUUAAUGCUUAAUAAUAUUAAAUAUUAAGUUGUUUGUUUUUGUAAUAUUUUAUUUCUAUUAACUAUUAAAAAAUUUUAAAAAAAAACAAUAUGUUAUUUUUUCUAUUUAGAAAAAACUAUAUAUUUUGAUUUUUCUAUUUAGUAAAAAGUUUAUAAUAAGUCAUGAAAAAGUAAAAAAACAAAUAACCUAAAUUCUAAAAAUAAAUCGUUUUAAGCAAAAAAUAAAAAAAAACAAACACCACCUUAGUUUUUCAAUUUUCUUUUAAACAUAAAUAGAAGCAGCUUGACUGUGGUGGUGGCUACAGGAAGUUGCUCAAUGGUGAGGUUUUGAUCAAAAGAAAUUUGGCGGUGAUACCCCCAUAUAUGUAAGUGUUAUUUUUCCUUACUGUUUGUUUGGACUCCCUUUGUCUUUGACUCCAAACUUCUUAUUCUUUUCAAAGUUGCUGAUUUGGUAUAAAACAUGAUUGCAACAUCAUGUUUGGACCAGAUAUCUGUGGCUAUAGCACCAAAAAGGUCCAUGCCAUUCUUCACACGAUGAAACAGAUGACUUAAUUAAAAAGGAUGUCCCUUAUGAGACUGAGCAACUAUCUCAUGUUUACACUAUCAUCCUCAAGUCAGACGCCACCGACAACAUCCUUUUUGACAACAUGGAGAAACAAUCCAGUUGUUUGUACUUUAAUUGAGGUAUUCUCCCUCCAAAGAAGAUCAAGGAUGCUUAGGCUAAGAAAGUAAUUUCUUUUUACUUAAUUAAUUUUGGAUGGACAAUAAUACAAUUUUACAAUGAUGCCAACCUGAAGAUUGGGAUGGGAAGGAGUAAAGUUAAGAAGCCAGAGGUGACAAUUCCUCAUUCUAGAGCCUUCUGGUUGCAUUAUGCCAAAUUGGUAGUUGAUAUCUAAAAAUAUUUUGUACAAUUAACUAACUAACGUAUAUUUACAGGGAUAUCAUACGAUGAUAUCUUCUAUGGAAUAAGCAGACUCCCUUAAGUCUUGAAUCCAAGUUUUAAGACCUUGGCUGGCAUCUGCUUUCUCUGCCUUUGCAUCUGCAUCUUUGUUUUAAUGUCUCCAGCUUGUGUGUGGACGCCUCCCAAUAGUCUGGCUUCUUCAUCUAGUAAUGGGAGCAACUUCUUGAUGACAAUGUUGACGGCAGUCUCUGCCAUUUCUCCUUCUUAUCCCCCUUUGAGAAGGUCAGUGAACAACUAUUGCGUUAGCUUUCAGAUCUAAUCUUCCAUCUACUCUCCUAAAAUUUCCAAACAUUGUGGCCCUCAAACUAUUGAACCCAACACCACUAGUACCAACAAUUUCCAAACAUUUGGGUAGCAUCAUCUUACGCUACUAAUUUGUUUUUUAUUUGCUAAUGAUUUCUCUUUAUUAUGACUUUGUAUUACAAUCCAAUUACAUAUAGUUUUUCUUGUGCAAGUAAAUUGAUAAAGUUAAAAUAAAUUUACAAGGAAAGUAUGUAAGUAAAAAAAUAUGUUUGAACAAGUAAUCUAAUUUAUAUUUUUUUUAAUAUUUAUCUAUUUCUCAUAAAAUAAAUAAAAUUUAGUACAUAUCAUCACUGAGGACUAAGUUGACAUUUAUUUUGCUUAACUUAGAAAUUUUGAUUUUAAAAAGAAUUUUACUAUCUAAAAUUUUGGUAUGGAAAAAUGUAACUUUAUUUAUAUUCCCUCCCAAUCAUUUUUUUUCUAUUUGUAUUUCAACCCAAUUAUUUUUUUUUCUAUUUUAUUUUAUGUCUAAAUCAAUUAUUUGACUUUGAAUCUUUUUUAAGUUUCUUACAUAGAUUUUAAGAAAAUAAAUUCACAUAUUCAAUUUUUUAUUAGCUUUUUUUCAUAUUACCUCACAUGAAAAUGAAAGAGAUGAGAAUGAAUUUGAUUAAUAGUGGUGGUUUAGAUCAUGCUUACUUUGAUCUUGAUUUCGUAAAUUUCUAGUGAAAAUUUGACCUUCUAGCAAAUGAUGAAAAUAUUCUUAUUGAUUGAAAUCGUAGCUUAGUGGUAACCUGGCGCCCUUCUUUAUAGAGUAGGCUGAAGUUGGAGUCCCCUCUCCCUACCUCUCAAAUCUCCAUUUAAAAAAUGGUUCAAUUACUAUUUGGCAUAAGCAUCAUAAUAAUAAUAAACAAAUAAAUAAAUUCCAAAAAUUAAUAAGAAUUAGAAAGAGAUAAAAAUAAAUUUCAUUAAUAGUGAUGAAUUACAUCUGACUUACUUUGAUAUUGAUUUUUUUUUUUAAGGCCUCAAUGAAAAAUUGAUCUUCUAGCAAUUGAUAAAAAUAUUCUUUGAAAAAAUGCUUCUAAUUAGGUAUAAGAAGUGAACUUGAAUUAGUAACUUAUUACAAAUAAACAGACAGCACACAACCCAUAAUCCAAGCCUUUAACCCAGUGCAGAUUCCAACAAUUGGAUUUUCAAGUCUUAUAUAAUAUACAUCAAUUCCUAUGGAUAAAAAUAUAAUAAUUAAAAUACAUCUAGAGUGAAUUAAAGAGGAAAAAAGACUUACUGGGUUUUAUUGCCACUGAGGGGAACUUGAGACUCCAAUUCCCAUACCUAUUGCAUAUCACAAUCAAACUUCGGUUAGAAGAGGAAUAAGGUUUAACAUAACUCAAUGCAACUCAACCUGAUAGCCUUCUAUUAAAUAUUUUUAAAAACAAGUUUCGCAUUCACUUAUACCCAAAUUGCAUGCUCUUUCGAUUAAACAAACUUGAAAUGUAUAUAUUUACAAAAAAUAAAUCAUUGACACAAAAUAGAAUUAAAUUGUGACAUAUUAAUAAAAUUUAGUUAGUUAUUUCAAUUAAUUAAAAUAAUUUGGGCUUAUACAAGGCUCACCUUUGUGUGGGAAUUAAGAUUUGUAGUCAGAUAGCUCUCGUAGGCUUUGAGUUCCAUUCCCAUAAAAAAAGACGUUUGGAAUGUGCUCAACUAUCUUAUAAUUUCUGCCCCGGGAGGGUAUCAUACUUAGUUUCAGUUCUUCCUGCAAAUUAUAAAAUUCAAGAGUUGUAAGUCUGGUAAGGUGGCGGAUACCCGGGGGGAGCUCCUCCAGUUGUGGGCAGGGCCCAACUAGAAGCGUCUCGAGUAGGGGCAGUGCUCCGUUCUCUAUUUUCACCCUCUUCACUCCCACCAAGUAAAGGACAACUAAGCGCUUAAGUUUCUGAAACCCGGUGGCCUCAAAACACAAUUCCUCAACAGCAGAGGCACGCAUUAGUUGAAGCAUCUGCAGGUUAGGCAGGGCUUGAAGGACUUUCACUGGAUCAUUCAUCAAGUUAGAACCAUACAAGAUUACAAUAGAUAAAUUUUGAAGUUCAGAAAUCCAGUCAGGUAACUUCUCCAAAGGCCCGAUCAAUUUGAGACGUGUAAGACAGGAGGGUGGAUACGAUACAUGCUGUAAAUCCAGAAUCUCCUCUUCACUCAAUGACGAAAUCGACAAAGAUUCAAGGCGAUUCAUGUUUGUAAUGGAAGCAAAUAAAUGCUUCCCAUUUUCUCUAGUAAGUUUUGUAAUACUCAGCUUCCUCAACUGCCUCAGCUUUCCCAGCUCUUUAAUUACCCCCACCCCAUGGUUUGCCUCCACACAGGACAGCUUCUGCAACUCUUCCAAACACCCAAUACCCUCCUUUACUUGCACUCCUUUAACAGAAAACAUGCCCAAAUCACCAUCGAAAUCAUAAUUCUGGGCUAGAAUAUUGCGCAGCUUUUUAAGCCUAUUGAUCUCAACAGGAAGAUCCUCCACAAGGGAAUAUUUCAGAUCCAAAGUCUGUAGGUUUUGUAGUUUACCUAUGGACCUUGGAAGCAUCCUGACUUUUGUAUUCCUCAGACUUAAGUACCUCAAAUGCAAUAGAUUUCCCAAAUUUUCAGGAAAACUAUCCAAACCAGAAUCAUUAAGAUCCAAUACUUUCAGAAGAUUAAAUCUUGAAGCCAAUUUCUCCAGAAAAAACAUCUGAGAGUUGUAAAGAAAAAUGGAGCGGAUGUGCGACUUUUUACCAAUAAUGUUUACAACAUUAUAUGAGCUAUUAUGAACUGAUAGAUGCCUAAAUCCUCCAUCAAAACUUGAGGCUUCUCCAGUCAUCAAACAACAAAAACUCAACUCUGCGGCCUUUUUGAGAAUAAUCUCACGUAUCAAGUCAUGAAUGUGACAACUUUCAAUUUUUCCAUCAGCAUAUACGUCAGACACUUGAACUAAGUUUCUGUGUAUGAGCUCAGUCAAGAAUUCUUCUGCAACAUCUUCUAGCAUUACAUCUUUCUUGGCUUUCACAAAACCCUCAGCAAUCCACAGCCGAGUAAGUGGUCCACAUCUAAUUGUGUAGUCCUCCGGGAAAAUGGCCAAGUACAAGAAACAGGACUUGAGGUAGUAAGGCAGAUCAUGGUAGCUGAGAGAGAGAAUUGUAUUGAUACUUUCAAG